rnacentral:lncRNA from 1 species
AUCGAGUUUAUGACAUUAUCCGGAAUUCUGACUGCCAAAAGGGUUCCCGAAACGAAGUCAUCCCACAUUUUGAAGGUUCAAGAUGGUGAUUUGCCCGGGGUAUGGAUUGAAUUGGAUUUUCCUGUAGUCCCGAUCGCUGAAGAUGAUGCCGAGCGGAUUUCAUGUGUCUCCAAAGUUCUCAAUGGCACUUCCAUUGUUGAAAUCAAGAAGACAGCAAAGGGCGACCAUUUCGUAAUUCCUCAACUGCGACCUGAUCUUUUUCUUUUCCCCAUAAAUACUGUUUUGAGUACAUUGAACCCCUUGCUUCCUCUUUGAGGCAAUCGUUUUCAUUCUGUUGAUUCCAGGAUUUGUACAGCAACAGCUGGCAUUGAGCUGAUUUUCAUUAGGAAGAGAGUAUUUAAUUCCUUCAUUUCUACUUUCUUCUGCUUAUUUUCGCAGAUUGUUAUCCCGUCGGGGAAAGAAGUUGAAGAAAUUCAGCCCCAGUUUGAGGAGAUACAGAGAUGUCCUGGGAGGGGUAUUAUCAUCACAGGAUCAGCUCAGCCAGACUCGGGAUUCGAUUUUGUCAGUCGAUUCUUUUACCCAAAACUUGGACUGAAUGAGGUAUUAAAGUUCAUACCUUGGAAAGUUUCUUAAAGUAUCAAUCAUAAUUAGUUAUUCAAUUGUCCGAUUCACUGGUCAUAUGUCGAAAGCUGUGUUCUAUCAACCAAUUUUAUGCUCUUACCGCAAACCUCUGAAUGAAUGAUCUACUUUCCAGGAUCAUGUAUGUGGCAGUGCACAUUGUGCUUUGGCACCUUAUUGGAGUGAAAAGCUGGGGAAAAAGGAUCUCGUUGCCUAUGCUGUAAUCUCUCUCUCUCUCUCUCUCUCUCUCUCUCUCUCUCUGCGCUCAUCCACACAUGCUUGUGCCCAUGUCUCUGCCCUUGUGAAUGCCCAUGUGUUUUGCUUCUCUCGUCUCUCAAAUGGUAUGUAAAUGAAUGAUUUUCGAUGGCCUCAUCAUUUUCACGUCUUGCAGGCAUCGCCCAGAGGUGGAGUAGUGAAGGUGCACUUGGAUGAGCAGAACCAGAGAGUGUCAUUGCGCGGGAAAGCUGUAACUGUAAUGAGGGGCUCUCUUCUUGUUUGAAUUUCUAGCGCUUCUUCUUGUUUCUGAACUUAAAGCACGUGAAAAUCACUACGUGAGAAGGAAUUGAAAUAAAUGAGCUUAUGUUGUGGGUUCGGUGGUACCGAUGGAGUAAUGUGAAAUACAUGAGAUCGCGUCCUUUCCUGUAUGACAGGUUCUUAAUUUGCUUGCAGUGGAGAGUGAACUGAAUAAGUGUAGAACGGAUCCAUUGUUUCAUUCCCAGAGGACUUUGUCUGAAGAAUUCUAUCUGCAGAAGAAGUGCAUAUUUGAUUGACAUAAGUGUUUAUCAGCACGGCUGGGAAAAUAAACAAGUGGCUAAAAGCCUCCAUUGGACUAAGACAUCAGCGACGCACAGUUUCUGUUCCCGUAGAAACUAACUUCCUACAAAUUCGCCUUCGAGUAGUAGGAUGGCCGUGUCAUUUCAUAUACUUGAUGUGGAGUCGGGUUGUGAAUUGCAGCUACACUAACACGUACAUGUAAGUUCGCACAUGAAAUUUUCUGCUCUUGUCGACAACUGGUCUAUGAGAUCCGUAAUGUUUUUCAGUGCAGACGGUACAGUUGACUUAGUAAAGCAAGUCUUUCUUAUAAUGUCAAGUCUAGAUGUGGGUCUACUGAUAAUCUUGCAAUCAAACAGAACACAAGAAGAGCUUACGGCAAAUGAGGCUUUAAAAGCUCUAAAGGACCUUUAUGGCCUGAAAAGAAGAAGAAGAAGAAGAAGGUGAGUGAAAAUAAAGUAGUCUACGCCACGCAAGUCCAGCCUUGUUAAGGCGAUCGUGAAGCAACAAAAUAUGAGGCUUAAGCAAGGCAAUGGAAACUUCGAAUAAAUCAACUGGAGAUUGUGACAGAUAUCCCGCCGCUACGCUUUCUAGUCCAGAGAUGUAACCAUUGUUGCUUAGGCGCUGUGAUAGUGAGCGUAUCUCCGCUCAUGACAGCAGUAGAGUCGCUUGCCCUAACAUUCUUAGGAAGGACCAUCUGGAUCUUACUGUUUGCCAUUCGCUCCAGUCGCAUGAGAUACAAAGCGACUCGCCAUCAAUGAUCUCAACCUUCAACUAGUCCUUCCUCAGUUGUGGAAGCUGUAGGCGAAUGACAUAGUCGGUCGCAGUCUUUUGGCUCUCGACCGACUCAUCAGGAGAGAAUGGAUCGCUGUUAAGGAAAGCGCUCGCUUCAUGGUCAUGCCAUUCCAUUCUUAUGAUAUGAAUUAAUCUCUUUAAGAGCCGGAUUCGAAGUGGGCAAUCCAUCGGAAUGGGAUUCGCAAUUCUUCAAUAUGGAGUCAGCAGCUUUGUUGAGAAUGUUAUAGAUGAAGCCAAAUAUUUGUUUUUAGGGGAUUUUUUGUCUUUUCUAUUAGAUUUCCUUUUAAGUUAAAAAUGGUAUCUUUAUAUUAGCGAUGGAAAAACCCUAGCCGUCAAGAUGCUGAAAAAGGAAAUAGAGAGGCAAGAAAAAGAGAGAAGAAAAAAGUGCGUUUUUUCUUGAUGAGGGUUCUCAAUCUCUUUGUGCCCUGAUCUUGAGAGAAGAUUGUCGUUGUAUUCCAACUUUUUCGAAGUCUAGUGGAUUCGCAGAGUGCCUCUGCGCGGAGACGUAUCCCAGGUUUGGGUGAACUUCGAUAACAAAUUUUCUGGCGUGUUCAUAUGAUUCUGUUCUUUUAUUACUAUAUUAUGUUUGGUGAAUUGUUUGCGAGCGUUAUUUUUCUGGAAUCGACGUGCGAUUUCGUAACAACUGAUAUCAGAGCAUGGGUUGGCUAAUCGAGAACAUCGAGGGUUUUUCAGUGACAUUCGAUUGAAAGCAAACAGUAUGGCAGAAGAUAAAAUCAUAAUCGAUAAGUUCAAUGGAGAGGAUUUCGGAUGGUGGAAAUUAGAAAUAGAGGAUUAUCUUUAUCAAAAAGAUCUUUAUGCACCACUUGAGGGUUGGAAACCCGAGAUGGCGGAAGUGGAUCCGACAGCAGAAGCCGAAUGGAAAAUUCUUGAUCGAAAGGCAUCGGGUGCGAUUCGUCUAGGGUUGACGAAAAAGACAGGGUACCACAUCACGAAAGCAAGAACUGCAAAAGAAGCCAUGGAUAUUCUAACGAAUAUUUAUGAGAAGCCGUCCACAUCAAAUCAUGUAUUUUUGCUGAAGAAACUGGUUAAUAUGAAGUUAUCUGAUAGAGGUUCUGUGGCAGAGCAUAUUAAUAGUUUCACGUAAGUCACGGGCCAAUUGAAAUCCGCAGGCAUAAAUUUAGAUAUGAUGCUUCAAGCUUUAUUAUUUUUAUGUUCUCUUCCAGAAAACUAUAAUACCGCAGUGUAGGGAAUUUCGAGCACCAUGAAGGAUGAUUUAACUCUUCAUGAUGCUGUGAGUAAUAUCAUGGAUGAAGAGAUGCGAAGGAAAGUCUCAGGUGGAGAUAAUUUUUUUGCAUCUACAUCUUCAACGGCACUUGCAGUGGAGAACCGUGGAAGAAGUAAAAGUAGAGGAAAUUUCAGCGGUCGUGGCAGAUCACAAUCAAGGGGUAAGAGACAGAUUACAAAAGAUGAGUGUUGGUUUUGUCACAACCGGACACCGGAGGUUUCAGUGUGAAGCCUACAAAAAGAAGCAGCAAGAUGAGAAUCAAGGUGCUAAUGUAGUUAAUGAUGAAUCUUUGCUAGAUAACUUGCGUUUGUCUGCAGGGUUUGACUCGACAACAGAUAAAUGGUUUAUUGAUUAUGGCAUUUCUUUUCAUUGCACCUCACAAAGAGACAUAUUUGAUGAUUAUGCGAGUGGAGAUUUUGGACAAGUGGUUGUGGGAAACGGCCACAUGUGUCCAAUUGUUGGGAAAGGAACUGUGACUAUGAACAUCUCAGCUGGAGGACGUCUAGUUUUGCGUGAAACUAGGCAUAUUCCGGAAUUAAAGAAAAAUCUGAUUUCAACCAGUAAACUUGACUAAGAAGGUUUGGUAAUAACCUUUGGCUGCGGAGAGUGGAAGAUAACCUCAGGGGUAAGAGUAGUAGCAAAGGAAAAGCGUACGGGUACACUUUACCUUCUCCAAGGAGACAAUAUCAGUGAUAUGGUUGCAAUUACAAUGGCUACAAGUAAUUUAUCUACUCUUUGGCAUUAUCAUUUGGGACAUCUUGGUGAAAAAGAUGUAAAGCAGUUACACUCGAGGAAAUUACUUCCGGGUUUACAAAAAGUUGAGUUAGAUUUUUGUGAGAGUUGCAUUUAUGAAAAACAGAAGGCUAUUAGUUUUCAAUUGAAUGGACGACAAAAUAAAGGCCAGAAGCUAGAGUUGGUUCAUACUGAUGUAUGGGGACCUGCUCAGGAACUCUCUUAUGGUGGUAAGAGAUAUUUUGUCACCUUCAUUGAUGAUGCAACAAGGAAGACUUGGGUCUAUGCUCUUAAAGAAAAAUCAGAAGUAUUUGGGAUGUUCAGAAUGUGGAAGACCAUGGUAGAAAAAGAGACAGGUUAUCAGAUUAAAGCUAUGAAAUCUGAUAAUGGUGGUGAAUACACAAGUAAGGAAUUUGCUGAAUAUCUGAGUCGAGAAGGCAUACACGGGCUAAAGACUGUUUCUAGAACUCCUCAAGAGAACGGUGUAGCUGAAAGAAUGAACAGGACUAUUCUAGAACGUGCGAGAUGCAUGAGACUACACACGGGUCUCCCGCUACACUUAUGGGCCGUCACAGUUGAUGCAGCUAUUUAUCUUAUCAACAAAAGUCCAUCUAGUGCGUUGAAUGGAGAAACACCACAAGAGCGCUGGUCAGGUAAAAAGAUUAAUUAUUCACAUCUAAAGGUGUUUGGUUGUAUUGCAUAUGCUUUGAUUGACAGGGAGGAUGGGAAAAAGCUUGAUGCUAAGUCCCAGAAGUGCGUCUUUAUCGGAUAUGGUGGCGACGAGUAUGGCUAUAGGCUUUGGGAUUAUGAGAAUAACAAAGUCAUUCGCAGUCGCAAUGUGGUAUUCUAUGAAGAAAAGAUGUACAAGGGUCGUCAGACAGAGACAGAGCAUGAGAAUGUAGUACAACCAGAAUAUGUUGAAUUAGACACAAUGCCCGUGAAGAUGUUUCCAGUAGAUCAAAGUUCACCUGGAAGAGAGGUUCAAGAUGAGCCUAUUAUCAGUGAAAAGGUAGUUCAAGAAGAACGUAGUAAUUCGUAGCAAACGAAUGACCCUGAAGUACCUGUCUUGAGAAGGUCUACACGUGUGAGAAAGCCAAAGGUAAUUUUUGAUCCAUUAGCUAAUACUAUUCUGAGCCAUGUCUUAUAUACAGAUUCGGGAGAACCGGAGACUUACGAUGAGGCAAAGGCAAACACAUCUCACUUGCAGUGGGAGUGUGCUAUGAAAGACGAGAUGAGCUCGUUACUUCUAAACAAAACUUGGGAGUUGACCAAGUUGCCCACAGGUAAAAAAGCUUUAUUAAACAAAUGGAUGUAUAGGGUUAAGAGUGAAGCAGAUACUAGUAUUAGAUACAAGGCGAAACUUGUAGUCAAGGGCUUUUCUCAAAAAGAAGGGAUCGACUACUCCGAGAUAUUUUCACCUGUAGUGAAAAUGACAUCAAUUAGAGUUCUGCUGAGUAUAGUUGCAGUGGAGGAUCUUUAUCUUGAGCUGUUAGACAUAAAAACAACGUUUUUACACGGUGACUUAGAUGAAGAACUAUACGUGGCACAACCUAAAGGUUUUGAAGUCAAAGGUAAGGAGCACAUGGUAUGUCGCUUGAAGAAAAGCUUGUAUGGCUUGAAACAAGCUCCGCAGCAAUGGUACCUAAAAUUUGAUGGUUUCAUGCAAGAAAAAAGAUUUGCACACUGUGAGUCUGAUCACUGUGUUUAUUUUCGCAAAUAUGAUGAUGGUGACAUUGUGUAUCUAUCUUUAUAUGUGGAUGACAUGCUGGUGGCUAGUUCCAAUAUGAAGAGAAUCAUAGAAGUGAAAAAGAUGUUAUCAUCACAGUUUGCUAUGAAAGACUUGGGAGAGGCCAAGAAUAUUUUAGGCAUGAAAAUCAUCAGGGAUAGGAAAAAUAAGAAAUUAUGGUUGUCGCAAGAAGACUAUGUGAACAAGGUGUUAAAGAGAUUUAACAUGAACAAAGCAAAACCGGUUGCAACUCCUCUAGUGAGUCACUUCAAACUUUCUAAGGAUAUGUGUCCAAGCACUCAGGCUUUGAAAGAUGAGAUGGCGGUAGUUCCAUAUGCAUCAGUAGUGGGGAGUUUGAUGUAUGCCAUGGUGAGCACGAGACCAGACAUUGCACAUGCAGUGGGAGUUGUGAGUCGAUAUAUGCAGAACCCAGGCAGAGAGCAUUGGAAUGCAAUAAAAUGGAUAUUGAGAUAUCUAGCAGGUACUUCCAAUUACUCACUUUGUUAUGGUGGUACAUCUCUAUAGUUGCAGGGUUAUGUAGAUGCAGAUCAUUCGGGUGAUCGAGAUAGUGGUAAGAGUACCACUGGAUAUGUCUUUCAGUUGCAGGUACAGCAGUGAGUUGGGUAUCUCAACCACAAAAGGUAGUGGCUUUAUCGACGACAGAGGCAGAAUAUGUAGCGAUUACAAAAGCCUCCAAGGAAAUCAUGUGGUAACAAGAUUAUAUGGAGGAGUUACAUCAAAAACAGCCAGUCAGUACACUUUGGAGCGAUAGUCAAAGUGCAGUGCACUUAGCAAAGAAUGCAGCUUAUCACUCAAGGACUAGACAUAUUAACAAGCGUUAUCGCUUUAUCAAGUCAGCAUUAAAAGAUAAUGAGUUAAAGCUAUAGAAGAUUGAUGGCUCGAAGAAUCCAACUGACAUGAUGACCAAGAUAAUAGACAGAGAGAAGCAUAUUUUCUGUACUACUACCAUUGGUAUUACUCCAUGCUGAUUGAUGAGGAGUAUCGCAGAGGCACAAGUUUUUCAACUACUAUUUUUUUGAAGAAGAUGGAUACAAAGUUACUUGGUGCUUGGGUAUAUUUGUCUUCAAGUGGGAGAUUGUUAUAGAUGAAGCCAAAUAUUUGUUUUUAUGGGUUUUUUUGUCUUUUCUAUUAGAUUUCCUUUUAGGUUAAAAGUGGUAUCUUUAUAUUAGCGAUGGAAAAACCCUAGCCGUCAAGAUGCUGAAAAAGGAAAUAGAGAGGCAAGAAAAAGAGAGAAGAAAAAAGUGAGUUUUUUCUUGAUGAGGGUUCUCAAUCUCUUUGUGCCCUGAUCUUGAGAGAAGAUCGUCGUUGUAUUCCAACUUUUUCGAAGUCUAGUGGAUUCGCAGAGUGCCUCUGCGCGGAGACGUAGCCCAGGUUUGCGUGAACUUCGAUAACAAAUUUUCCGGCGUGUUCAUCUGAUUCUGUUCUUUUAUUACUAUAUUCUGUUUGGUGAAUUGUUUGCGAGCGUUAUUUUUCUGGAAUCGACGUGCAAUUUCGUAACAGAGAAUACAUACAUAGCUACAGUCUAAGGCCCCUGCACUCUUUAAGGCAAGUUGGCAACCUUGUAGUUGAGUAUCUGAUUCCCACUAAAUUAAUGAAGAUUAGUACAAAGGAUCGUAAAGAUUUUAGAGGACCAUGGCCACCUCUUCUGAAAUUUUAAGGCGUCAGAUCAAGGCGCGUGUUUAUAUCUUUAAGGACCGGGAAAGAUUUGAAGUCAGAAUCUAAUGCUCUCAUACCUUGUAAAGAUUGUUUGGCACCAUUAUCUACUUUUUUAAUAGUUAUAUAGUCGGAGAAAAACAUGGUUUAAUAUUUAUGUAUAUACUACCAAGGACUAGGCCAACUUAUGAUCUAGUCAUCUACGCAUGAUCUCGCAUUGAAGGAAAGCUUGCUUUAAUUUCUCAUUCUAAGAGAUGAACACAUAGAUCAAUUUAGCUAUUAAAUUAGGCCCACCAUAUUUCCACCCCCUUAUUGGCUCCCGACACUUCCUAUAAUUGACUACAUUAAUCAUUGCGGGACCCAUUCUUGAUUAAAUAUUAUUACUUGUCUUUUCACCCUUUAUUAUUGGCUCUUGACACCCGCUAUCACAUUAAAUUAACUACAUUAUCCCUUUAUUUCUUUAUUUUUUUUCAAUUUUAUUAAAAGAAAAACUCACCCACAUCACUUUCAAACAAUGUUUUUUCACCCUAGCCGAUUAAGCCGAUUCAUCCACACUCGCUACAUUUCAACGUUUCCUUCAUGUUUCUCGUCUUCAGGCUCACAUCGAUAUUGAGCAUCAAUCCCAAUCCAUAAUAACCUCCACAAUUCACAAAGUCAAAUCAAAAUAUAUAUCAUAAAUCGAUAUCACAAAUCAAAACACAUAGUUUUUCUGCAACUCGGCUCAUUCACCACAAAUACUUUUUGUAAAGCAUUUCUCAUGUCAUUUCAAAACUUGUUUCUUAAACUGAAAUAAAUUUCAUAUACAUUUUCGCAACACAUUUCAUAAACCAAGUUCACAAAUCAACAUAUAUAUAUAUACAUAUAACCUUUCGCAAUAACUUUCCAAAAACAUUUGGCAAAUCAUUCACAAGUACCAAAUCGUAGUAAAUGCUCAAUCCAGAUUCUAUGCAACAAACCAUGCUUUCAAUUACUUAUGAUACAUCAAAUCUCCAUAACUUUCAAGACAUGAGUUUUCAAACUCAUAGAAGAAAUAGUAUCACUCACCUGAGAAAGCCGAAAGUCAACCACAUCGAUCACUUGAGUCGACACACUCAAAUUCCUAACAAAUAACUAAAAAACAAUGUCAAACGACUAAGUAACACGAUAUUCUAAUGAACGGCUCAACUAUACUAUGCAUAUUUGUCGAUAAAACGAUACCUACACGCCAACAAAAAACUUGCCUCUAGCGGAAACCUAUUGUUGUUCGCGAGCCGCGUUAAAUUUCAUCCCGCCAUAACUUCCUCCAUAUAAUUCCGUUUCAAGCAAACUUAUAAUCCUUAAAAAGCCAUUUUGACAUACUAUAAGAACCCCAACUUAGCCGCCCCAAGACCUUGCCUGAAAUGACUGAAAUUCGGCUCAAAAUUUACUAUUUGAAACUCUGUCCAGAAUGCACGCUAAACUUGAAAAUUCCGUUCUAGGCAAAUCACAAGCUCAAAUUGAGAUCCGUAAAAAUGCUAUAACUUCACAAUAUCCUAAACGAUCAUUUCUAUAAUAAAAAAAAUACACCACCCGAAAACUCCCCAGUCAACGCAACAAGUCAUAAUUGGCCUAAAACCGAAUUUCCAACCCUAAUUUUGACAAUUCUUUCGUAUAGAUGAUUAGGGGCCUCGAUCACUUACUAACAUUGCAAAACAUAUUUAAGUCAGCUUAGCGAUUGAUAUGAAUCAUAAGCACACGAAAAUUUUUGUGGCACCCCUCGAACGGCCCCCGAUCCGUUGGGGUCGCCAUAGUGCGCUUACCUUUCUCAUGUCCUGAUAAUAUCUCGCUCUGAUACCAUAGAAUCAUAAUAGGUCCAUAACUCCUGGGGGUUUAUAUCUUUUAGAUCGGUCCCUGCGUAGAAAUAUGGCGGAAGCGUAUCCAUUAACUCCCCGUCCUGAAAUUAAAGCGACGCACACCAACUAAAACUUUUAUAAGUUAAAGCCGAACACUUUUAUUUACAUAAAACUAGAUGGACAUUUUUAGUCGGUACACCAAAAUGACGUAGUCUUCUAUACUCGGCUAUACUUCAAAAGAUGACCGACAUCUUUUGCAACAGUUGUAUACUUAAAGUCCAUCGAUCAAUGUCGGCGUCCAAAAGUUCCUUCGUUUGCUGUCCUCCUCCUCGUGGUCAUAUCCAACCAUUCGGUCCAUUUGCUGGUAGCGGUGACAGCAGAUGCAUCUUAUCUAGUCUGAAAUGUUAGUCCCCAAACAAGGUGAGUACAACCACUCAGCAGUAAAAGAUUCAUCAAACUAUAUCAAGCAGUACCAUCAAUAUCUAGACUCAUGCAGGAUAGACAAAAUCAGCUAGUCGAUGGAUCAAUUUACAUCAAAAUCAUGAAAUCCUUUAAUGCAAUGGCGAAUGCAAUUUCAAAAGAUUCAGAUGCUCAUGUCCAGUUACACCAGUUCAGAUCAUAGGGCCAAACUCUAAUGACACAUCCCAUUCCCUGGCAUGCAGUUUAGUCCCAUAACCAGACCACGUGCACUCUUAGUAGAACCAUCAUUUUUAACAUUCAAAAGGUUUCAUCCCCCCAGAGGACCAAUGUUUGCAUCCUUAUGGGAUUCCGCACCCAACCCUGGCAUCGCGGAAGCUUCUGGCACACACCUCCGAGCAUCUCGCACCCCACCUGGCAUGACGAGGAAUUGCCGGGGCUCGCCAUGAAAAUGGUUACCUCUGCCUUCCGGAAUUACGUACCGACAUACCACCGGGCAUCCUCCGGAAUUACGUACCGACAUACCACCGGGCAUCCCCGGAAUUACGUACCGAUAUACCACCGGGCAUCCCGAAACUCCCGGGGAAAAACCUCUGGGCAUGUAUUCAAAAUACAACCAGGCAUCCAAAGGGCAUCGACUCAUUCGAACCUCUGGGCAUCCCGACUCCCGGGGCAUCGUUGACCCGAGGGUCCAACGGCAACAAUUAACAUCUUAAUUUCCAAAAACACUUUUCAAUGCAAUGACAAAAUGUCUCUUGAGUCUCAUCACAUCUCAAUAUUGCAUGAUAUGUCAAGGCCAAUAUCAUCAUGUCACAUAACAACCCAAGAUGCAUUCACUUUUGAAAUCAAUUGAGCAAAGUCGAAGUAAAACAGCUUAAAAACCAAAAUGUGCAGCUUUAAUGAAAAUUUCGAAAUAACUCCUAAAUGAACUUAGAAAGAUUUGAAAUUUUGAUAUGUUAUACAUAAGACCUAAAGGAAGAAAUUUCAUGAAGGACACUAAGUCAGAUUCGUUGUGUAUAAAGAGUAAUAGUUUGCUGUUUCCUUCAAAAUUCUGCAGUAACUUUUAGAUUCAGUACCUACAGAAGAAAAUUCGUUUCACCAACUAAAUAUUUUCCGUUUGUUCCCAAAUUUUGAUAUGUUAUUCCUAAGGAUGUUUCCUACAACUUUAAUUAAGGGUUCAAAGUCCAAUUCUUUCUAUAAAAUUACAGAAAAUUCGUGAAAUCAUCAAAGGUCAUGCUGUCUUCUACAGUACAGCUUACUGGUUCGAGGUAAAUACUCUUACCAACACGUUUUCUCUACCAAUUUCUUUUACAGCGACUUAAUACUCUUCCACAGCAUCUAAGGUUAACCACAGUAGGUUUUUACUCUUAUAAAAACCUUCCACAGUUCGAUACAAGGCAAAUAUUCACACUUCGGUUCACCUACCGCAACAUACCUCACUCGACAACCACCACUACACCUUGCUCGACCAACACGGCCUCCUACACUCAAUUUUCGAAACAUGCAAGACCUAAUGCAACAUGCAAUGACUGGUAGCUUCAAUCUAGUAUUCAUCUAGCUCAAUCCAACACUAAACAGCAAUAUCCCAUUUAAUCCUCCACAGAUCGGCAUUCAAUCUUCAUCUCAAUCAUCCAAAAACCCAACAUGCAGUUUCCAUUUCAGCAUUUUCUCAAAUCUACCAGCACUUUACCAGAUAAUCACAGCAUGCAUCACAUAGAUUAAUGAACUUCUACUUGCCUCACUCCUAAGCUCGAUCAGCAAGCAAAACAGAGGGCUCGUGGGUCUCGGGCACGGCUCAAUAGCGGCGAAGACGAGCGGCUUCGACGGCGGCAGCACACCCGUACAGACAGAGGGCGGUCUCCUUCUCCACACCCCCCCCCCCCUCACUCUUGCUCGCUGCACGCUUGCGAACUCUCUCGUUCACUCACUGCACUCACCCGCUCGUUGAUCUCUCUCUCUCCCUCUCACUGGUUUCGUACGAAGCUCUCCCUCACUCUCUCGACUAAUCCACCCUUUUGUUCCUCACUUUGUUGACAAUUUAGUCAACUGCAUGGGGCUUCUUUCGGUGGCUGCAGGAACCGAAGACAGCUGGGGUGUACGUGGCCUCCUGCAUGCGGAUCUCCCCUCUUGCCGAGCCAACACAACUUCUCCGUGGGCUUCUUCUUCGCUGGCAAUCAAGUGGGGAAGCCACGUGGCCUUUUAGUCAACAAUUCCUUCAAUGGUUGACCGGUUGCACGAUUCUUCACGUGCGGAAAGAAGGGGCUGCAUAGGUCGAGCUUUCUUUUUCUUCUUAUUGACUGGCUUCGACACCGUAUGGCCGUGCAUGGUAGGUCAAUGGACUCGGAGAAAUUCUUACGUGAAUGUAUGGUCGCGCAUGUAAAGAAACGUGCAUGAUCCUUACGCACGGAUUAAUUCCUCAAAAAUUCGACUCUUGACUUCAGCUUGUGCAAGUGCUGAAAAAUAAUUACUUACGUGGCUGCACGGGGUCGCAACAAUGUACAUGGGAGAUUUAGUUUGUAGAGUACACAACUAGACGGCCAAAUUUAGUAUAGGAAAUAUCUUGUCAGCACAUUACUCGGAAUAAACCUCGGCCUUGCUAGUAAUGGUACAUAGGAACGAAGCUAUAACUCACACACAGUCGAACCAUUUCUAAUCGUGACUCAUCGGUCCGAUGGUGGUAACAAAACAAUGUCCGUACAUGAUGCCGAUGACACAGUCCAACGAUACCUCCAUCGAUCAAUCGCAGCCGUCACAUAUCCAAGGGUUGUCAAAAUUUUCGGAUGCCACAAUUUUCCCCUUCCUUCUUUCUUCUUUCUCAAUGAGCCCCUUUUCUUUCCCUUGUUUCUACUUCGACUUUUAAUAAUAUUUAAAAAAAUAUUUUGAAUUAUAUCGGUUUGUUUUUUCUUUUCUUUUCGUUAUGUUUUCUUUUUUUUGGGGGGGGGGGGGGACUUAGGGCCACAAGAGUCUCUAGGCAUUUCUCACUAACCACAAGGGCGAGGAUCGCACACCCUCGGUUUGGCCGAUGAGGACGUCUCAACCCUUGCCUAGCCCUCACCUACCACAAUGAGGGCCCACGAGCCCUCACAUAGUAGCCAAUGAGGAGGCCGUGGCCCUUGCCCAGAGCAGAUAAGCACUGCAACGCCCUCACCCAAUGCCAACAAGGGUUGUCGGCCCUCGGUCAAAAAAGAAAAAGAAAAGUAAGGUAAAGUAAAAUAAUUUUAAAAAAAAACCAUAAAAACUAUAAAAUAAAAAUUCAAAAAAAAUGAAAAUAUCAUUUAAAAAUGUUUAGGUCUAUGCCAACCGUGCUAUAUAGGAUGGUUAGUGUCUAUGUCAGUAAUUCCCUAUCAAAAUUGACUGGAUGAACUUAACUGACAAAACUUGAAAAUAUUUAGAACUAAAUUAGUAUAAUUGAAGGUUUAUGAUUGAAUUCACACGGACAUAAUAGAUUUAUAACAUUUUUCUAUAUUUGUCCCGUAUAACACUAGUCCUUGGAAGGAAUAUAAAAUUGAGAUUGUAUCGUGCGCAUGAAUAUGCAUGAAUGCUAGAUGAUGAGUGCAUGGUAGUAUAUGCACAUAUGGCAUGGGUAUGCAUGAAUGCUUGAUGAUGAGUGCAUGGCAGUAUGUGCACAUAAGGCAUGGAUAUGCAUGGAUGCUUGAUGAUGAGUGCAUGGUGGUAUGUGCACAUAAGGCAUGGAUAUGCAUGGAUGCUUGAUGAUGAGUGCAUGAUGGUGUAUGUACAUAUGGUAUGAUGACAUAUGCAUGGCUGCAAGGUAAGUAUGCUUGGAUGCAUGAUGAUAUGUACUUUACUAUGAUGUAAUGAUUGUUCUGUUUGAUGCAUUGAGUAGUUUAAUGGAUCUUUUACUUGUUGAAUGGUUGUACUCAUCCCUUUAGGGACCAAUAUUACAGAUUAGAAAGAUGCCUCUCUCUCCGGUCACGCGGGGUACCUUUUAUGGCCUUCCAUCUGACGUGGAGGUCGAGUGUAUGGAGCUUGAUUGUGUCACCAUUCUUGGUUUGACAUUCAUACAGGUUCGUGUGCUGGUGAUGUAUGAUGUGGGCUUGGCUGGGGGCUCGGUCAUCCAGGAGUUCUUGUCUGUCCACGUUCGCCGUGACGGAGUGAUACGGGGGAUGUUGCCGCCGCCACCGCCCGAUGCAUCAGGAUGGGUGUGAUGGCCCGCGUGAGGAGUGGGAGCUGACUUUUUUGGGAUAGCCGACACUUGUAGAUGGAGGGUUAUACAUGAUCGAUGUAGGGGGUCAAGAUCUCUCUUUUUUGAGCUGUAGCCAAGUUUAGCUAAAAGUCUUGGCUUUUUGGUUGUACCGACCCAAGAUGUCCAUCUUAAAAAUGUAAAUAAAAGUGGCUCGGCUUUAUGUUUUCUUAUGGCGCGUAGUUGGUGUGCAUUGCAUUAUGAUAAUGGGAGGGAGAAAUGGUGAGACUUGUUAUGCUUCCACUAAUAAGCUGCGCUAAACUCUCUUAAAAAAAAAAAAAAAGGAUGCCCAUGGACCUCGGUCCUUCUUUAAACCCCAUUUAUAUCAAAGUCAAGUAACGAGUAUCCAAUAGAUAAAGAAAUAGGUAUCUGUGGCAACCUUAGCUGUUUGGGGGUGCCACAAGGGACUUGCAAAGCAGGGGCGGGGAGCUGAACAGAGCGAGGGAAGCCUAGGUCUGCUAAGUCGUCUUCUCCAAGUUGGUGGAGGCUGGGGAAACGUCACACUUAUGGCCAAAAACGCCACACCUGAUACAUUCAACCGGCUUCCAUUCAUAUUCAAUAACUAUAGCCCUCGCUACUCCAUUCACCACCACUUCAACCGACGAACACCUCGGCUGAUUUGCUUGGAUCUCUACACACACCCUUGCAAAAGAAAUCAUCCUCAUUUUCUCUGUGUGUUGGUCCACAUAGAGGGGUUUGCCAACGGUACUAGUGAUGGCACUUAUGGUCAGCGCCAACCAUAGAUCAAAGGGGAGAUUCUUAAGUUUGAUCCAUACCAGGACGAAAGAUUACUUGUCUUUCCUUAGCUCCAUCGCGACCUAAAUUUUGGAUGCAUCACCUAAGUUUAUGCUAAUGGAUUACUAAGUCUUUAAACUUAGCUCGGGCUCUCCUAAGCCCAUACCAAUUCGCGACUCAAAGUUUAAAUAUUUAACAUGCAAAUGAUUAUUAUCUAAGAGUCGCCACUGAUCGGUUUACGGUAGGUCGAUUAGACACCUAAGUAAAAUCAUGUGAGAUUUACUUUACUCCUACGAACCAGAAAUUGUGACUUCGGGAACUUGGUUACGCUAGAUUUCUCUAAUGCCCUUUCGGUACAUUUUCCUUUUUAUUUUAAAAAAAUAUUUUGCAGGCAGCUUAAUUUGAUUUUAAUUUACCUCCCUAACAAGUGAGGUGAUCAUGCGGAUAUGCAAACCAUUAAUUUAGCACUCAAGAAAGCAAAUGAAUAAAUUGCAAAACUUACCUCAUAGAAACGAAAGCAUUUGCAAUGUUAGAUUAGAAUUCACAUCGACAAUCCUAGAUAUGAUUUCUAAUUAACACACAAUCACUCAAUUUUGGUUUUCACUUUUUUUUAAUGAGAAUCAUGUAAUGCAUGCUACUAAUUUAAUAUGAAAUGAUAUGGCAUGGCAAUAUGACCUAAACUAUAUAACAUGAAUAAGCAUGCAAUUUAUCCUAAAGCAUGAAAUGAAUUUAUUCUAAUUUUUUUUUUUUUGUAUUUUCCAUGAAAUUCGAAAUUAAACAAAUGCAACAAUUAAAUAUGCAAUCUAAUCAAAUGACCUAAUUCUAAUGAUGAACAAUUUCUAACUAAAUGAACCUAGCAACAAUCACUAGAUGACGAAAAUUUCAUAAACCUAAUCAUACAUGUCUGAUUUAUUAAACCUACAUGCUUUGAUGCAAGAUUUUGAUUUUUUGAUUUUUUUGAUUUUUUUAGUGCUUUUCCAAGACAAGUAAUUAUCAAAUAAACAUUAAAUCUAAACAAUCAAGAUAUUCAACAAAUAAAGGAUUAAAAUAAUCGAAAAAAUAAUCCGUCAUCCCACGGGUUAAAUUAACAAUUACUCUAACUCUAAACAUCACGGCAUAGAGUUCAAAAUAAUUAAAAAUCUGAUUCGAAGUCUUAUGGAUCAAAUUAAUAAUUAUAAUGAUCAACAAAUCCCAAAAAUUAAUAUAAUUAAAAAAAUGAUUCGACAGCUUACGGAUCAAAUUAAUAAUUACAAUAAUUUUGAGUAAAACCCUUGAGGUUAAUGUCUGUAAUAUCCAUAAACUGAAAAUCACCUCUCAAUAUUCAAACUGGACAAUGAUAAAUAAAAUAAAGUAAGAUAACAUAAAUGAAAAAUAAAACAAAAGUAAAAAUAAAAAUAAAAAUAAACCACCUAAGGGAUUUUGGAGGGGGAGAAGUAGCGGUGAUCGGCGCCGGACGGAGGGUGGCCGACGUUGGAGCUCCGGCGGGGACUGGCGGCGGUGCGGCGUCUGGCACGGCUAGCGAACGGCGACGAUGAGGCUGGCCGAAGACACGACAUCAGCGGAAGCAAGAGUACAGUUGUCGGGCACAGGCUGCUGGCUUCGCACACUGGGUCGCGGCUGAGGCUGUGCGACCGAUUAGUGGAGACGGCGCAGGCGUCGGAUGUUUCCCGGGGACGACGAGCGGCGAGAUCUGGUUCAGAUCUAGUGGAGAUCCUGCAGGCGGUGAUGGCGCGGUGAACAGAGGGAUGGCGUCGGGCUCCGAGCAGGAGGCAGGUGAGGCGGAAAAUGAUGGCAGCGGCGUCGUAGGGACUCACAGGCGUAGCACGGCGAUGCUGGUCUUCGGGGUAAUGGUGUCAGGCGUCACGGAUCAGCAAGGCGGAGCGGCGAGGCAGAACAAGGACUGAGGCACGACGGAGCGGGGGGUUGCUGCUUCUGGUGUUGGGCUGCAGCUACGUCAAUCGAAGGCGGAGGUUGGCGGAGCGUCGAGGCAGCAGCAGUAGGCGGAGGCCGAGUGAGGCAGCAACGUCUGUGGCAAGAUGGAGCAGAACAGAAGCGAUCAGGGUUCGGCGUUCGGGGGUCACUGGCGAACGGCGGUGGCUUGCGGUGGCCAGAUGUAGGCGCGGGCGACGAGCGUAGAGGAGUUGGCACCGGCGACCGUCGGGACAGCGUCCGGUUGCAAACGCAGGCAGCAAGGGUGAGGAAGACGAUGAACAGUAAACGUCCCCUCACCCCCUGCCGAUUGUACUUUUCUUCUGUUUUUUUUUUUUUUGUCUCUUCCCUUUUCCCUUUUCACUUUUCACUUUUUGUUUUUCAUCUUUGGUCGACCAAAAGAAAACCCUAUAAAAGCCCCCAAAACCCUAUUCGUUUUUUCUUUCUAUAGGCCACGAGUUAGGAUUUUAAUCUUUCAAAAUCCAUGUCCAUAAAGAUUUUUUCCAAAUGUAAUAUUUGAUUUUCCGAACGCAAUAUUUUUUGUCACAUCUACCUUAUCCAAAAAAUUUCAUCAUAUCCCGAAAAGAUUUCAAAUCCUUAUUUUUCACGAAAUAAUUUUUUAUCAUAAAAAAAGGGGCUUGGGCCAAUUCGCUCGCUUCGUGGGCUUAGUCCGGCCUUUCAAUUUAAAGCUCAAAACCACUAAUUCGAACCCAUGCACCACCGGUCCAAUAAAUAAAUGCAAAAAAUGCAAAUUAAAAAUGAAUGCACCUAAAUUCUUACCUUUUACCAAAAAUAAAAUAAAAAUAAAUGCACCUAAAUUUAUAUGCUAUGUAAUUAAUAUUUUUUCAGGGAUAAAAUUAACCCCUAAUUUUUUAAUGUAAUAAAUGACUAAACGGGUCGCAAAAAUUUAGGUAUCAACAGCUGCCCCUCUUUGAGGUAAGCUCACAAAGGUUGCCUUCAAAGACAAAUUGAGACAUAAAUUUUGACCACGCACAUGCACUAAAUGAUUUUUUUUUUUGGUCGGUUCAUAAUGCAAUUUAUAUGAUGCAUGGGAAUGCUAAUGCAAAUACAUGAUGCGAUAGGAAAGAACAUACCUACAGUUACUUACCAAUCAAUGCGGUAGAGCAUCUUGAGGUACAUGAUAAAUCCCCAUUUACACCACAAGUACCCAACUCUCACCUAAGUUCCUUGAAAAGUGCAACAGGUAAUAGAUUGAGACAUUGAGAUUCAUCCAAAGUGAAAUGUUCAACCAAAAGAAUAGAAACAUCCAAAUAUAUACUGAGAUGUCAAGAUUUUUUAACUCGAAAUACCUAGAUUCAAACUAAGGUAUAACAAGGAAGCUCGAAAAACAUUCACAUCUAAAGUGAAAUGUUUAACGAAAAGAAUUAAGAAAUCCGGAUCCAGACUGAGAUGUCAAGAUUUUGUGCUCGAAAUACCUAGAUCCAGACUAAGGUAUAAUGAGAAGGAUUGACAAACAUUCACAUCCAGAGUAAUGUUUGAAUGAAAAUAAUCAAGACAUUUAGGCCCAGACUGAAAUGUCAUGAUUUUUAAAGCUCGAAAUACUUAGAUCCAGUCUAAGUUAUAACGAGGAAGAUCGAAGAACAUUCACAUCCAGAGUGAAAAGUUCAACGAAAAUAAUCAAACAUCCGGGUCCAGACUGGAUGUCAAGAUUUUUGUACUCGAGAUACCUAGAUCCAAACUAAGUAUAACGAGAAAGGUCGAAAAAACAUUCACAUCCAAAGUGAAAUGUUUAGACGAAAAUAAUUAAGACAUUCAGAUCCAGAUUGAGAUGUCGAAAUUUUUGGACUCGAAAUACCUAGAUCCAGACUAAGGUAUAACGAGAAAGAUUGAAAAACAUUCACGUCCAGAGUGAAAUGUUUAACGAAAGUAAUUAAAACAUUCAGAUCCAGAUUGAGAUGUCAAAAGGAACCUACCUGGAAUAUCUUACCUUGAAGGAGGGUAGAGUGAUUCAAGAUAGUUGGUGUUACCUGUCCAAGACCCGUACCAUUCUACGGUCGCUCAGAAUAGUAACGAAGCUUUGUAAGGAGACCGCUUUCCUAGGACCCGUACCUUUCUACGGUCACCCAGUAUGGCAGCAAGAUUUUGUAAGGAAACUGCUUUUCUAGGACCCAUGCCUUUCUACGGUCACCUAGUAUGGCAGUGUUUAGGUUGUGUUUAGGACCCGUACCAUUCUAUGGUCGUCUAAACUGGGAUUUACCUUCUAGGACCGAUACCGUUCUACAGUCGCCUGAAUAGGGAAAUAAAUGUUAUCUAGGACCCGUACCAUUCUACGGUCGCCUAAACGGGGACUCACUUUGCAGGACCCGUAUCAUUCUACGAUCACCUGAAUAGGGGAAGAAAUAUUAGCUAGGACUCGUACCAUUCUAUGGUCGCCUAAACGAGCACUCACUUUCCAGGACCCGUACCAUUCUAUGAUCACCUGAAUCAGACUGAAUCUGGAGAAAAAUAUUUGGGGACAACUCAAUCGAGUGUCGAUUAAAAGGGACUCUAGGCUAUGAAUGCACGCUAGGUCAAUAUAAAGAGAGACACCGGGCUAUGGAAGCACGCUGGGUCGAUGAAAUGGACUCUAGGCUACGGAAGCAUGCCAGGUCAAUAUAAUGGAUACCGGGUUACGGAAGCACGCCAGGUCGAUGAUAUGGACGCUAGGCUACAAAAGCACGCCAUGUCAAUAUAAAUGACACCAGGCUAAGGAAGCACGCCGGGUCGAUAUAAGGGACUUUGGGCUACGAAAGCACGCAGGUCAAUAUAAAGGACACGGGGCUACGGAAGCACGUUGGGUCGAUGAAAUGAACACUGGACUACAAAAGCACGCCGGGUUAAUAUAAAAUGACAGCUUGACCGAGUCAAGUGUCAAGAAUACCCGUACAAUGACAAGUAUUUAGAGUAUAGGUAGAGAUAUACUUACGUGGUGAUAUCUCUAAUUUUUAGGGAUAUGUCUUCUGGAACUUAGAUAUCCUGUGGAGGCCUCUCACCUCCUGGUAGAAAUAAGUUUUAGAACAUCGAGGAUGCACCUGUGAAAGUUUCUCAUCUCCUAAUAUCACGAGACAUUCUGAAAGGAACCUGAAUGUCAAGGGCUCUUGGGUCUUUGAGAAAACAUUAUCUGCCAGACAUGAUUAGAGCAAACAUGCAUUCACCAAAGAAAUAAGUAAUUAAGACUAUUUUGGACUGCAUACUUCAAAAUUCACUAAAGUUUUUAUCAAUUUAAUCAAGGUUCAUGCAUAAUGACCUUUGCAUCACCCAAAUUUCCACUAGAGAGAAUUAUCAUUCAAGACAAUUUUCACUCAUGACAUAGAUUUUCUAAGAAUACUAAAUGAGAGACUUUAGGUUAGAAAGGACUUUCACUCACUCUCAUUCAAAAUGGCUAUUUUUAAGAGAAUCAUUCCAUCUCAUCAUAUCGACAGGGGUUCGAGUAUUCUCGCAAGCGGUACGACCUUACCAAUCUGAGGGGUCUUUAAUAGGGACCAUAAGGUGAGCUUGGUCAAUGGCUUGAACAUGGACUCUUUGAGUCAAGGCUAUUGAAAGAAUAAUCCUAUAAUCAUCUCCGGGUUUACAAGUCAAGAACCCUGCAAAAUGAGAAAGAAAUAAUCUGCCCGCACUUCUUCAAGCGAUACUUAUAAACAUAUGAAUUCCUACGUUAAUUCAAGUGCCCUAAUCAGAAGAGACUUUGCAAGGGACGUAACGUAGGUUGGGUUCAUGGGUUGAGAAACGAAAGGAUCAUUAGGCUCAAAGAUGUGUAAAGGAUGAGAGCAGAUGAUCAUCUUGGCAUUGCCACCAAUUUUUUUUCACUAGGGAUUGUCUUGGCAAUGUGCUCCACUAACUGUAAAAGCUCGGUAUUUGUGGUCUUUGAACGCUGCUCCAUGAGGGAUGCAACCUUUUACAAUUGAUAGUCACCUCUCUCGACUUUUUCUUUUUCAUUUUCAUCUAUGGGCAUCAGCCUUGCUUUUACCAGGCACAUCGUUUUUUCAUGCCCCUAGUUUUCAUGCAUUUCCUUCACUUCUUUUUCAUGGGCAUUGGCCUUGCUUUUACCAGGCACACUGUUUUUUCAUGCCCCUUAGUUCUAUUUUGAUUUCAAUUCUUGCGCACAAUGCACACUUCAAGGAAUUAUACUUUAAAUGACACUCAAACUUUCAAAGGUCUUCAUCUGUCUCUUGCCUUGCCCCAGUGUGGGGGAUGAUCAUCAACUGGGUUUAAAAGAAACGAAAUUGUAGGCUCAAGUGGGCUAUGCAAAGGAUAUAAGUGUAUAGGAUAGAGAAAGAAAUGCUCUUUGUCAUCCUAAGGCAUUUAAAUUAUCACAUGAAUUCAACGUAAUAGCAUGACCUGAAGAUUGAUGCAAGUGAGAGCAUGAAAAUUUCUUUCCAUUUUCCUCAUCUCAUGAUGUCAUUUUACCUCCCAAUUGCCCCAAUGUGGGGUGGUUCUUGACAUGGGUAAUUUGAAAAAAUUCCUAUAAGUGUAUAGAGCUCAAAGAAGUUAAACAAUGGAUCACCUAUAGUGUUUGGGAUAGAGAAAUAAAUUGCCCCUCAUCAUUUUGGUUAUCAUACAUUUUGCGAGAAAGCUCUUUACCUCGUGGAUACAAACUUUCCUACACUCACCUCACAAGUGUAUGAGUAGAGGACUGUGUUUAGGAUAGGGUUUGCCUUUCAUCAUCCCGACUCAUUUCAUUUAGUAUACUCAAUUCAAUUCCACAUCAUUCAUUAAAUUAGUCCAUCUUGAUGUUCUUUAGUGGAAUUGGUGGAUAAAACAUGUAAGAGUCAUCAUGCAAAAUCCUUUUUUUUUUAAAGAGCCUAGCAGCUUUAAGCAUGAAAAAUUGUCAACUUCAAAAUAGAUAGUUUUCCACACUGCAAAAUGGUUUUAAGCAUUCACUCAAGGAUUCCUCUACAAUGGGAUUGCAUCAGCAGUUGAUGUCUUUGGAUUGUCCCUAUCAUUCAAGACUGAAAAUCCAUUUUUGCCCCAGGAUCUGUCAUGCCCCCAAUCUGUCACAUUAGCACUUUAGAAAUGUGUCCUUGACAGUUAGGCCAAUUGCAACCUUGUGUGCCUUUUUCAAAUGCCUUUUCAUCAGACCAAGAAAGUAAUGCUUUGAAACAUGAAGUAAAUGAAUCAGAAAAUUAAGCAGGACUAACCUAAUGCAUGCUUUUGGAAAUGGCUUCAAAAAUGAUUUUAUUUUAUACAUUUUUUGAUGAGGAAUCAUGAAGAAACCCAGUUCUCAGGAUUUCUCCAUAGAUAAUAUUUUCCUUUCAUGAUUGGAUAUUGUCAUUGGACUGGUUUGGUAUACCCCAUCAUAUCUUCAAAACAAAACUUGUAAUUUUUUUUAUAUUCAUCAAUCAAAUUACAUUUAUUGGAAUGAAAAAUGUGAUAUUCAAGCAUUAGAAGAAAUUGAAACAAAUCCUUGAAAAGCAAUAAAAAUUCCCACGUAGGUGCAACUGAACAUGCCCCUAAUUAAAUAAGGAAAGCGAUCUACUUAAGACCAUAAAUCAUGUGUGCUUGAGUUCUUCACCCUCCUUGAUCUUGUGAUGCAAACCCUCCAGGUCGGAGAUUCUUCCUUCUAGAUAUGUCACUAGUCUCUUCAUGGUGGCAUCAAAUUCAGCUACCUCAGGAAAAUGAGACGAUUCAAAGGUUCUUUUGGCUCUCUUCUUCGAGUCGCAAUUUCUCACUGAAGAUAGAGUACCUAUGUCAUCACAGCCCUUUUGCUUGAUGAGAAAAGCCACAGUAGCAGACAAUUCAUCGACUUGACUUUGGAGGUGUGCAAUUCGCUUGUUCAUAUUGUUAAUGAUAUGGUCCAGCACAUCGUUUUGAUCUGCCAUUUGAGCUCUCGACCGUGUAAAUAGAGAGCUAGUCCAUGACGGCAAUCUAAUCGAUUUUUUCAUUUUUUUUUUAAUUUAUUCAUGAAAAGUCUGUGCGAGUUCGCUCCAUAAUUACCUAAUUCAAAUAAAUGGGAACACGUAAGCAUGGGGUGUAAAUAGAGAGUUAGUCCAUGACGGCAAUCUAAUCGAUUUUUUCAUUUUUUUUUUAAUUUAUUCAUGAAAAGUCUGUGCAAGAAAGGAAUUUCCUAAAAAUAACUAGAAAAAUAAAAAUAUGACACCCUAGCAAGAACUAAAUUUCCUAAACAAGAAUUAAGAAAGGCCAAAAUUUGAAACUCCCUAAUGAGAACAAUAAAUACAUGAAUUGAAAAUAAAUUUUCCAAAGUUUUUGUUAUUUUCCAAAUGAUCCAUUGCAGGGCAAUUUCCUCAUUUCAUUUAUAACUGACAAAUGAAUUAAAUCAAUGAUUAACCUAGAUUGCCAUGGACCGACCCAAAAGUAUGACAAAAUGAAUUACAUGAUAUAGGGAUAGAAGACUUACUUCACCAAAGAAAAUCAAUGACAAUCACAUAGACAUGCACAUAAGAUCUGAGGCUCGAUUUCUACCUAGACCGCUUAACAAAGUGGAGCUAAGAGGAUGAUCUGACCGUUGCAAUCUCGCAUUAACGUGUUAGGUCCUCCUAAAUCCGGCUCAGUCAAAUGGAAUGCUCAAUAGUCACGCAGUUUCGCCGAUAUGGACAAACACAUUCGACACCAUGAAAGAAAUUUCGAGGAAGAAAAAAAAGAAAUUUCGAGAAAGUCAACAUCUACAUAGCAAUCUCGCUUUGGAGGAAGUAUCAUUCUCAAUACCAUCCUAGAAAUCCUAUCGCAGCCCAAGUCCGACCGCAGGUUGUGUGUGCAAUAGUGUAAUGCUAAAAGCAAUAGAACAUACACAACAGCUUAAAUGCAAACAACACUUCUAUAGUUUUAAUUCAAACAUUCAUCCCUAAUUCCAACCUGCAGGACAGGGGUUAGCAAAAACUACUCCCCUUAUACCUUCCAUUUGCAAGAACAUUUAACAACUUAGAAAUGUUAGGGAUGUACCUGGUGUCCUUGCUGCCAAGUAAAAAUGUUUUUAAAAGAAAAAAAAACUGGCCUAAGUCCACUAAGUGUUUUAACACAAGUCUCCAGCGGAGUCGCCAAGCUGUCGCGACUUAAAUUUCGGGUGCACCACCUAAGUUUAGGCUAAUAGAUUACUAAGUCUUUAAACUUAGCUCGGGUACUCCCAAGUCCAUACCAAUUCGCGACUUAAAGUUCAAAUAUUUAACAUGCAAAUGAUUAUUACCUAAGAGUUGCCACUAAUCGGUUUAUGGUAGGUCGAUUAGACACCUAAGUAAAAUAAUGGGAGAUUUACUUUACUCCUACGAACUAGAGAUUGUGAGUUUGGGGACUUGGUUACGCUAGAUUUCUCUAACGCCCUUUCAGUACCUCUUCAUUUUUAUUUAAAAAAAAUAUUUUGCAGGUAGCUUGAAUUGAUUUUAAUUUACCUCCCUAACAUGUGAGGUGAUCAUACGGAUGCGCAAACCAUCAAUUUAGCACUCAAGAAAGCAAAUGAAUAAAUUGCAAAACUUACUUCAUAGCAACGAAAGCAUCUGCAAUGUUAGAUUAUAAUUCACAUCGACGAUCUUAGAUAUGAUUUCUAAUUAAUACACAAUCACUCAAUUUUGGUUUUCACUUUAUUUUAAUGAGAAUCAUGUAAUGCAUGCUACUAAUUUAAUAUGAAAUGAUAUGGCAUGGCAAUAUGACCUAAACUAUAUAACAUGAAUAAGCAUGCAAUUUAUCCUAAAGCAUGAAAUGAAUUUAUUAUAUUUUUUUUUUGUAUUUUCCAUGAAAUUCGAAAUUAAACAAAUGCAACAAUUAAAUAGGCAAUCUAAAUUAAUCAAAUGACCUAAUUCUAAUGACGAGUAAUUUCUAACUAAAUGAACCUAGCAACAAUCACUAGAUGACGAAAAUUUCAUAAACCUAAUCCUACAUGUCUGAUUUAUUAAACCUCCAAGCUUUGAUGCAAGAUUUUGAUUUUUUAAUUUUUUUAAAAUUUUUUUAGUGCUUUUCCAAGACAAGUAAUUAUCAAAUAAAAAUUAAAUCUAAACAAUCAAGAUAUUCAACAAAUAAAUGAUUAAAAUAAUCGAAAAAAUAAUCCGUUAUCUCACGGGUUAAAUUAACAAUUACUCUAAUCCUAAACAUCACGGCAUAGAGUUCAAAAUAAUUAAAAUCUGAUCCGAAAUCUUACGGAUCAAAUUAAUAAUUAUAAUUAUUUAACAAUUAAAAUACUAUCAACAAAUCUCAAAAAUUAAUAUAAUUAAAAAAAUGAUCCGACAUCUUACGGAUCAACUUAAUAAUUACAAUAAUUUUGGGUAAAACCCUUGAGGUUAAUGUCUAUAAUAUCCAUAAACUGAAAAUCACCUCUCAAUAUUCAAACUGUACAAUGAUAAAUAAAAUAAAGUAAGAUAACAUAAAUGAAAAAUAAAACAAAAGUAAAAAGUAAAAAUAAAAAUAAACCACCUAAGGGAUUUUGAAGGGGGAGAAGUAGCGGUGAUCGGCGCCGGACAGAGGGUGGCCGGCGUUGGAGCUCCGGCGGGGACUGGCGGCGGUGCGGCGCCUGGCACGGCUAGCGAACGGCGACGAUGAGGCUGGCCGGAGACACGGCAUCAGCGGAAGCAGGAGUACAGUCGUCGGGCGCAGGCUACUGGCUUCGCACACUGGGUCGCGGCUGAGGCUAUGCGACCGGUGAGUGGAGACGGCGCAGGCGUCGGAUGUUGCUCGAGGACGACGAGCGGCGAGAUCAAGUUCAGCCUCAAGAGCACCCUUUACACGCAGGCUUGGACCGCGGCCCUUGUUUGUUCUCAACAGCGACAGUGUUGGGAGCCACUUCGGGAGAUAUGGCCUGAUUCGGAGUAGCAGGUCACACUAACGCAUUGCGAGAGGAGGGGCUAAGACCCUUAACCUUACCAACACCAGGCUGGGCCUCAUUUGAGAGGCCACCCCCAUCAGCGAAGUGGAUACCAUAACGCAAAAGAAACCUCCCACAGCCCAAAACGCAUCCUACAGUACAGACUUUGCAGGGAAAGAAGCCAUAUCAGGGCAGAGGCUAUUACGGGAUGAGGAGGGGUGCUUAGGAGUCAACACAACCACCGCUAAGUCUUCACCACAACACUGGCACCCCGCACGAACAGAACCAAGGGAGAAAACCAGCAGUGGAUCGGCCGAGAACUAGGGUGACUUCGAUCUCCUCUUUUGGGGCAAAACAGAACAAUCCACUCGGUGAGGUUCCAGAGGGAAGCCAGAAGAAGGAGCCCUCCAAAAUUCGAGCCAAACCAGCGGCUACCAAAGCCGGGAUGAGCUGGAAACUAGACAAGAUGAACAGGGAGAAAAUCGCACCCUAGAGAGAAGAUGUGAUUAGUAUACCGAGAAUGCACAAAUGGCCAACCCUAGAUAGGGGAUUUCUUUGAGCUGCUCAUAAGGAAGUUUCCAAUGGUAAUUUGUGCAAAUGAUAUGGCAUUUUCUUUGUGAAAAUGUAAGUAUUUCGAGCAGUGAGAUAAUUCUAUGCGAGGCUAAGGAUUAUGGGUUUGGAUAUAAUUUAGAUAUAGGAAACACUCAAGUGAAGUAUGUAAGUAAUUGUAACUCUGUACUUGUACGAUUGAUUCGUGGAUUAUUUACUGCUGACUCUCCCUGUGAAAUAGGUACCGACACUCAGACUGAAUCACGUAAAUCUCUCAAUUAGUGAUCUUCUUCCUCUCACCAUUUUACUUCAAGUUGCUCAACUUUUUUGCGAUUCAAUGGUCUUCUUCCUCCCAAGCUUUCUCAUUGUUCUUCUUUUAGAUUUUAAUAUUUAUUUAUUCAAGCUCUUAUCUUUUAUCAUAAAAAAAGCACUUGUUUUGCUUUUCAAGAUUAUGUUGGCCAAAUAGGAUGUGACAUGGGGUGCUAGCAAGACACUUAACAGUAUUUUAACAGCACCGUUAGGAUAGGAUGAACUAGAAAUAAAAACAUAAUAUUUAGGGAUCUUAGUGCUCACAAGAAAAUGUUGAAAGAUCUUAUUGAACAAUUUAAAACAUUUCAAAGGCCUCCGAUGCCUUUAUUCCUCUCUUUUAGUGGGGAAAUUUCCGUCUUUUAGUCAAAGAAAGAUCGGGGGGUUGAUUGGUUCUCCUCAGCAGAUCAGUUCUCAAGUUUAAUUUUGGGAGACUUUCGGGGUGUCGAAUCACACGGGUUAUUAGAAAAUUGAUAGUGGUAGGGCUAAUUUUCUCUCUUUUUUCCUUUUCGAAAUGAUAGUGGCUUACUUUGUUAGAAUGAGACGACGGACUUUUGCGCAGCGGCAGUUGGUUUCUUUGUUCUGUCCGAAAUUAGUGGACUUUACACGCCGACCCCCAUGCACCAUCCGCGUGAUAUUUCUUGUUGUGAACAUUUUAUUUGCUUGAACCUUGUCCUCAGUUAACAUCGAAAGUGUUUUGUCGACUGGACUCUAAAUAGUUCGAGUACUGCUUGUUGCACAGAGAGUUGGAAAAGCAUGACAUUUGCCGCAGCAUUACAUUUAAAUAGUUCAGGGUGCAGACACCUAAUUUUGUCACUUGAAUGUUUUUCACUAAUGCACGCCGACUGACCAUGACCUCAAUUGGAGAUUCAUGAGAACGCUCCUAAAAAUCAUCCGAGCGGUCUAAUAGCUCAAGAUUAUCGCAAUUCUCUGGCGACAGAAAGAUUGCCGUGUCAAUUGCCGACAGCGUCAUCAGAUUGGAUCUUUGAUAUCACGGUUUCUUGUGCCAAACAAACUCAAAUCAAUCCCCUUCAGACUGAAAGUGAAGUGAACUUAGCAUGGCCAGCUCGGUUUUAGUCCAGUUUAAGAUCAAAAUCGAUUCAGAAUUUUGUCUGGGUGGAGAGACCUACCGUCUUUUGUCUCUAAUUUCUUCUUAUAGCCAAUUUUGACUCGUGAUAUCUGUCGCGACCUAAAUUUUUCAGGGCAAUCCUAAAGUUUAGGUUAAUGGAUUACUAAGUCCGAAGACUUGGCACGGAUCCUCCCAAGUCCUACCAAUCGCGACUUGAUGUUAAGAAAUUUAAACAUGCAAUUAUAUUCAAUUUGGAGCAGCCACUAAUCAAUUAGGGUUGAUUAGAAACUCAAAUAAAGCAUGGGAGAAUACUUUAUUUUUACGAACCAGAGAUUCAAUGAGUCCGGGGACAUGAUUACGCUAGAUUAGUCUAACGCCCUUUCGGUACCUUUUAUUUUAAUUUCAAAAAUAUUUUGCAGGCAAUAUUUGAUUAAUUUUAACCUAAGUUACUAACAUGCAAAUGGUGGUCAUGCGGGUGUACGAUUAAUAACAUUCAAUAAAAAAUGCUAAUAAAAAUGCAUGCUCUAAACAUGAUUUCUAAAUGACAAGCCACCUAAUUUUUCUUUUUUUUUUCUUUUAAAAAAAAUGUUAAUUAUAUGCAAUCUUAAUCUAAAUUUAAUAUGCAUGGAUUUAUUUUAAUGACAUGCGAUAUGCAAUUCAUAUGGUAUGACUUAAACUUAUCACUAUAUGUAUGCAAUCUAAUUUUUAUUGAAAUUCGAAAUUAAUAAUAAAGAAUAAGUAAACUAUCUAAAGUGAAUAAUAUUCUAAUUUAUUUUAGGAAUAAAUUUAACUUAAACUAUAUCUUAUCUUAAAAGCUAUAUAAGAAAUCAAGACAUGCCAACAUUAUUUAAAAUUAGCCCUAACAAAAAUCACCCAUCUAAAAGUAUAAUCUAAAAAUUAUAAUUCUAUAAAUGCAAUUCUAAUUUACUAACCCUAAAAAUACAGUCCUAAUUUACUAAAUCUAAAUGCUCCAAUGCAAUAUUUAGAAUUUUAUGCACUUUUUGAUUUUUUUUAAUCUUUCCAAAUAAGUAAUUAUUUUAAAAGAAAUAUGAUAAGAAUUAAAAUAACCGAAAAAAAAAUAAUCCGUUGUCUCACGGAUUAAAUUAACAAUUAUUUUAACUCUAUAACGAUUUAAGGAUUGAAAUAUUAGUAAAAUUACUAAAAAUUAAAGUAAUUAAAAAAAUGACCCGACGUCUUACGGGUCAAAUUAAUAAUUACCUUAAUUUGAGAUAAAACCCCUAAUGUCUACAAGGUCUACAAAUUAUUGACAUACAAAAAAUUGCAAUUCAAAUAAUUAAACUAAAAAAAUAAACAAAAUAAAGUAAAUAAAAAAAAGAAAAUAAAACUACCUAAUUUCUUUUUCUUUUUUUUCUUUUGUUUUUUCCAUUAUUCUUUUUCCUCCCAAGAGACUUGGGCGUAGCAGUGGCUGCUCACCGUUGGGCACCAGUCACGGUUGUCGGAUCUCCGGCGAGGAUCGGCAAUGGGUGAAUCGGCGGCGAGCGGUCCGGCGGCAACAGCAAGUCGCGGGUGUCGGUUCGGAGGAGAGCGCGGCGUCGGGAGGAGCUCGAGUCGGUGGCGUCGGGUGUCGCCCGGGAGGGCAGCACGGUGACCUGCAGAAGGGACAGAAGCGCGCGGUGAUGGGCACUGCAGAUUGCGGCAGGUCACAGGUGUCGGUUCGGAAGGGGGGCGCAGCGUCGGGAGGAGGGUGCGGCGUCGGGUCGUCGCGGCAACGGUGCGAGAUCGGGCACGGCAGCAGCAAUCGUCGGAGGAACAAAAAACUGCCUGCGUCUCUGGUGGCUCGGAGGCCGACUGAGGGUGGUUCAGAGAGGAUCUGCUGGCGGAGCGACGGUGGCGCGACGAUGACCGGUUGAAUCGCGAACCGGCGGGUUGCAGGCGAAGCGAAGGGAGCUGCUGCAGGUGUCGGCGGUGGGGCUGGAAGUCACGGCGUGACUGGCGGAGCAGCGGUGGCGGAGGCGAGCAGUGCAGCGAGGUAGCAAGACGCAGAUGUGGCUGGCGUUGCGGCGGCGCGGGUGGCGCAGGUGCGGUGGGCAACAGCGGGCACCGGUGGCUUUGGAGAAGACGGACUGUAGCCCCUUUUCUUUUUUUUUUCUUUUUUUGUUUUUCUCCCUGCUCUUAUUGCUCUUUGUCUUUGACUCUUCUCUCUCGUGUAUUUUUUUUUUUUCUCUCUCUCACCUGUCUCUCUCACGUCACUUCCCAUUGUUUUCUCUCUGCACCUUUCUUCUGACUUUUCCUUCAGCAGAUUUUCUUUAAAGGCAUCAACGAAAAAGCCCUGAAAAACCUUCCAUUCUUUUCACCUCUUUCGAACCCCGAGAAACCCCCGAACGAUAGAAUUUUUGCUCUGAAUUUUUUUCGAAUUUUUCCCCCCUCGGUUCCGAAACCUAGCAUUCCUUUUUAUAGAGGAAAGACUUGAAAUUGUUGAAGAUCCGGCGAUAUUCACUCAACUUCUUCAACAAAGAAAUGGCUCCAAAAAUCAAACGAAUAAUUUUUUUAAAAUUUUGAAAUGAGAAUAUAUUUUCAACAACAAAGAUUUUCAAAAAUCGAAUUUUAUUUAAUUUAUUAUUUUUUAAAAUAUUAGGUGUCAAUAGCUGCCCCUCUUUGAAGGGAAGUUCGUAGAGAUUUCCUUCAAAGAUAAAUGACACCUAAAUUUAAAUCAUCCAAAAUGAAUAUGCAAAUGCUAAUUGUAAUGACCUUUUUUUUUUUUUUAAAGAAAUGGACUCAAAUAAAUGCGAUGUCAUGCAAUAAAGAAUGCCAUGUAAAUGCAAUGAUUUGGUCAAGAACAUAUAUUUCAAUGUGUCUAUGCUCAAUGAAAUGCAAAAUGCAAAAUGAAUGCAAAAUGAAUAUGGAAUGCAUAUGUAAAUGUUAAUGACCUCUUUUUCAAAUAAAUUUAAUUCUUUUUGAAAUGCAAGGUCAUGCAAUAAUGCAAUGUAAAUGCAAUGAUUUGGUCAAGAACGUAGAUCUCAAUGUGUCUAUGCUCAAUGAAAUGCAAAUGCAAAGAAAAACACGUACCUGUCAUACUUAUCUAGAGAUUCAAAAAAGUAUUAUCAGGUGUGAAAUGAUUCCUACAAGACCUGACAAACAUCUGGAAAUCUCUUCAGAUAAUUGAAAGGCUCAAAGUCUUUAGAGAUCUGGAACUCUCAUCAGAUCCCAAGCACCUGGAAUAACCUACCUUCAAGAAGGAUAGAGUAGUUCUAGGCAGUCGGUGUUACAUGUCUAGGACCCGUACCAUUCUACGGUCGCCUAAAAUAGUAACAUAACUUUACAAAGAAACUGUUUUCCCAGGACCCGUACCAUUCUACGGUCGCCCAAUAUGACAGUGUUUGAUUGUGUCUAGGACUCGUACCAUUCUACGGUCGCCUAAAUGGGGAUUUACCUUCCAUGACUCGUACCAUUCUACGGUUGCCUUGACGGAAAAUUGAUUUUUCAGGACCCGUACCAUUCUACGGUCGCCUGUUAGAGCAAUAAAUGUUGUUUAGGACCCGUACCAUUCUACGGUCGCCUAAAUCAAACUGAAUCUGAAGAAAAAUCUUUGGGGGAUUUGGGACUCUCAUCAAAUCCCAAGCACCUGGAAAUUGCAUCAAGUACUCAAAAAUUCUAAAUAUCUGGAAAUCACAUCAGACGCUCGAAAAGAUAAAUACUUAGAAGUCACAUCAAGCAUUUAAAUGUUUAAAUAUCUCGAGUUCACACUAGACAUUUGAAAAUAUUUUACUAAACAUCUGGAAAUCACAUCAGAUGUUUGAAAAGACAAAUACUUGGAAGUCACAUCAAGCAUUUAAAGAUUUAAAUAUCUGGAAUUCAUGCUGACAUUUGAAAACAUUUACUAAACAUUUGGAAAUCACAUCAGACAUUUGGAAAGACAAACACUUGGAAGUCACAUCAAGCAUUUAAGGGUUCAAAUAUCUGAAGUUCACACUAGACAUUUGAAAAUAUUUUAUAAAUGGGUACUUGGAAUUCUCAUCAAGCACCAAGAUGACUGAACAAACUCAGGGUUUCAAAGACAAUUUUUUGGUCUUUGAGGAAAAAUUCAAUGAUGGAUUUAUCAAGCUUUUACUGGAAAAAUUAUGACAAGGACAAUUUUCAGUUAUAGUGUGAAUCCCUUGAACAUGCUAAAUGAGACGCUUUUGGUGUGAAAAGGCUUUUUCACUCCCUCUCAUUUAGGAGGGGUUAUUUGUCCCAACCAUUGAUGCGGGAAUAUAUCACUCAAUCUUAUCAUCAUCUUGUCGACAAGAGUUCGAAUUUUCUUGCAAUCAGUACGGCCUUACUAAUCCGAGAGGACUUUAACAGGUACUGUAAUGUGAGCUUGGUCAAUGGCUUAACAAAGGGAUUCUUUGAGUGAAAGCAAUUGAAAGAACAAUUAUGUAAUCAUCUCCGGGUUUACAAGUCAAGAACCCUGCAAAAUGAGAAAGAAAUAAUCUUGCUCGCACUUCUUCGAGCAAUGCUUAAAACAUAUGAAUUCCUAUGUUAAUUCAAGUACCCUAAUCUGAAGAGACUUUGUAAGGGACGUAACAUAGGCUUGGUUCUUGGGUUUGAGAAACGAAAGGAUCGUUAGGCUCAAAGAUGUGUGUAAUGGGUAAGAGUUGGUGAUCAUCUUGACAUUACCACCAGUUUUCUUCGCCAUGGAUCGUCUUCUUGACAUAUUUCUUUAUUGGCUCAAGAGUUUAUCACCCGAUGCCAAUGAUUAUUCAACUGGACAUCUUUUCUCAACAUUUUUUCUUUUAAAAUCAUUUUCUUUGAUGAUGGGCAUCAAUCAGGCACACCGCUUUUUUCAUGCCCCCCAAUUCAUCAGUCAUUUCUCUUUUCUUUUCAUGGGCAUUGGCCUUGCUUUUACCAGGCACACUGCUUUUUCAUGCCCCUUAGUUCUAUUUUGAUUUCAGUUCUUACGCACAUGCGUGUGUCAAGUAUACCUUAAAUGACACUCGAAUCUUCAAGGGUCUUCAUAUGUCUCUUGCCUUGCCCCAGUGUGGGGGAUGAUCACCAACUGGGUUUAAAAGAAACGAAAUCACAGGCUCAAGUGGGCUAUGCAAAUGAUAUAAGUGUGUAGGAUAGUGAAAGAACGCUCUUCGUCAUCCUAAGGCACUUAAAUUACCACAUGAAUUCAAUGUAAAAGUAUAACUUGAAGGUUAAUGCAAGUGAGAGCAAGAAAAUUUCCAUCCAUUUCACUCUCCUUCAAUGUCAACUUACCUCCAUUUGCCCCGAUGUGGGGUGGUUCUUGACAGGGGUAGUAUGAAAGAAGUUCUUCAAGUAUUUAGGCUCAAAGAAGGGUUAAACAAGGGUUAACAAUAGAGAAAUGAACUGCCCCUCGUCAUUUUAAUUGUCGUACUUCAUGCAAGAAAACUCUUCAUCUUGAAACACAAAAUGUUUCUAUACUCACCUCACAAUGUAUAGACAGGGGACUGUGUAUGGGAUUAGGCUUGCCUUUCACACCUCAUUUACCAUGUUCAAGAAACUCGACAUCUUUCACUGAAUUAUCCAUUUUGAUAAAUUUCAAGUGGAAUUGACGAAUUGCACAUCAUGUGAAAACAUUCUGAAAUGAUAAAAAUGCCAUGCUCUAUUCUUGCACAUCAAAAGAUAAAGUUAAAGAUGUUAAGUGUCUGUGUCUUGCCCCUCUUUGCAAGGAAGCUCAUAGAGGUUCCUUAAAUGUGUGCAAGGAUGUACCUAAAACAUAAAGCAGAUAAUUAAAUGAAACAAACAGGGUAAAUUAGAUGCAUGCUGGAAGAUUAUUUUAUUUUGAAAUUUUUUUUCAAGGGAACAUGAAGAAGCCCAGCCUUCAGAAUUAGCUCCUUGCCAUUUUCUUUUUGGUAGGAUUUCAUCACAGGGCUAGCUUGGUAUACUUCAACAUGCCCUUAAAACAUGAAAAAUCUCCAUGCAUUUUAUUGGAUGAAAAGCAAAUUACAUUACUGAAAUGAGGGAAAUCCUAGAAUUGAAAAUGCAAAUAUGUAAAUACGGAAAGCGAUAAAGACUCUUGCGCAGAGGAGUGUCCUACUCUCGAGCUUCGUCGAUGGCAAACAAUUUAGUCAUUCCUUCGAAUGCGUCAUCAGAGCUCUCAAUCUUUGGAGGUGCAGGAUCAUCUAUGCCACCCCAUCCAUCUAGGAUGAUAUCCCGUGGGUCGAAAUAGGAGCUGGGAGGAGCCGAAUACUUUACAUAGUAAUCGAAUUUGCCACUUGGUUGCCCCAGAGUGUCCAUCACUUCUACUUCCUCAUGCAUCAUCUGAAACAUGGUGGGCUCAGCAUCAAAACCGAAAAUGGCAUUCACAGCUUCUGAGUGGUCAGGGAGUGGGUUAUUCUGGAUGUUCGGCUGUGCAUCGCGGAAUGAGACCACGUUGGCAUCCAAAAGAUUUUGGAUUUUAUGUUGCAGCGUAUAGCAAUCGUCAAUAGAAUGCCCUACCUCUCCCAUAUGAUAAGCACAUGUCUUGGACGGAUCAUAGUUGGGGAAUCGCUUGGGAUUAGGUCGCUUAGGCUCUUUAGCGAGUAAUCCUUUCUUCUGAAGGGUUGGCAAGAUCUUGGACAAUGCUUAGGAAGAGGCGUAAAUUGACGCCUGGAAGAGUUCUUCUGCUGGCCAAAGAAUGGUCGUGCUCCUCCCUGAUGGGUGUUUGGGGUAGGGCAAGGUGGUUGCACAUAAGCUGCAUUAACCUCCGCUACAAGUUCCUUAUCCUUCUUGGUUGAGACUCUUCCAUAUGAGCUGGUUUGAUCAGACGCCCAUCCAUCACGCAAUGCUACUUCAAUUCGCUCACCAAUAGGGAUUAGCUGAUUGAAUGACUCGGCAGUCGAUCCCAGCAUUCGAUUUCGAUACUCAGGCGGGAGUGUCUUCAUAAACAAAUCCAUCAGCUCCUUUUCUGUUGGCUCUGGAGUUAUUUGAGCGGCUACAGUCCUCUAUCUCGUGACAUAUGCCUUGAAAGAUUCCGUCCUCUUCUUCUCAGUGCGAAGUAAAUCUUCUCGAGAUGGAGUGACAUCAAUAUUAUACUUAUAUUGCUUAAAGAAGGCAUCUGUCAAAUCCUCCCAAGUCUCCAGCAGAUUAAUCUUCUUCAUGAUGUACAAUUGCAACGCCGGUCCCGUCAAGCUUGCUUGAAAUUGUUGAAUCAUCAAGGGGAUGUUAUCAACAUAUUGGGUCAUCCUGACCACAUAAGUCUACAGAUGGAUCUUUGGGCAAGAGGUGCCAUCAUACUUUUCAAAGUCUGGCAUUUUGAACUUCUUUGGUAUCUUGAUCUUUGCAUAAUGGGAGAGAUCAGUUGGGACUUGGCUAAAUGAACCCUGCAGCUGCUUGAGUUUCUCCUCAAUUUUUAUCAAGCGUUUUUCCUGUUCCGUCUUCGGUACAGCCGAGUGUAUCACUUGUACCUCCUCAUCAACAACAAUUUGAGGCACGUCAGUAAUUUUCUCUUUGGAGGAAUCAUCAGAGGUAGAUGGCCCAACUGCGGAUGUAUUCUUGCCUUUAUCUCUCGGAUCAGCUGUAUUCUUGCCUUUAUCUCUUGGAUCAACCAUGGGAGCCUGUUGUGAUAACACCACUUCAACUUGCGGAGCUGGUGGAGCAGUGUUUGCUUGGAGAGAAUCGAUUUGCUUAGAGAGCCGCUCAAGAACAUUCAUGACUUGUUUCAUCUCCGAUUCAAGGGCAGCAAUGCGAGCUUGUUCAGCCAUUGUUGCUCUAGAACGGGUACGGAUUGGCGAUCUUGGAUUAGCCGUGUUGUCACCUAACAAUGUAAAAUAAUGCAGUAAGUAUCAUAACAAAUGAGAUUGGUCCAUGACAACGGUCAAUCGCUUCAUUUUAUUUGAAUUUUGAAUAAAAUUUUCUAACUAAGAAUUGAAAUUCAAGUCCCUAAACAUUGAACUAAGAAACAAAAACAUCUCAUUUUAUAUGUUUUUGGAAGUAGAAAUGAAUUGUAUGUCGGUUUUCCCCAUCGUAUAUAAAAUAAGACUGACGACGAAACCUAAUGUCAUGGACCAUCGAAAUUGCAAGUAAGUAAAUUGCAGUAAUGAGAAUUUAAACAACUUACUUUCACUGGUAAUGGAUGACAAUCACAUAGACACAUGCAUGAAAUGUGGGGCUCGAUUUCUAUCUAGAUGGCUUAACAAAAUGGAGCUAAGAGGAUGAUCUGAUUGUUGCAGUCUCGCAUUAACGUGUCAGGUCCUCCUAACCCCGGCUCAGUCGAAUGAAAUGUCUAAUAUCACGCAGUCUUGCGGAUAUGGACAAACACAUUCGACACCAUGAAGAACUUUCGGGGAAGAGAAUGUCAACCUCUAUAUAGCAGUCUCGCUUUAGAGGAAGUAUCAUUCUCAACACCAUCCUAAGAAUCCUAUCGUAGCCCAGGUCCGGCAGCAGGUUGUGUGUGCAAUAGUGUAGUGCUAAAAACAAUAAAACAUGCACAACAGUUUAAUUGCAAACAACACUUCUAUAGUUCAACCAUUCAUUCUUAACUCCAACCUGCAAAACAAGGGUUAGCAAAGACUACUCCCCUUAUACCUCCCAUCUGCAAAAACAUUUAACACUUCGUGUUAGGAGCGUACCUUGUUUCCAUCCUGCCAAACAAAAUAUUUUUCUUAAAAAAAAUAAAACAGGCCUAUGUCCACUAUGAGUUUUAACUCUGUCCCCAGCGGAGUCGCCAAGCUGUCGCGACCUAAAUUUUUCAGGGCAAUCCUAAAGUUUAGGUUAAUGGAUUACUAAGUCCGAAGACUUGGCACGGACCCUCCAAAGUCCUACCAAUCGCGACUUGAUGUUAAUAAAUUUAAACAUGCAAUUAUAUUCAAUUUGGAGCCGCCACUAAUCAAUUAGGGUUGAUUAGAAACCCAAAUAAAGUAUGGAAGAAUACUUUAUUUUUACGAACCAGAGAUUCAAUGAAUUCGGGGACAUGAUUACGCUAGAUUAGUCUAACGCCCUUUCGGUACCUUUUAUUUUAAUUUCAAAAAUAUUUUGCGGGCAAUAUUUGAUUAAUUUUAACCUAAGUUACUAACAUGCAAAUGGUGGUCAUGCGGGUGUACGAUCAAUAACAUUCAAUAAAAAAUGCUAAUAAAAAUGCAUGCUCUAAACAUGAUUUCUAAAUGACAAGACACCUAAUUUUUCUUUUUUUUUUCUUUUAAAUUUUUUUUAAUUAUAUGCAAUCUUAAUCUAAAUUUAAUAUGCAUGGAUUUAUUUUAAUGACAUGCGAUAUGCAAUUCAUAUGGUAUGACUUAAACUUAUCACUAUAUGUAUGCAAUCUAAUUUUUAUAAUCCUAAAUAUGCAUGUGCUACAUGAUAUGGGAUGAAUGACAUGAUAUUUCUACAUGCAUGCUCUUUUUUGAUUUUAUUUUAAUGAUGAUUCAUUUUUAAUGCAUAUAUGCAACCUAUGCUAAAUAAUGAUGAUAUGAGAUUAAUUAUGAAUUAACCUAUUAACUAACCAAGGAAAUGAUCUUUUUUUUAAAUUUUUUUAAUGACAUAAUAUUUUUUAUUAAAAAGAAAACAACUUAAUGGUGCAAUGAUCAUCUUUUAGCAUUUUCUUUUUUAUUAAAAAAAACUAUAACUCAUAUGGCAUGCAUGACAUUUUUUGUUCAUCUUUUUGUUUUAUUAAAUGAAAAUUCACUUAAUCUAAAAAUAUCUAGGUAUGUUGCUUUAAUAUGAAAUGUGCAUGGACCUAAGUACCUAAGUUCUAGAUAUGACAAUAUUUUACUAAUAAACAAAUUCUAAUUAAACUUAUUAUGCAAAUUAACUAGCAUGUACCUAAUAUUUUUUGGAUUUUUUUUAUUGAAAUUCGAAAUUAAUAAUAAAGAAUAAGUAAACUAUCUAAAGUGAAUAAUAUUCUAAUUUAUUUUAGGAAUAAAUUUAACUUAAACUAUAUCUUAUCUUAAAAGCUAUAUAAGAAAUCAAGACAUGCCAACAGUAUUUAAAAUUAGCCCUAACAAAAAUCACCCAUCUAAAAGUAUAAUCUAAAAAUUAUAAUUCUAUAAAUGCAAUCCUAAUUUACUAACCCUAAAAAUACAGUCCUAAUUUACUAAAUCUAAAUGCUCCAAUGCAAUAUUUAGAAUUUUAUGCACUUUUUGAUUUUUUUUAAUCUUUCCAAAUAAGUAAUUAUUUUAAAAGAAAGAUGAUAAGAAUUAAAAUAACCGAAAAAAAAAUAAUCCGUUGUCUCACGGAUUAAAUUAACAAUUAUUUUAACUCUAUAACGAUUUAAGGAUUGAAAUAUUAGUAAAAUUACUAAAAAUUAAAGUAAUUAAAAAAAUGACCCGACGUCUUACGGGUCAAAUUAAUAAUUACCUUAAUUUGAGAUAAAACCCCUAAUGUCUACAAGGUCUACAAAUUAUUGACAUACACAAUAUUGCAAUUCAAAUAAUUAAACUAAAAAAAUAAACAAAAUAAAGUAAAUAAAAAAAAGAAAAUAAAACUACCUAAUUUCUUUUUCUUUUUUUUCUUUUGUUUUUUCCAUUAUUCUUUUUCCUCCCAAGAGACUUGGGCGUAGCAGUGGCUGCUCACCGUUGGGCACCAGUCACGGUUGUCGGAUCUCCGGCGAGGAUCGGCAAUGGGUGAAUCGGCGGCGAGCGGUCCGGCGGCAACAGCAAGUCGCGGGUGUCGGUUCGGAGGAGAGCGCGGCGUCGGGAGGAGCUCGAGUCGGCGGCGUCGGGUGUCGCCCGGGAGGGCAGCACGGUGACCUGCAGAAGGGACAGAAGCGCGCGGUGAUGGGCACUGCAGAUUGCGGCAGGUCACAGGUGUCGGUUCGGAAGGGGGGCGCAGCGUCGGGAGGAGGGUGCGGCGUCGGGUCGUCGCGGCAACGGUGCGAGAUCGGGCACGGCAGCAGCAAUCGUCGGAGGAACAAAAAACUGCCUGCGUCUCUGGUGGCUCGGAGGCCGACUGAGGGUGGUUCAGAGAGGAUCUGCUGGCGGAGCGGCGGUGGCGCGACGAUGACCGGCUGAAUCGCGAAUCGGCGGGUUGCAGGCGAAGCGAAGGGAGCUGCUGCAGGCGUCGGCGGCGGGGCUGGAAGUCACGGCGUGACUGGCGGAGCAGCGGUGGCGGAGGCGAGCAGUGCAGCGAGGUGGCAAGACGCGGCGGUGGCUGGCGUUGCGGCGGCGCGGGUGGCGCAGGUGCGGUGGGCAACAGCAGGCACCGAUGGCUUCGGAGAAGACGGACUGUAGCCCCUUUUUUUUUUUUUUUUUGAUUUUCUCCCUGCUCUUACUGCUCUUUGUCUCUGACUCUUCUCUCUCGUGUAUUCUUUUUUUUUUUUUUCUCUCUCACCUGUCUCUCUCACGUCACUUCCCCUUGUUUUCUCUCUGCACCUUUCUUCUGACUUUUCCUUCAGCAGAUUUUCUUUAAAGACAUCAACGAAAAAGCCCUGAAAAACCUUCCAUUCUUUUCACCUCUUUCGAACCCCGAGAAACCUCCGAACGAUAGAAUUUUUUCUCUGAAUUUUUUUCGAAUUUUUCCGCCCUCGGUUCCGAAACCUGGCAUUCCUUUUUAUAGAGGAAAGACUUGAAAUUGUUGAAGAUCCGGCGAUAUUCACUCAACUUCUUCAACAAAGAAAUGACUCCAAAAAUCAAACGGUUAAUUUUUUUUAAAUUUUGAAAUGAGAAUAUAUUUUCUACAACAAAGAUUUUCAAAAACCGAAUUUUAUUUAAUUUAUUAUUUUUUAAAAUAUUAGGUGUCAACAAUAUCUUAUAUGUUUCAGAUCCAAUUGAGGUGAUUAUUGAUGAUAUAUAAAACUCGUAGCUCCUAUUCUCGACUAACACCAUCUGAUUGAGAAAAUUACAUAACUCCUGACAUCAUCAAUACUGAAUGGCCGAUAUUUGGUGGAAUGAGUUCUCGAGAUGCAAUCAUCAUGUCUAAAUAAAUUGGUAUCAUCUGAAAGCUCUCCCCAGAUUGCAUCCUCUUAUAUCGUCCAUCAAAUUUUGAAACAAGUUAGGUCCCAGGUCAAUUUGGUCAAACCAUGAAAAUGUUAGGUGUAAAAUGAGAAUUUACACGUUCUUAAAGUUAUGCAAUGAUACAUACAAGUGGGGUCUGAUGAUGCUCACUGUACGUAGCGCCUCCAAACCAACGAAAAUUAUCUAGGUCUUUGUGGGCGGCUGCAUCUAGGCUUUUUCCCCCCCUUUUACGCUAACUUAUUUGAUUGGUAGGGUCCUGAUACCUUUAACUUAAAGCAAGGGAAAUAGAAUAUAUGAUGUGUGAAUUACCCUCUUGUUUAUAUUAUUACGUAGAUAUAUCCUAAGCAAUAAUCAAAAGUCAAGCUUUGUUACUAUAUAUGCUUUGAAAGAAUGUAACAAAGUUGGUAAUACUUGAUAUAAUGUGAUUUGCAUAUACUGAUGUCACAAAUUGAUGAUUGAUGGUCCGGACAUGCAUUUUUCAACCCCUUCAUAUGACCAAAAAAAAAAAAAUCUUUCUAACUCUGAAAGUUAAAAGAAAGAGAACUUUGCCCGACUAACUAAAAAUCAAUAUAUUCUUUAUUUUUUUCUCCUUUUGAAAAUUAUAAAACGAAUGUUGUAGAAUUUAAUUUCGCAUUACAAACGCAUGACAUUGGACUACGACUUAUGUCAUUUAUAGCUAGAUCAAACUUGCCAUUAUAGUGAAAUUGAAAUUGGAACUAUAGUUUCCUUAGCCCAAUUUAUUUGUAUUUUUCAAAGUUAUCUAAUAGAAUUAGAACAAAACAAGCGAGGGAAUUGCAAUGGAAUUGAUUACACGUAGUGCAAGUGGAGAGUUACUCUUUUUCUUUUAGUUAAUGGCACUGGUUGUGUGAGAACAAGUGCAAUAGAAGCCCUAAUGUUUUGAUGGUUGAUUAAUUAAGUCCUAAAUGCUUUGUUCUCAGUCAAUUGAGUUUUAAAUUUUUUGACAAAGAUCCAAUUAAGUACUAAUAUCAUUGUCAAUGACCUUGGACAGCUCUACUCUUAAAGAUUACUAUGAAAUGAAUCAUCAUUUUAACCACAUGAGAGAUAAAGCAUAUGAAUCUUAUCGAUCCAUGGUUAGAGAACUUUAUGUGAUUUAUUCUUGAUUAUUAUAAAAAAAAACACUUAAUUUUGUGAAAAACUAAAAUGACAUGAUUUUGCAAUGAGUUAAUUUAGCAGGGAAUUAGGACAGAAUUACAUCUUUUUCCAAUAAGGCUUAGAGUUCAAUUAACUAAAUGGGAUGUUUAACACACGAUCAACAACCAACCCAAAAGGCUUAGGGCUAUAUUGAGCGUCGUAUAUAAGUUAUGGCACUCAAAGUGGUUGAAAAAAAUAAUUAUAGCACUUGUGAUGUUAUUUUCCCCUUUGUCAUUCCCGAUCUACUUACUUUACUGGCAUGGUUCAACCUUGGAAGAUUACAAGGCUACUAGGUUUGGGAGAGAGGACUAGACAUGGAUGGAAAAACCUAAGUACGUACUUGACUCAUCUUGAAAAAAUGACAUAAAUGGUCCGCGAACUUUUCUUUAAUGUGCGAUGUCAUCCUAAAAUUUCAAUUUGUUUAAUGUGAUCUUUGAAUUUUGGUCCAAUGUGCAAUGUUGUCCCAAAAAUUUUAAUUUAUUCGACAUAGUUCCUAAACCAUUAAACAUGUUCAUAUAGUCUAAGGACUAUAUUGAACAUCUGCCAAUACUUUAAGAACCACAUUGAAUAAUUAAAAGUUCAAGGACGACGUUACAAAUUGAGCCAAAAUUUAAAGAUGACAUCGCACAAAUUAAAAGUUUAGGGAUGACAUUGCACAUUAAACCAAAUUUCAUUGACCAUUUGUGCUACUAUCCUACUCAUCUCUCUUAUCCAUUUUAACUUCAUGUUUUCGUUAUUUACCACAUAGCAUCACUGAAUGAAAACAACACGACCUCGUUUAUCUUAUCAUUUCACAUAAUCGUCUUUCUAUUUAGCUUGCCAAGAUGUCAUUAUAUAUAUAUCUAGUCAAUUCCCCCCUUCACUCUUGUUUGUCGUAGUGGGAUUGAUUAUCAAGCCAAAAGGUCUUUUCUCUCUCCCUUUCUCCCUCUUUUCUCUUCAUCAUCUUCUUCAACCUUGUUUGUCGUUGUGGGUUUCAUAUAUUCGCAACUACAUGUUCUUAAUCUAAGAAUUGUUUAUCAAGCCAAAAGGUCUUUUCUCUCUCCCUUUCUCCCUCUUUUAUUGUUAUUUUCUUACUUUUUCUUCUCUUUAGAUUUAGAUUUGAGAGCUAUCUUCUCCCGGUCUAAAUCUCAACUUGAGAGUUUGAACUCUUCCAAUCCAAUUUUAUAUGUGGGUGCUAUCCUCUUAUGAUAUGAAUAUGAGAAUUUAAUAAAUAUACUUUUGGGGAUUUGAUACCCUCUAUUCUCUGUGUACGGAUUCUCUGUCUUCAACUUCCAUGAUGAUAGCAGAAACUUUGGCGUCUCAUUGAAUCACAAAGAUUGUUCCUCCAGAUGUUAAAUAUGUGUUUGUUCAACCUAUUUUGGUUGUCUCCAUAAAACAAUGGUGUAGAGGAAGUUGAACCUAGGGGCACACCACCAACUAGUAACAUUGUAAUUAGUGGAGAAUGAAUUUUUGGCGUGUGCUCCUCACUAACAAAAACACAAGAUCCAAUUAUUGGCCACCGAUUAUUUUUCUCGACAAAUUCUUAUGGAAUAAGUAUGUGCUUAACUUUGCUGGUUUUCCGUUGAUCCUCCCUAUUUCUUGGAUUUGACUUUGCAUUUGAGUAUUCUUUCUCAUAAAUAUGCUUUUGAGUAAUGGAUACAAUUUUCUUUCGAUAAAAAAAAGGGACUUGUUUACUAAGCUUUGCUAAUCUGUUGUGACAAUUUUAAAGUGCCACACCCCAAAUCCUAUAGGGAUGAAGGGGUAACACAACUAUCCUUUUGUAAAGGACGCAGUCUCAAAUUAUAUCCCAAAUAUCUAGCUCCCAAUAGUUCUCACGAUAAGGCUCUCACUUUAUCGAUUACUAACUAAGGCACCUAAAAAACAUAUUACGAAAAAAGAAUGAGCUACCACGGCUCAUUAAGUAAUGUAUUUCUUUUAAGCAAAUCGAGCAAUCAUUAUCCACAUUUAAAAUACAAAUAUAACACACUUUUACUAAAACCAGAAUUUAACAAACCUUCAAGACAAAAAUAAUGUAAUAUUUCUUACUUUAAUAUAAUAUGUUCAAAGCAGAAAUAUUCAAAAUAAUAACAAACAUACACCAAUGAUCUGGCCUAUUGGUCGAUCUCAUAAAAAUACAUGUCAAUAGUCUAUUCCAUUGACCAAUCUCAUAAAACAUACGUCAAUAGUCCAUUCCAUUGGUUAAUCUCAUGUUACACAUCAAUGGUCCAUCUUAUAUGAAACUACAUGUCGAUGGUCUAUCCAUCAACCAAUCUUUUGUUUAAUAUCAAACCAUUGUCACUCAUAACACCCGUGACAAGAUAACUAAUAUUCCCCCUUUGGUUAGGUCUCUACCUAUUUUUAGUCGAUGGCUCGGCCCACAAAGAUAUCCUAGAGUAGUAUGCGCAUAACCACAAGCCUCUCGCUAGGCUCAUAGCGAUACUAAGCAUCAAUCCCGAUCCAUAAUAGCCUCCACAAUUCACAAAGCCAAACCAUAGUAUAUAUCAUAAAUCAAUUUGACAAAUCAAAACACAUAAUCUUUCUGCGACCUGGCUCAUUCACCAUAAAUGUUUUUCAUAAAGCAUUCCUCAUGUCAUUUCAAAACUCAUUUCUUAAACCGAAAUAAAUUCCAUAUACAUUUUCACAACACAUUUCAUAAACCAAGUUGUCAUGCCCCGAACCACCUAGUGCGUGCCCAUCCCUCUUUGGUUGAUAAAAUUUUGCGACUUCCCAGGACGAGUCGCCGACUCUUUCUUUUUAUUGCACAUGCGGAAGCGAAUAAUAAAUCCCCCUGACAAUAACCAUCUCGGGAUAGAAAAGCAGGAUAAUAGAUUCACAACAAACAUGCUUUUAUAUUCACAUAGAAUCAUGUACAAGGUCUACGACCAAAAGACUACAAAAACUAGCUUUCUAAAAAGAAAUGGUCCUAACCGACCUACACUUUAGAUCACCUCCUCUCAGCUCCAGGUCCUCCACUUGACGAUCCUGAAAAUUUAAGCCCACGACGAGGUGAGAUAUAAAUCUCAGCGAGUUUGCACGCUAAAUCCCGAUUAGGAGGGAAAUACGCCCAAAAGCGUCCUAAUCAUGCAAUCAUACAAUCACAGAGCCUUACCUUGGCCUCAGAUCCACCCUGCAGGUCAGUACAAUUCAAAUACUGAAUUAAACAAUUCAAUUCAACUCCGCCAUCAAUCAGUCGAUUCAUUCGACUCCAUGUCAUCAAUGCCAUCCAUAAAUUCUUUCGAUUCGAACACUGCUCGCCUAAGCUGAAAUAGAUAUACUCAUAUAUCAUUGCUCCCCAAAGUUGAUGUCUAAAAUUUGCUCAUCGAAACUGCUAGACCAAAUAUUGCUCACCGAAGCUGCUAGAUAAUGUGUGCUCACCGAAGUUGAUAUCUAAAGUGCUCAACGAAGCUACUAAAGCAUUAUUGCUUGCCAUUGCUCACUGAAACUGCUAGAGAUCUAUAAUGGUAUUAAUGCUCCCCGAAGCUGUCAUAGAUCUAUAUUGCUCACCUAAGCUGAUCAAUGCUCACCUAAGCUAAAAUGGUACUUAAAACCCACUUUCGGUGUCAACACCCAACACCUGAUAUUUUCUAAUUAAAAUACCUAUAUAACACAAUCAUUACUCAAUUCAACAAUACAGUAUUCAAUUGCAGAAACUAAACACACCAUUGAAAUCAACACGAAAUUCCGAUCAUCGACUAUCCCGGCCUAAUUUCCGGAAAAAUAAUUAAUAAUUAAUUAAUUUCGAAAAUUAAUAAAAUAAAUCAAUUCAAUUUCUAAAAAUACUAACCUAGGCCAAAAUUAUUAAAUUAAAUACCAAUAUGGACUCAGAAAAUUCUCGAACCCUUCUAGAUAAAUAGUACAAUUCAUUUAGGCCUUAGCUAAACCAUGCUAACCACCUAACAUGCUCAAUUUAAAUAAUUAAAUUUCUAAUUUAAUCUAACUAACCAACUAAUUCCUAAUUAAAUAAAUCUAAACACCCCUUAGAUGUCAUUAGCCUACUAAGAAGGGUUUAGUGCAAAAACUCACUGGUUAAUUGCGGAAACUGGUUCACCGCGACGGCGGCCGAAAUCCUAAUUUUCGGUGGCAUCGGCGAACUUGGACCGGCCUAAAACGGGCCCAACAAAUCUCAGCCCAAAUUGAGAUUUGUUAUUGAAACGGGCUGGGCUUGAAGCGGGUUGACCUCGCGGGCUUGGACUGCUGAAACAGACAACUUGCUGGGCUUCAAAGUUGGACUGGACUGCUGGACUUUUGGGCCCAGCUAAACUGAAAUUCGCUGGGCUUGAUGGACUGAAGACAAGCCCAGCUAUUGGGCCACAAGACUUGCGUGGACUGUUGCUGAAAUGGGCUGAAGACGCACAACGUGCCGGGCCGAAUUCGCUGGAGGUGCUGCUUCGGUUGAUCGAUGCUGGACGAGGGAGCAGCGAACGAAGGAGAUGCUGGGGACGCGUGGGUUGCAGCUGUCGAUUGGGGGUGCUUCGGUCUUCGUGGACUCACGAACAAGCAGAGGGAAGCAGGUUGGUCUUCGUUGAGGCAGAUGAGUCUUCGGGUGGGGACACUGGAUGAUGGAGCGGGACGAAAGAGGGAGUCAACGAAGGAGGAGCUCCGCUGGGUCGUUGACUGGAGGGGCGCGGCUACGAACGAAGAUGUUGGGCCGUUCGGUCGACGUUCUGGGGCAGGGAAAAGAAGACACGAAGGAUGGUGGAGUUGAGCUGGCGAUGUGCAGGUGUGCGGCGUUGAAGAUUUCUUGGUCGACAAACGGCAAUAGGACAAAGAUGGUGGCUGGCUUCGGUUGCAGAGAAGAAAUAAGAAGGAAGAAAGGCAGGGGCUGAGAGCUGAGUUUUGGAUGAAAUAAAAAUGAAAGCAGGGCAGAGAUCGAUGGAGAUGAAGUCGGCAAGGUAGCUUGCACGAGAAGCUUGAAAAAAAAGGCUUAAAGUCCACAACUUAUCCUCUCCAUUGAUGGCAUGUCCCCUCCUAAUUCUUUCUUGAAAAGCAUUUCAUAAUUGAGCCAAUUUAAAUGUCAUAAUUAUAGCCCCAUGCCAUAAUUCCGAAUUUCACUCUUUAGGUUCAAUUUCUUCACUCAAUUUCCCAAAUUGAGGUCCAAUUUUGGUGAAGAAAAAUCUUGUAUAAUUUUCUGCAAGUCCCUGACAUUCAAAGGCUCGGCUUGAAAAUCCAAAUUUCCUUUAAUUUGGCCCAUCCGAAUUUCCGUCAAUUUUCCACAACGUCCGAAUCAAAUUUCCGCAAAAAUCCCGGAAUCUUUGAAAUAUCUUCGGAGGAUGAGUCAACGUUCCUAAAAUAACUCGUGACACCGCAGAACUUUCAGUUUCUGAAAUCGGGUUCAAAUUCGCCGUUAUUUUCAAUCCGGCGCGCUUUUAGCGUGACUUAGUUUACUGGAUAACUUUUAGGAAUUUUUGGUACAAUUGACCCGUGAUCGAUUCAUCUCAAGUCACAAUAUACAUAUUCGACACAUUGGAGACUCUCGAUUAUCGUGAAAAUCUCAAGGUUUUAAUUACGGGCACCGGGUACCAAAAUAAUCGAAAAAUCGGUCUAGUGCCGAUCGACGAGUAUUUGCAAUCAGGUGGAAUCACCCACACUCUGAUAACAUAUCUCAGUCGAAUCGACCUAUCUCCGGUCUCUGAUCGAUUUCUGACAGUGCCGUAAUGACCCUUGCAGAUCAACACGGUCGAGCAGUCGAUUCCUGGUCGAAUUCUCAAGUCUAUUGCAUUUAGAUUCCUUAAUUGCUUCCCCAGAUAGUCCAGUUAUCUCAUGAGUGAUCAGCUCAGAGAAUAGCACUAUUGGCGCGUCAACGAAUGGCCCGAUUUUUUUAAUCGAAAACGAAAUUUAAAAAUUCAGGCUGUCACACAAGUUCACAAAUCAACAUAUAUACAUAUAAUCUUUCACAACAACUUUCCAAAAACAUUUAGCAAAUCAUUCACAAAUAUCAAAUCGUAGUAAAUGCUCGAUCCAGUUCUAUGCAACAAAACAUGCUUUCAAUUACUUAUGAUACAUCAAAUCUCCAUAACUUUCAAGACAUGAUUUUUCAAACUCAUAGAAGAAAUAGUAUCAUUCACUUGGGAAAGUUGAAAAUCAACCACAGCGAUCACUCGAGUCGACAUACUCGAUUUCCUAACAAAUAACCGAAAAACAAUAUCAAAAUACCAAGUAACACAAUAUUCUAAUGAACGACUCAACUAUACUAUGCAUAUUUGUUGAUAAAACGAUACCUACAUGCCAACGAAAAGCUUGCCUCUAGCAAAAACCUAUUGUUGUCCAUGAGCCACGUUAAAUUUUAUCACACCAUAACUUCCUCCAUAGAAUUAUGUUUCAAGCCGACUUAUAGUCCUUAGAAAGCCAUUUUGACAUACUAUAAGAACCUCAAUUUAGUUGCUCCAAGCCCAUGCCAGAAAUGAUUGAAAUUCGGCUCAAAAGUUACUACUCGUAACUCUAUCAAAAAUGCACACCAAACUUGAAAAUUCCAAUCCAGGCAAAUCAUAAGCUUAAAUUGAGAUCCGUAAAAUACAAUAGCUUCACAAUAUCCUAAAUUAUCAAUUCUAUAAAAAUAUACCGCCUGAAAACUCCCCAAUCAAACACAGCAAGUCAUAAUCGACCUAAAACCGAAUUUCCAGCCCUAAUUUUGACAAUUCCUUCAAAUAGAUGAUUAGGGGCCUCGAUCACUUACCAACAUUGCAAAAUGGAUAUAAGUUAGCUUAGCGAGUCAUAUGGAUCAAAAGCAGACAAAAAUUUUCUCCUUCCUUCUUUCUUCUUUCUCGGUGAGCUCCUUUUCUUUCCUUUGUUUUCGCUUCGACUUCUUCUCCUCUUGUGCUUCAUUGCACAAACUCAAAUGAGAAGAGAGAAAGAGAGUUGGGCUUGGGCUUGGCUUUUAAGAGACAGGGGUUGUUUGGGCUUUUAUUGGGCUUUUUAUUACAUAAAGUGAGUUGUAGAUCAUUUAGAACUUAAAUGGGGAAAAAUCUAUUUUUAGGCUAAAAUUAUAUAGAAGUGAGCAAAAACCGUGAACUGUCUUAAAUCUUUUGAAAAAUGUGUGGAGGGCAUUGCCGCAUCGCCUCCACUAUGUUCAAUCUAAGUCCGCACCUGCAGCUGCAUGUCCUCCAAAUACAAAUUAUCAGAUUGGGUAAAAAUAUCAAAAAAAUCAUAAACUUAUUGCAAUUAUGUUAAUUCAAUAAUAUAUUUUUCCAUUGUGCUAAUUUAAUUGUAAAUCUUUUCAUAUUUUAUCAAUUGAGUCUAUUUUGCCAAUUUUAACCAGGAAUCAUUAAUGUAGACAUCAGCCGUUGUUCGUGAUAUGAUCGACAUUAACUGGACAUUUUUAAUAAUAUUAAUAAAUAUUUUGAAUUAUAUCGGUUUCUUUUUCUUUUCUUUUUUAAUGUUUUUAUUUUUUUUGGGGGGGGGGGGAGGAGAGUUAGAGCCACAAGAGUCUCCAGCCAAUUCUCGUUGAGCACAACGGCGAGGACCGCACACCCUUGCUUUGGCCGAUGAGGACAUCUCAACCCUUGCCUAGCCCUCACCUACCACGAUGAGGGCCCACGAGCCCUCGAGUAGUGGCCAAUGAGGGCAUGGCGGCCCUUGCCCAAAGCAGAUAAGCACUGCAACACCCUCACCCAAUGCCAACAAGGAUGCCGGCCUUCGGUCAAAAAAGAAAAAGUAAAGUAAGGUAAAGUAAAUUAAAAAAACAUAAAUAUAUAUAUAUAUAUUUUAAAAAGUAUGAAAAUAUUAUUCAAAAAUGCUUAGGUCUGUACCGACCGUGCUAUGUAGGAUGGCCGGUGUCCAUGUCAGCAAUUCCCUAUCAAAAUUGAGUUGAUGAAUUUAAAUGACAAAACUUAAAAAUGUUAGAGCUAAAUUGGCACAAUUGAAUAUUUAUGAUUGAAUUGAUACAAACGUAAUAGAUUUAUAACAUUUUUUUCAUAAUUGUCCCGUAUCGAAACAGUCACAUUUAGAACACAUUAAGUGCUAUUGCACGAAUUGCAGCGUUGCUUCUCUCAUGAUUUCCCGACGACUAGCGACUAAGACCAAAAUCACAGGCAUACUGUUUAGAUUAGGAAAUCAAGGCAUAUUUGGAAACGAAACGGGUUAACGAGCGCCGAAAGGCACUUGCUAAAAACCAAAAGAUGUAGAAUGAGCAAUUGUUAAUGCACAUUAGAAAACUUAAUCGAUAUUUCAUUUUUGCUUUUGCCGAACCAAAAGGACAAGGAGGGGCGAGUAGCAGUGACUAUCCCCUCCCGAUGUUAUCUUAAGAAAGUAUCGCACCCAUCACAAAAUGUUCAAUUUAGGUGAGGACAAGCCUCUACUACUCAACACCAUAAAGGUAGGCGACCCAGGACCUGGACACCACCAUAGUACUACAAGUCCACAGCCCAUUCCCAAGCCAAGUCAGAAGACUAAUUGACCCGAGCAAGGUCACUAGAUAUGGGAAUACAAGCGCGGGACCAAUUUGAAUACGUCCGACGGUAUAAUUAAUACUUCUUACCAUACAACGUUGAUCUUUCAGUUUCCACAUAGACGGAGUAGGUGAUGAACAAACUUUGCAAAUCAUAUAGCAUAUGAAAUUACCAGGGCAUGAAUUGCACUAAUGUAGUACGCGGACCUAGAAAUGAUAGAUUAAAUACGAAAAAUGUCGGAUAUUCUAAGACAUCUUAUUAAAACAUACUUAUCAAGUGAUGUGGCAAGGAUUAAUUAGAUAAUAAGAAAUGAGAUUAUAUAAUAUUACAUGAUUAGUUUCUUUCAAUACACAAUUGAUAAUUGUCCAAUCACUCACUAAAAAGUAAGUUCAGUGUUUGGUACAUUUACUUUGCUUAAUAAAUAAUAUAGUUUAUUUUUAGUGCAUCUCGGUCAAUCCAGAUAGACACUUUUAUAUAUAUAUAUAUAACCUUAAAGCUUGCUUUCAUUCAUUGAACCCCCAUCAACCAAAAUUUAGAGGUUACUUCUCGGGCAAAAAUUGGUAGAAAGAGUAAAGACAAGAAGAAGAAUAAUGGGAAGCACACUGAAUUAUUUAAUGAUAACUAUUAAAUUAAUAUCUAGAAUUUGAGCCAUGUAUAAGAUCCAUCCGAUUAGAGGAUGUAGACCGCUCUUGUCUUAGAUGAGGUGUAAGAGAAAGAGUCCUAAUUGGACUUUGACUUUGCUUGCCUUUCUUUCAAAAGAUAAUCUUGAAUUUACUUGGGCGGUGGAUUCAAAUAAAGAAGAAAACUUAAACAAGAAAAGUUGUUGGUGACUUAUUACCCAAGGGUUUGACCGAUCAAGGAUUGGAAUUUUUCAUAUAGUAAAAGAGUAGAGAGAGAGAGAGAGUAGCGGGCUUAGAGGGUUUAUUGAGGUUAGAGGAUUUUAUUCAUUUUUUUUAAGGGAAAAGAAAAAUAGAAGGAUGUGAGUUUUGCUUUUAUUGUCUCCGCCAGACAUAGCCACUCAAUACGGUAGGGGAUUUCUUUGAGAUGCUCAUAAGGAAGUUUCAAAUGGUGAUUUGUGCAAAUGAUUCUACAUCUAAAUUAUGACGUCUUCUUUGUGAAAACGUAAGUAUUUCAAGCAGUGAGAUAAUUCUAUAUGAGGCUAAAGACUAUGGGUUUGGGUAUAAUUUAGGUAUAGGAAACACUCAAGUGUGUGAAUAAUUGUAACUCUAUAAUUAUCCGAUUAAUUCGUGGAUUAUUUACUGCUGGCUUUUCUUGUAAAAUAGGUACUGACACUCAUAUUGAAUAAUGUAAAUCUCUCAAUUAGUAGUCUUCUUCCUCCCACCAUUUUACUUCAGGUUCUUCAACUUUUUUAUGAUUCAAUGGUCUUCUUCCUCCUAGGCUUUUUCAUUGUUCUUGUUUUAGAUUUUCAAUUUUUUAUUCAAGCCCUUAUCUUUUAUCACAAAAAAGCACUUGUUUUGCUUUUCAACAUUAUGUUGGCUAUAUAGGAUGUGACAUGGGAUGUUAGGAAGACACUCAAGAGUAUUUUAACAGCAACGUUAGGAUAGGAUGGACUAGAAAUAAAAACAUAAUAUUUAGGAUCUUAGUGCUCACAAUAAAAGAUUAAAAGAUAUCUGCCUGUUCCGAGUACACGUGAGCCCAAUUCACAUGACGAAGACGGGUUCACAUGGACCCCACCUGAUCUACGGUGGGCCAACGGUUGGCUCGCUGGGAGGAACCAUGCAAGGCGUCCCCACCAUCACAGCGGGGAGGCUGGAGGUUGACUAUCAGCUGGGGCUCGGUUUUGGCCGAUCUUUCGAUCUUCACCUCCAGCUCUCGCUCUCACUCUUUCUCCGAUGGCAAAGAAGCUCGUGCACUACGUAGUGGUAUCGACAUAUCUUUUCUCUCUCUCUCUCUCUCUCUCUCUCUCUCUCUUUCUCUCUCUCUCUCUCUCUCUCUCUCUCUCUCCAUUCACACGCCCAGGCGCUUAUUUGUGAGCAGUGCAUCUGUGGUUGCUCAACUUCUUAUUACACCAUUUCAAUAGAAUUUCACGCGGUUCCCUAAUCAGCUUUGUGCAUUUGUUGAGUAGGCAUCGCCUAGAGGAGGAGUCGUGAACGUGUGCCUGGAUGAGCAAAACUAGAGAGUCAUGCUGCGUGGGAAAGCUGUAACUGUAAUGACGGGUUCUAUUCUUGUUUAAAAAUACUUCGAGCAAGCAACAUGUUACGAAAUCGAACGUUGAUUCCAGAAAAAUAACGUUUGCAAACAAUUCACUAAGCAGAAUAUAAUAAUAAAAUAACAGAAUUAGAUGAACACGCCAGAAAAUUUGUUAUCGAAGUUCACCCAAACCUGGGCUACGUCUCCGCGCAAAGGCACUCUGCGAAUCCACUAGAUUUCGAAAAAGUUGGAAUACAACGACGAUCUUCUCUCAAGAUCAGGGCACAAAGAGAUUGAGAACCCUCAUCACGAACAAACUCACUUUUUUCUUCUCUCUUUUUAUUGCCUCUCUAUUUCCUUUUUCAGCGUCUUGACGGCUAGGGUCUUGACAUCGCUAAUAUAAAGAUACCACUUUUAACCUAAAAGGAAAUCUAAUAGAAAGACAAAAAAGCCCCCAAAAACAAAUAUUUGGCUUCAUCUAUAACAAUCUCCCACUUGAAGACAAAUAUACCCAAGCACCAAGCAACUUUGUAUCCAUCUUCUUCAAAAAAUAAUAGUUGAAAAGCUUGUGCCUCUGCGAUACUCCUCAUCAAUCAACAUGGAGUAAUACCAAUGGUAGUAGUACAGAAAAUAUGCUUCUCUCUGUCUACUACCUUGGUCAUCAUGUCAGCUGGAUUCUUCGAGCCAUCAACCUUCUGUAGCUUUAACUCAUUAUCUUUCAAUGCUGACCUAAUAAAGUGAUAACGCUUCUUGAUAUGUCUAGUCCUUGAGUGAUAAGCUGCAUUCUUUGCUAAGUGCACUGCACUUUGACUAUCACUCCAAAGUGUACUGACUGGCUGUUUUCGAUGUAACUCCUCCAUAUAAUCUUGUAACCACAUGAUUUCCUUGGAGGCUUCUGUGAUCGCCACGUAUUCUGCCUCUGUUGUCGAUAAAGCCACUACUUUUUGUAAUUGAGACGCCCAACUCACUGUUGUUCCUGCAACUGUAAAGACAUAUCCAGUGGUACUCUUACCACUAUCUCGAUCACUCGAAUGAUCUGCAUCUACAUAACCUUGCAACUCUAGAGAUGUACCACCAUAACAAAGUGAGUAAUUGGAAGUACCUGCUAGAUAUCUCAAUAUCUAUUUCAUUGCAUUCCAAUGCUCUCUGCCUGGGUUUUGCAUAUAUCGACUCACAACUCCCACUGCAUGUGCAAUGUCUGGUCUCGUGCUCACCAUGGCAUACAUAAAACUCCCCACUGCUGAUGCAUAUGGAACUACCGCCAUCUCAUCUUUCAAAACCUGAGUGCUUUGACACAUAUCCUUGGAAAGUUUGAAGUGACACGCUAGAGGAGUUGCAACCGGUCUUGCCUUGUCCAUGUUAAAUCUCUUUCACACCUUAUUCACAUAGUCUUCUUGCGACAACCAUAAUUUCUUAUUUUUCCUGUCCCUGAUAAUUUUCAUGCCUAAAAUAUUCUUGGCCUCUCCCAAGUCUUUCAUAGCAAACUGUGAUGAUAACAUCUUCUUCACUUCUACGAUUCUCUUCAUAUUGGAACUAGCCACUAGCAUGUCAUCCACAUAUAAAGAUAGAUACACAAUGUCACCAUCAUCAUAUUUGCGAAAAUAAAUACAGUGAUCAAACUCACAGUGUGCAAAUCCUUUUUCUUGCAUGGAACCAUCAAAUUUUAGGUACCAUUGCCACGGAGCUUGUUUCAAGCCAUACAAACUUUUCUUCAAGCAACAUACCAUGUGCUCCUUACCUUUGACUUCAAAACCUUUAGGUUAUGCCAUGUAUAGUUCUUCAUCUAAGUCACCGUGUAAAAACGCUAUUUUUACGUCUAACUGCUCAAGAUGAAGAUCCUCCGCUGCAACUAUACUCAGCAGAACUCUAAUUGAUGUCAUUUUCACUACAGGUUAAAAUAUCUCGGAGUAGUCGAUCCCUUCUUUUUGAGAAAAGCCCUUGACUACAAGUCUCGCCUUGUAUCUAAUGCUACCGUCUGCUUCAUUCUUUAUCCUAUACACCCAUUUGUUUAAUAAAACUUNNNNNNNNNNNNNNNNNNNNNNNNNNNNNNNNNNNNNNNNNNNNNNNNNNNNNNNNNNNNNNNNNNNNNNNNNNNNNNNNNNNNNNNNNNNNNNNNNNNNUUUGUUCUGAAGUAACGAGCUCAUCUCGUCUUUUAUAGCACACUCCCACUGCAAGUGAGACGUGUCUACCUUUGCCUUAUCGUAAGUCUCCGGUUCCCCUGAAUCUGUAUAUAAGACAUGGCUCAGAACAGUAUUAGCUGAUAGAUCAAAAAUUACCUUUGGCUUUCUCACAUGUGUAGACCUCCUCAAGAUGGGUACAUCAGGGUUGUUAAUAUGCUCCGAAUCAUUGUGUUCCUCUUGAGCUACCUCUUCACUGAUAAUAGGCUCAUCUUGAACCUCUCUUUCAAGUGCACUUUGAUCUACUUGAAACAUCUUCACGGGCAUUGUGUCUAAUUCAACAUAUUAUGGUUCUACUACCUUCUCAUGCUUUGUCUGACGAUCUUUGUACAUCUUUUCUUCAUGGAAUACCGCAUUGCGAUUGCGGAUGACUUUGUUAUUCUCAUAAUCCCAAAGCCUAUAGCCAUACUCGUCGCCACCGUAUCCGAUAAAGACGCACUUCUGGGACUUAGCAUCAAGCUUUUUCCUAUCCUCCCUGUCAAUUAAAACAUAUGCAAUACAACCAAACACCUUUAGAUGUGAAUACUUAAUCUUUUUACCUGACCACCGCUCUUGUGGUAUUUCGCCAUCUAACGCACUAGAUGGACUUUUGUUGAUAAGAUAAACAGCUGCAUCAACUGUGGCAGCCCAUAAGUGUAGCAGGAGACCCGCGUGUAGCCUCAUGCAUCUCGCACGUUCUAGAAUAGUCCUAUUCAUUCUUUCAGCUACACCGUUCUCUUGAGGAGUUCUGAGAACAGUCUUUAACCCGUGUAUGCCUUCUCGACUCAAAUAAUCUGCAAAUUCUUUACUUGUGUAUUCACCACCAUUAUCAGACUUCAGAGCUUUAAUUUGAUAACCUGUUUCUUUUUCUACCAUGGUCUUCCACAUUCUGAACAUCCCGAAUAUUUCUGAUUUUUCUUUAAGAGCAUAGACCCAAGUCUUCCUUGUUGCAUCAUCAAUGAAAGUGAUAAAAUAUCUCUUACCGCCAUAAGAGAGUUCCUAAGCAGGUCCCCAUACAUCAGUAUGAACCAACUCUAGCUUCUGGUCUUUAUUUUGUCGCCCAUUCAUUUGAAAACUAAUAGCCUUCUGUUUUCCAUAAAUACAACUCUCACAAAAAUCUAACUCAACUUUUUGCAAACCUGGGAGUAAUUUUCUCGAGUGUAAUUGUUUUACACAUUUUUCACCAAGAUGUCCCAAACGAUAAUGCCAAAGAGUAGUGGCCAAUGAAGGCAUGGCAGCCCUUGCCCAAAGUAGAUAAGCACUGCAACACCCUCACCCAAUGCCAACAAGGAUGCCGGCCUUCGGUCAAAAAAGAAAAAGUAAAGUAAGGUAAAGUAAAUUAAAAAAAAAACAGAAAAACUAUAAAUAUUUUUUGAAAAAGUAUGAAAAUAUUAUUCAAAAAUGUUUUGGUCUGUACCGACCGUGCUAUGUAGGAUGGCCGGUGUCCAUGUCAGCAAUUCCCUAUCAAAAUUGAGUUGAUGAAUUUAAAUGACAAAACUUAAAAAGGUUAGAGCUAAAUUGGCACAAUUGAAUAUUUAUGAUUGAAUUGAUACAAACGUAAUAGAUUUAUAACAUUUUUUUCAUAAUUGUCCCGUAUCGAAAUAGUCACAUUUAGAACACAUUAAGUGCUAUUGCACGAAUUGUAGCGUUGCUUCUCUCAUGAUUUCCCGACGAGUAGGAACUAAGACCAAAAUCACAGGCAUACCGUUUAGAUUUAGGAAAUCAAGGCAUAUUUGGAAAUGAAAUGGGUUAACGAGCGCCGAAAGGCGCUUGCUAAAAACCAAAAGAUGUAGAAUGAGCAAUUGUUAAUGCACAUUAGAAAACUUAAUUGAUAUUUCUUUUUUUGUUUUUGCCGAACCAAAAGGACAAGGAGGGGCGAGUAGCAGUGACUAUCCCCUCCCGAUGUUAUCUUAAGAAAGUAUCGCACCCAUCACAAAAUGUAUAAUUUAGGUGAGGACAAGCCUCGACUACUCGACACCAUAAAGGUAGGCGACCCAGGACCUGGACACUACCAUAGUACUACAAGUCCACAGCCCAUUCCCAAGCCAAGUCAGAAGACUAAUUGACCCGAGCAAGGUCACUAGAUAUGGGAAUACAAGCGCGGGACCAAUUUGAAUACGUCCGACGGUAUAAUUAAUACUUCUUAUCAUACAACGUUGAUCUUUCAGUUUCCACAUAGACGGAGUAGGUGAUGAACAAACUUUGCAAAUCAUAUAGCAUAUGAAAUUACCAGGGCAUGAAUUGCACUAAUGUAGUACGUGGACCUAGAAAUGAUAGAUUAAAUACGAAAAAUGUCGGAUAUUCUAAGACAUCUUAUUAAAAGAUACUUAUCAAGUGAUGUGGCAAGGAUUAAUUAGAUAAUAAGAAAUGGGAUUAUAUAAUAUUACAUGAUUAGUUUCUUUCAAUACACAAUUGAUAAUUGUCCAAUCACUCACUAAAAAGUAAGUUCAGUGUUUGGUACAUUUACUUUGCUUAAUAAAUAAUAUAGUUUAUUUUUAGUGCGUCUCGGUCAAUCCAGAUAGACACUUUUAUAUAUAUAUAUAUAACCUUAAAGCUUGCUUUCAUUCAUUGAACUCCCAUCAACCAAAAUUUAGAGGUUACUUCUCGGGCAAAAAUUGGUAGAAAGAGUAAAGACAAGAAGAAGAAUAAUGGGAAGCACACUGAAUUAUUUAAUGAUAACUAUUAAAUUAAUAUCUAGAAUUUGAGCCAUGUAUAAGAUCCAUCCGAUUAGAGGAUGUAGACCGCUCUGUCUUAGAUGAGGUGUAAGCUUGAAUUUACUUGGGCGGUGGAUUCAAAUAAAGAAGAAAACUUAAACAAGAAAAGUUGUUGGUGACUUAUUACCCAAGGGUUUGACCGAUCAAAGAUUGAAAUUUUUCAUAUAGUAAAAGAGUAGAGAGAGAGAGAGAGAGAGAGAGAGAGAGAGAGAGAGAGAGAGAGAGAGAGAGAGAGAGAGAGAGUAGCGGGCUUAGAGGGUUUAUUGAGGUCAGAGGAUUUUCUUCCCUUUUUUUUUUUUUGGGAAAAGAAAAAUAGAAGGAUGUGAGUUUUGCUUUUAUUGUCUCCGCUGGACAUAGCCACUCAAUACGGUAGGGGAUUUCUUUGAGCUGCUCAUAAGGAAGUUUCAAAUGGUGAUUUGUGCAAAUGAUUCUACAUCUAAAUUAUGAUGUUUUCUUUGUGAAAACGUAAGUAUUUCAAGCAGUGAGAUAAUUCUAUAUGAGGCUAAAGACUAUGGGUUUGGGUAUAAUUUAGGUAUAGGAAACACUCAAGUGUGUGACUAAUUGUAACUCUGUAAUUAUCCGUUUAAUUCGUGGAUUAUUUACUGCUGGCUCUUCUUGUAAAAUAGGUACUGACACUCAAAUUGAAUCAUGUAAAUCUCUCAAUUAGUAGUCUUCUUCCUCCCACCAUUUUACUUGAGGUUCUUCAACUUUUUUGCGAUUCAAUGGUCUUCUUCCUCCUAGGCUUUUUCAUUGUUCUUGUUUUAGAUUUUCAAUUUUUUAUUCAAGCCCUUAUCUUUUAUCACAAAAAAGCACUUGUUUUGCUUUUCAACAUUAUGUUGGCCAUAUAGGAUGUGACAUGGGAUGCUAGGAAGACACUCAAGAGUAUUUUAACAGCAACGUUAGGAUAGGAUGGACUAGAAAUAAAAACAUAAUAUUUAGGAUCUUAGUGCUCACAAGAAAAGAUUAAAAGAUAUCUGCCUGUUCCGAGUACACGUGAGCCCAAUUCACAUGCCGAAGAUGGGUUCACAUGGACCCCACCUAAUCUAUGGUGGGCCCGCGGUUGGCUCGCUGGGAGGAACCAUGCAAGGCGUCCCCACCAUCACAACGGGGAGGCUGGAGGUUGACUUUCAGCUGGGGCUCGGUUUUGGCCGAUCUUUCGAUCUUCACCUCCAGCUCUCGCUCUCGCUCUUUCUCCGAUGGCAAAGAAGCUCGUGCACUACAUAGUGGUAUCGACAUAUCAUCUCUCUCUCUCUCUCUCUCUCUCUCUCCAUUCACACGCCCAGGCGCUUAUUUGUGAGCAGUGCAUAUGUGGUUGCUCAACUUCUUAUUACUCCAUUUCAAUAGAAUUUCACAUGGUUCCCUAAUAAGCUUUGUGCAUGUGUUGAGUAGGCAUCGCCUAGAGGAGGAGCCGUGAACGUGUGCCUGGACGAGAAAAACCAGAGAGUCAUGCUGCGUGGGAAAGCUGUAACUGUAAUGAAGGGUUCUAUUCUUGUUUAAAAAUACUUCGAGCAAGCAAGAUGUUACGAAAUCGUAUGUCGAUUCCAGAAAAAUAACGUUCGCAAACAAUUCACCAAGCAGAAUAUAAUAAUAAAAUAACAGAAUCAGAUGAAUACGCCAUAAACUUUGUUAUCGAAGUUCACCCAAACCUGGGCUACGUCUUUGCACAGAGGCACUCUGCGAAUCCACUAGAUUUCGAAAAAGUUGGAAUACAACGACGAUCUUCUCUCAAGAUCAGGGCAGAAAGAGAUUAAGAACCCUCAUCAAGAAAAAACUCACUUUUUUAUUCUCUCUUUUUAUUGCCUCUCUAUUUCCUUUUUCAGCGUCUUGACGGCUAGGGUCUUGCCAUCGCUAAUAUAAAGAUACCACUUUUAACCUAAAAGGAAAUCUAAUAGAAAAGACAAAAAAGCCCCAAAAAAGAAAUAUUUGGCUUCAUCUAUGACAAUCUCCCACUUGAAGACAAAUAUACCCAAGCACCACGCAACUUUGUAUCCAUCUUCUUCAAAAAAUAGUAGUUGAAAAGCUUGUGCCUCUGCGAUACUCAUCAUCAAUCAACAUGGAGUAAUACCAAUGGUAGUAGUACAGAAAAUAUGCUUCUCUCUGUCUACUACCUUGGUCAUCAUGUCAGCUGGAUUCUUUGAGCCAUCAAUCUUCUGUAACUUUAACUCAUUAUCUUUCAAUGUUGACCUGAUAAAGUGAUAACGCUUCUUGAUAUGUCUAGUCCUUGAGUGAUAAGCUGCAUUCUUUGCUAAGUGCAUUGCACUUUGACUAUCACUCCGAAGUGUACUGACUGGCUGUUUUCGAUGUAACUCCUCCAUAUAAUCUUGUAACCACAUGAUUUCCUUGGAGGCUUCUGUGAUCGCCACGUAUUCUGCCUCUGUUGUCGAUAAAGCCACUACUUUUUGUAAUUGAGACGCCCAACUCACUGUUGUUCCUGCAACUGUAAAGACAUAUCCAGUGGUACUCUUAUCACUAUCUCGAUCACCCAAAUGAUCUGCAUCUACAUAACCCUGCAACUCUAGAGAUGUACCACCAUAACAAAGUGAGUAAUUGGAAGUACCUGCUAGAUAUCUCAAUAUCUAUUUCAUUGCAUUCCAAUGCUCUCUGCCUGGGUUUUGCAUAUAUCGACUCACAACUCCCACUGCAUGUGCAAUGUCUGGUCUCGUGCUCACCAUGGCAUACAUAAAACUCCCCACUGCUGAUGCAUGUGGAACUACCGCCAUCUCAUCUUUCAAAACCUAAGUGCUUUGACACAUAUCCUUGGAAAGUUUGAAGUGACUCACUAGAGGAGUUGCAACCGGUCUUGCCUUGUCCAUGUUAAAUCUCUUUAACACCUUGUUUACAUAGUCUUCCUUUGACAACCAUAAUUUCUUAUUUUUCCUAUCCCUGAUGAUUUUCAUGCCUAAAAUAUUCUUGGCCUCUCCCAAGUCUUUCAUAGCAUACUGUGAUGAUAACAUCUUCUUCACUUCUAUGAUUCUCUUCUUAUUGGAACUAGCCACCAGCAUGUCAUCCACAUAUAAAGAUAGAUACACAAUGUCAUCAUCAUCAUAUUUGCGAAAAUAAACACAGUGAUCAGACUCACAGUGUGCAAAUCCUCUUUCUUGCAUGAAACCAUCAAAUUUUAGGUACCAUUGCCGCGGAGCUUGUUUUAAGCCAUACAAACUUUUCUUCAAGCAACAUACCAUGUGCUCCUUACCUUUGACUUCAAAAGCUUUAGGUUGUGCCAUGUAUAGUUCUUCAUCUAAGUCACCAUGUAAAAACGCUAUUUUUACGUCUAACUGCUCAAGAUGAAGAUCCUCCACUGCAACUAUACUCAGCAGAACUCUAAUUGAUGUCAUUUUCACUACAGGUGAAAAUAUCUCGGAGUAGUCGAUCCAUUCUUUUUGUGAAAAGCCCUUGACUACAAGUCUCGCCUUGUAUCUAAUGCUACCAUCUGCUUCAUUCUUAAUCUUGUACACCCAUUUGUUUAAUAAAACUUUUUUACCUGUGGGCAACUUGGUCAACUCCCAAGUUUUGUUCUGAAGUAACGAGCUCAUCUCGUCUUUUAUAGCACACUCCCACUGCAAGUGAGACGUGUCUGCCUUUGCCUCAUCAUAAGUCUCCGGUUCCCCUGAAUCUGUAUAUAAGACAUGGCUCAGAACAGUAUUAGCUGAUGGAUCAAAAAUUACAUUUGGCUUUCUCACACGUGUAGACCUCCUCAAGAUGGGUACUUCAGGGUUGUUAAUCUGCUCCGAAUCAUUGCGUUCCUCUUGAACUACCUCUUCACUGAUAAUAGGCUCAUCUUGAACCUCUCUUUCAAGUGCACUUUGAUCUACUUGAAACAUCUUCACGGGCAUUGUGUCUAAUUCAACAUAUUCUGGUUCUACUACCUUCUCAUGCUCUGUCUGACGAUCUUUGUAUAUAUUUUCUUCAUGGAAUACCACAUUGUGACUGCGGAUGACUUUGUUAUUCUCAUAAUCCCAAAGCCUAUAGCCAUACUCGUCGCCACUGUAUCCGAUAAAGACGCACUUCUGGGACUUAGCAUCAAGCUUUUUCCUAUCCUCCCUGUCAAUUAAAACAUAUGCAAUACAACCAAACACCUUUAGAUGUGAAUAAUUAAUCUUUUUACUUGACCACCGCUCUUGUGGUAUUUCUCAAUCUAACGCACUGGAUGGACUUCUGUUGAUAAGAUAAACAGUUGCAUCAACUGUGGCAGCCCAUAAGUGUAGCGGGAGACCUGCGUGUAGCCUCAUGCAUCUCGCACAUUCUAGAAUAGUCCUGUUCAUUCUUUCAGCUACACCGUUCUCUUGAGGAGUUCUAAGAACAGUCUUUAACCCGUGUAUGCCUUCUCAACUCAGAUAAUUUGCAAAUUCUUUACUUGUGUAUUCACCACCAUUAUCAGACUUCAGAGCUUGAAUCUGAUAACAUGUUUCUUUUUCUACCAUGGUCUUCCACAUUCUGAACAUCCCGAAUACUUCUGAUUUUUCUUUAAGAGCAUAGACCCAAGUCUUCCUUAUGGCAUCAUCAAUGAAUGUGACAAAAUAUCUCUUAUCGCCAUAAGAGAGUUCCUGAGCAAGUCCUCAUACAUCAGUAUGAACCAACUCUAGCUUCUGGCCUUUAUUUUGUCACCCAUUCAAUGUAAACUAACAGCCUUCUGUUUUCCAUAAAUACAAUUCUCACAAAAAUCUAACUCAACUUUUUGCAAACUUGGGAGUAAUUUUCUCGAGUGUAAUUGUUUUACACUUUUUUCACCAAGAUGUCCCAAACGAUAAUGCCAAAGAGUAGAUAAAUUACCUGUAGCCAUUAUAGUUGCAACUAUAUCACUGAUAUUGUCUCAUUGAAGAAGGUAAAGUGUACCUGUACGCUUUCCCUUUGCUACUACUCUUGCCCCUGAGGUUAUCUUCUACUCUCCACAUCCAAAAAUUAUUACCAAACCUUCUUGGUCAAGUUUACUGGUUGAAAUCAGAUUUUUCUUUAAUUCCGGAAUAUGCCUAAUUUCACGCAAAACUAGACGUCCUCCACUUGAGAUGUUCACAGUCACAAUUCAUUUCCCAACAAUUGGACACAUGUGGCCAUUUCCCACAACCACUUUUCCAAAGUCUCCACUGGCAUAAUCAUCAAAUAUGUCUCUUUGCGAGGUGCAAUGAAAAGAAGCACCAGAAUCAAUAAACCAUUUAUCUGUUGUCAAGUCAAACCCUGCAGACAAACACAAGUUAUCUAGCAAAGAUUCAUCACUAACCACAUUAGCUCCUUGAUUCUCAUCUUGCUGCUUCUUUUUGUAGGCUUCACACUGAAACCUCUGGUGUCCGGUUUUGUGACAAAACCAACACUCAUCUUUUGCAACCUGUCUUUUACCCCUUGAUUGUGAUCUGCCACGCCCGCUGAAAUUUCCUCUACUUUUACUUCUUCCACGGUUCUCCACUGCAAGUGCCGUUGAAGAUGUAGAUGUAGAAAAAUUAUCUCCACCUGAGACUUUCCUUCGCAUCUCUUCAUCCAUGAUACUACUCACAGCAUCAUCAAGAGUUAAAUCAUCCUUCAUGGUGCUCGAAAUUCCCUGCACUGCGGUAUUGUAGCUUUCUGGAAGAGAACAUAAAAAUAAUAAAGCUUGAAGCUUCAUAUCUAAAUUUAUGCCUGCGGAUUCCAAUUGACUCGUGACCUACGUGAAAUUAUUAAUAUGCUCUGCCACAGAAUCUCUAUCAGAUAACUUCAUAUUAACCAGUUUCUUCAGCAAAAAUACCUGAUUUGAUGUGGAUGGCUUCUCAUAAAUAUUCGUUAGAAUAUCCAUGGCUUCUUUUGCAGUUUUUGCUUUCGCGAUGUGGUACCCUGUCUUUUUCGUCAACCCUAGACGAAUCGCACCUAAUGCUUUUCGAUCAAGAAUUUUCCAUCCGGCUUCUGCUGUCAGAUCCACUUCCGCCAUCUCGGGUUUCCAACCCUCAAGUGGUGCAUAGAGAUCUUUUUGAUAAAUAUAAUCCUCUAUUUGUAGUUUCCACCAUCCGAAAUCCUCUCCAUUGAACUUAUCGAUUAUGAUUUUAUCUUCUGCCAUACUGUUUGCUUUCAAUCGAACGUCACUGAAAAACCCUCGAUGUUCUCAAUUAGCCAACCCAGGCUCUGAUACCAGUUGUUACGAAAUCGUACGUCGAUUUCAGAAAAAUAACGUUCGAAACAAUUCACCAAGCAGAAUAUAAUAAUAAAAUAACAGAAUCAGAUGAACAUGCCAGAAAAUUUGUUAUCGAAGUUCACCCAAACUUGGGCUACGUCUCCGCGCAGAGGCACUCUGCGAAUCCACUAGAUUUCGAAAAAGUUGGAAUACAACGAUGAUCUUCUCUCAAGAUCAUGGCACAAAGAGAUUGAGAACCCUCAUCAAGAAAAAAAACUCACUUUUUUCUUCUCUCUUUUUCUUGUCUCUCUAUUUCCUUUUUCAGCGUCUUGACGGCUAGGUCUUGCUAUCGCUAAUAUAAAGAUACCACUUUUAACUUAAAAGGAAAUCUAAUAGAAAAGACAAAAAAAGCCCCAAAAAACAAAUAUUUGGCUUCAUCUAUAAUACAAGAUUCGUCUUGUAAACAAGUCAUUGGGCGAGAUGGAAUAAGUAUUCUGAUGGCAUAAAUUCGAGAUUGUUAGUUGUUUAAUGCUGACCAUAGCUGAGAUUCUCAGUAUGCUUGGAGCUGUAGCCCUACGUAGCAUAAUCAAAGAGACGACCGAACAACCAUUUAUCUCGUUCUUGCUUUUAUGUAUUUGAGGGACAGUGCAUCAACCACUUUGUCUCGUUAUGUGCUAUCCCUGUAUUGCUGCUCAUACAAAUGCCUGGAAGCUACUUCUAAUCUCUUUGGUCUUUCCCUCCUUUAACUUAAAAGAGAUAAUAUCCCUUGUUGUUGGUCGAGUUUCUCGGAGAAUGUGCACAGGUCAAGACUCGAGUUGAGGAGUCCCAUGUCGAACAACGACGAGAUGGCUGUGUUGCUUAUGACCCUGGUUCACCAAUUGAAGGGGUUGAAUCUCAUUCCCAUUUAGGAGCUCGCACGUCGGCUUCUGUAUGCUCUUACCAACUCUCAUCCACAAGAAAGAUGAUCACGUAAUCCUACACGAAGAACCGGUUACUUGUAUCAGUUUCCUGUUGACCUUGCAUUAGGCCACUCGAAUUAUGUCAGAGACUUCUAAGAAAGCUCCUGAUCCAUCAUUUAUAACAGUCGCGGCUUGGACAAACAUUAAGCGGCGAACCAUAGUUGACAGUUUCCGAACAACACCAUUGUUUGGGUGCCGAGAAAGGAACAAGAACACGGGAGAAUUGAUCAGGUGUUGGAAUUACGUGUCGGAGUUCUAAACUCAAACAUCAGAAUUUCGGAUUUGAGUAUCGAAGAGUAGUGGGAAAGUUGACCAGAUAUCGGAUUUUUCUACGUAUAUUGACAAAGUGUAUAAAAGUGUAGACAUGUGUCCUAUCCAACACGACACAAAGACUUUUUGAAAGUGCCAGUGCUUCCUAGCCUAUGGUAGAUGCGCUGGUUACUUUUGACUUGUCAAGAAAUAAACAGAACUCUUAGAUGAUGCUUAGAAUGAGGUAUGAAAAACAGGGAAGGCCAGUAAAGUAGAUUAAAAUAUGUUCCGUACGGAUCAGGGGCAGACCUGCCCCGAACGAUUUAUAAGGAGCUGGACUAUCGCGUUCUUCUCCAUUAGACGUGGCCUGAUUUCAUUUUGCUUCUUCUCCAUUAGCCAUCUCUCUCUCUCUCCGUCUCUCUCUCCGUCCCUCUCUAUGGAAAAGAAGCUCGUGCAGUACUCGGUGGUAUCAAUACAGCCUCCUUCUCUUCCGUUUCAUUCCCCUACCAGAGAUGGAGAUCUCUUGCGGAAACUUCCUUGAACUCUUCUGCAUCGACCAUGACAUGGGCUUGUGCGUGGUGUUGUUUUUGUAGGUGGACGCAUUCACCGACACGGCCUUCAAGGGGAACCCGGCGGCGGUGUGUAUCUUGGAAGAAGAGAGGGACGAAGAGUGGCUGCAGGCGGUAGCCAGGGAGUUCAACUUCUCACAGACCUGUUACCUGACCGGUGCCUCGGGCUCAGAACUCGCCGGCUCGGUCAACGUGGGAUCGAGCCCGAGGUUUCAGCUCAGGUGGUUCACUCCAGUUAAGGAGGUGAGUGAGUUUCGGAAUUCCAUGUUCCCAGCGUUGCUUGCUUUAAUUCGGCAAGUGCAGGAUAUACUGAGCGUGUGGAUAAUAAAUGACUGAAAGCUCUUUCGUCCGCUCCCCACGCAAAUUGCUAAACUUUGCUUGCGUUCUUUUUGGUAACUUUCUUUCUUUAUCAUAGCCAACAGAAAUGGCAAUUUUUCUGUCCUGGUUUUGUUAUGAUUCCUUUAAUUUGUGAUAAUUCGCAUCUUCUGAGUUCAGCCGCUUAUAAUCAACCAUGGAUGGCUCGAUGAAGAAUUCGUCAAAAAUUCGAUUUCUAUUUGUCCUUUGCCGUCUGUUUCAUCUCAUUACUUUGGACUACCAGUUAAUUUGAUAAUUGUGCUUCUAUUAGAUGAAAUUAUAUGCAUUACCUGCGUGGGACUAUGAAUCAUGUUGAUGUUGUUCGAUUGAAUUCCAAGUCUGACACUGUGUCUCUGAUGUACUUGAGAGAUGCCUGCUUCGUCGUCAUAAUAAUCCAUCUCCACCAGACUAAUCUAUGUGGUUGCUCUGAUGCCUGCUUUUCGAUAGUGGCAGUAAACAUCGAUGUUGAUGAUCAAUCAGUUUGAUGAAGUCUGUCACAUUUCAGUAUGGAAGAAAUGCUACGGGAAACUGGUUAUCAUAUUAUCUAAUCACAAACUUGACCUUUCAGGUUGACCUCUGCGGUCAUGCGACACUAGCUGCUGCGCACACUCUCUUCACAUCUGGGAUGGUAGAUUCUGACACCAUCGAGUUUAUGACAUUAUCCGGAAUUCUGACUGCCAAAAGGGUUCCUGAAACGAAGUCAUCCGACAUUCUGAAGGUUCAAGAUGGUGAUGUGCCCGGGAUAUGGAUUGAAUUGGAUUUUCCUGUAGUCCCGAUCGCUGAAGAUGAUGCCGAGCGGAUUUCAUGUGUCUCCAAAGUUCUCAAUGGCACUUCCAUUGUUGAAAUCAAGAAGACAGCAAAGGGCGACCAUUUCGUAAUUCCUCAACUGCGACCCGAUCAUUUUCUUUUCCCCAUAAAUACUGUUUUGACUACAUUGAACCCCUUGCUUCCUCUUUGAGGCAAUCGUUUUCAUUCUGUUGAUUCCAGGAUUUGUACAGCAGCAGCUGGCAUUGAGCUGAUUUUCAUUAGGAAGAGAGUAUUUAAUUCCUUCAUUUCUACUUUCUUCUGCUUAUUUUCGAAGAUUGUUAUCCCAUCCUGGAAAGAAGUAGAAGAAUUUCAGCCCCAGUUUGAUGAGAUACAGAGAUGUCCUGGGAGGGGUAUUAUAAUCACAGGAUCAGCUCAGCCAGACUCGGGAUUUGAUUUUGUCAGUCGAUUCUUUGCCCCAAAAGUUGGACUGAAUGAGGUAUUAAAGUUCAUACCUUGGAAAGUUUCUUGAAGUAUCGAUCAUAAUUAGUUAUUCAAUUGUCCGAUUAGCUGGUCAUAUGUCGAAAGCUGUGUUCUAUCAACCAAUUUUAUGCUCUUACCGCAAACCUCUGAAUGAAUGAUCUACUUUCCAGGAUCCUGUAUGUGGCAGUGCACACUGUGCUUUGGCACCUUAUUGGAGUGAAAAGCUGGGGAAAAAAGAUCUCGUUGCCUAUGCUGUAGUCUCUCUCUCUCUCUCUCUCUUUCUCUCUGUCUGUGUUCAUCCACACAUGCUUGUGCCCAUGUCUCUGCCCUUGUGAAUGCCCAUGUGUUUUGCUUCUCUCGUCUCUCAAAUGGUAUGUAAAUGAAUGAUUUUCGAUGGCCUCAUCAUUUUCACAUCUUACAGGCAUCGCCCAGAGGUGGAGUAGUGAAGGUGCACUUGGACGAGCAGAACCAGAGAGUGUCAUUGCGCGGGAAAGCUGUAACUGUAAUGAGGGGCUCUCUUCUUGUUUGAAUUUCUAGCGCUUCUUCUUGUUUCUGAACUUAAAGCACGUGAAAAUCACUACGUGAGAAGGAAUUGAAAUAAAUGAGCUUAUGUCGUGGGUUCGAUGGUACCGAUUGGAAUAAUGUGAAAUACAUGAGAUAGCGCCCUUUCCUGUUUGACAGGUUCUUAAUUUGCUUGCAAUGGAUAGUGAACUGAAUAAGUGUUGAGUUUCAUUCCCAGAGGAUACUGUCUGCAGAAUUCUGUCUGCAGAAGAAGUGCAUAUUUGAUUGACAUAAGUGUUUAUCAGCACGGCUGGGAAAAUAAACAAGUGACUAAAAGCCUCCAUUGGACUAAGACAUCAGCAACGCACAGUUUCUGUUCCCGUAGAAACUAACUUCCUGCAAAUUCGUCGUUCGAGUAGUAGGAUGGCCGUGUCAUUUCCUAUACUUGAUGUGGAGUCGGGUUGUGAAUUGCAGCUACACUAACACGUACAUGUAAGUUCGCACAUGAAAGUUUCUGCUCUCAUCGACAACUGGUCUAUGAGAUCCGUAAUGUUUUUCACUGCAGACGGUACAGUUGAAUUAGUAAAGCGAGUCUUUCUUAUUAUGGCAAGUCUAGAUGUGAGUCUACUGAUAAUCUUGCAAUCAAACAGAACACAAGAAGAGCUGACGGCAAAUGAGGCUUUAAAAGCUCUAAAGGACCUUUAUGGCCUGAACAAAAAAUGAAGCGAAAAUAAAGUAGUCUACGUAUCACGUCCCGAACCCCAGGCACACGCACAACCCUAGGCGGUCGAUUAACGCACACAACCCUCGGCGGUAGUCUACGUAUCACGUCCCGAACCCCAGACACGAGUACAACCCUCGGCGGUCGAUUAACGUGCACAACCCUCGGUGGUCGAUUAAAAAUACAACGUCUUAGGAUGCGUUGCUGACCCAUUCCUUUUUUUUUUUCUUUCAGUUAAGCAUAUGCGGAAGUGAAUUAAAUAAACACCCGGCCAAGAAGAAGAAAAAGAAGAAGAAGAAGGUGAGCGAAAAUAAAGUAGUCUACGUAUCACGUCCCGAACCCCAGGCACGCGCAGAACCCUCGGCGGUCGAUUAAAAAUACAAUGUCUUAGGAUGCGUCGCCGACCCAUUCCUUUUUUUUUUCUUUCAGUUAAGCAUAUGCGGAAGCGAAUUAAAUGAACACCCGGCCAAUAAACAAAUAUAUGGAUAGUAAAACACGAUCGCGAUUUUCCCAUAAAAACCACGACUUAUUUAUCCAUUGUUGUCCCUAGGAAGUUUAAUGAUUUACAAGUCCUUACACUGGCAACUUCCAACCGACCCUCUCAAAAACCUCAAGGAUCAGGGUCACCCUAAACUUCGCUAACGGUAGGGCCAGCCAAAAGGUGUCGCAUCUCGCGCCCACCACAUCCGCACUCAAUAGAUCUCCACUCUACGACCCUGAAAAAUGUUAGCCCACGAUGGAGUGAGAUAAAAUCUUAGCGAGUCAAACCCUAAGCCCUAAUUAGGAUGCAAAUUCGCCCAGAGGCAGCCUAAACAAGCACCACAAACAAACUCAUCUCGCCUCGGCAUGUCCCUACACAUUAGCUCAACAUAUAUACCAUCAUCAGUGUAGCAAGCGCAGUUUAAUAACCGGAACACAUCAUUUCAAUCAUAUGGGUCUCGAUUAUAAGACCAAACUGUUAUAACAUGUCUCAAACCGUGCCACACAAUUUUUUCCUACAAUCAAGCGCAACUAUCACAACCAUUUAGGCGUGUUCCAAUUAUUACAACCAAUCGGCCACAGCCAACUCAACAGUUGGUGGUCAUCUAGCGUAACUGGGCAUCAUCCUGCCCCAUCGGGCAUUGUAUCGUCUAGAAUCGCCGCCUAGACGGCAUUCCACACAGGAGCUUCGUUUUGAAAUCCAUUCGCAAACGGCAACAUCUAACAUCCUCCGCCUAGACGGCAUUCCACACAGGAGCUUCGUUUUGAAAUCCAUUCGCAAACGGCAACAUCUAACUUGCUCCGCCUAGACGGCAUUCCACACAGGAGCAUCAUCCCGCAUAAUCAUACACAUUAGAAUGGGUUCACUUAGUGACCACACGAGCACAUACUUGGCCUUGCUUUGCGUUCAAAUACCUCAUUUUCAAAUAAUGAACUUGGUCACUUUUCUUCGUAUUAAAAUUCCUAGUAAAAAUAAUCUUGCAUGGUCAAAUAUUUGGAAUCGAACCAUCAAACUUGGUAUACUCCUAUUAUAAAACCUCCUUGUUUUAUUGAGCAUAUAAAAUUCGGCAUCCAAACCCGACACCUCAUUUAUUUUCUAUUUUCUUUCCCAACCACCCCUUUUUGUAACUAAACUUAGGGUAAUCCCCCCAUUUUUUUUUGUUCAAAGCUUUUGGAAAGAAAUUCGUAGGUGUUCACGUACUCAAAAUUAAUCCACCAAAAUUUGCACACACCUAGUUUAAAACCUCAUUGUUUUAUUGAGCAAAUAAAUUUUGGUGUCCAACCCAACACCUCAUUACUUUUCUAAUAAAUUGCCCAUAAGGCCAUCUUUUGCAAUGACAAUAUACACUCACCAUAAAACGACCAUUCACAUAUUAUCACGCAUAAGUUAUAAGUAUGUCAAAAGUCAACCAAAUCACCAAAUAUACAUUAUCCAGCAAGCACAACACCAAGAAUAACCACAAAACCACAAUCGGCCCUAACCGGCAGAAACUAGGUCCACUCGCGCGUCUCCAAGAUUAAUUCUAGAAAAAAUACUUAAAAAAGUUCAUUAAAUUCUAAAAUUUAAUAUGUCAUAAAGGACACUUAAAAAAACACUUUUCAUCAAGACACCUUGACCCAUAUAUUACUAGAUUAAGAGCAGUAAAUCGCUCAAACCGUUACCAAAACUGUGUCCGUAUCCAGAAAUUCUGUUUUCCAAAAUUAGUUUUUCUUGAGGUCCAAAAAAUGUCCGUUUGAUCUAAAAUUUGAAUAUGUUAAAAUAUAAGAUGUAAUGAAAAAAAUUUGUGAAUAAACUCUUUCGAAAAUCGGACCCUAAGAGUUGAUAAAAAUCCUUUGAACGACAAAAGGUCACAAGUUCCAGCACCAACUCGAAAUUUUGUUUUGCAAAUGACAAGGCUGAAAUAUUAUUCUUUUAAAUCCCUAAAAUCUUGAGUAAAAUAUAUGUCAUAGCUGAAGAUAUCUAGAACAUUUUUCAAGAAUGAAGUAACCUCAAAAUCGCAGCAUAUUUCCAUCCACGAAAAUAGCAAACGGCGAAUGUCUAGUAAACUGAACUGGAGAGAAAUCCACUAAACCAAGCUAAACCACCCUCAUUAAUACUAAUCUAACCAACUAGAUUAACACUAAUACAUCUUAAGGCUAAUCUAACCAAACUAGAUUAAUACUAAUCCAUCUUAAGGCUAAUUAACGCUAAUCUAACCCCUAAGCGCAAUUAACAACCUAAUCAAGGAUUAGGGAGUUAACUCACCGGUUAGGGCGGUGGCGGGUUCACAGCGACGGCAACGCGAAGACGGUGAAGACCCGAGGCAACCACAUCUCCAACAAAGGCCUAACGGUGAGGGAAAACAACCUUACAAGGCCCACGCCCAAGAGAGCUUUGGUUAUGUGGUUGAGCCGAUUUCAACUGGCUUGGUGGGCUAAUGGUGGUGCGGUGUUGCUGGAGUGGAGGCGGGGCCGCUUGGUGCUAAACGUUGGGAGUGGAGGGGUCUGUUUGGUGGCUGUUGGCUCGGGGCUGUGAUGGUGGACAACUGGACGAUUACUAGUUGGGCGGUGGAGAGUGGACGGUGGCUGUGGGCGUGUGGGCUGGUGGGAUUGCUAAACAACUCCUGCACGUCUCCCACUUGGUCGCUGACCUUGCUGCCCCUGCUGAACUGGCUGCUGGGAUUGCUAGCUUCUGGCAACAAAACAAAAAGAAAAGAGCCAGGCGAAGGAGAGGGACGUGAGGGAAGAAUUGAAAUGGAGAGGAUGGUGGUCUGCUGAAAGGGGAGGGAAUGUGCGCACGCAAGAAGGAGGGAAGGGGAGAGAGAAAGGAGAAAAUGAAAGUCCAAGCAUCAACCAACCAAAACCCUUGAGCAAAUAUCUAACCAUCAUCACAUGCCUCAAAAGUCCUCUUGCCACAAAAGUCAAGUGGCCCUCCAAUGAAGAAUUUGCUCUUAUUUCUUUAAAAAUAAACCAUCUUGGGCAGCCAAAAUCCCUUUUUUCCCUCUUGAUCCAAAUUUCCCUUUUUCUUUUCCGUUUUGUUCGAAAUUGAUUUUUUCGCAAAAUUUCGGACUCGACGAAAAUUCGCCGAAAGAUGAGAUGACGUCCUAAAAAUGAAUCGUGACACGCUCGAACAUCCGAUUCCCGAAAACAAAUUCAAAUUUGUGGUUAAAAUCGACUAGACGCGAUUUAAGUACAACCUAACCUACCGGGUAGCUUUUAGGAAUUUUAGCGCAUUUAAACCGUGGUCGAUAAUUUUCGACCCACGUUUGUGCAUCUCUGACGUGUAGGCAACUUCGAUUGUCGUAAAAAUCGCAAGGUUUCAAUCACAUGUCCCGUGUAUAAAAUCAAUAGAAAAUCGAGUUAGUGUCGUUCAACGCGAAUUUCGAAAUCAUGUAGAAUCACCCACAAUUCAAUUAUGUGUUUCUGUCGAAUCGACCUAUAUCCGAUCACUAUUUGAUUAUAACGGUGUCGUAUUAACCUUUGCCGAUUAUUACGGUCGAGCGAUCGAUUUCCGAUCGAAUUCUCUAGUCUGCCGUGUUUAUAUCCCAUAACUAGAGGUGUGCAACGGAAACCGCCCGAACUGGGAACCGGCCAGACCGAACCGGACCGGACCGGCCGGACCGGACCGAACCGGACCGGACCGGCCGGACCGGACCGGACCAAUUGGUUUCGAGCGGUUCUAGAGGGUCUCGGUCCGAUCUCAGGUUCCUAUUUUUGGAACCGGUGACCGGUUGGUCCGGUUCCCGGUUUCGGGGUCGGAACCGAACCGACCGGACCGACCAUUUAUAUAUAUUUAUUUAUUUUUAGUUUCUAAACUAAUCUGCAGUACCCAUCACCAUAUUCAUUUUUCCUCUUGUAACUCUUAAGCUAAUUCCUCCCCUUUUUUUUUAGUUUCUGAACCUAUCUAUAGUAACCAUCACAUCAUAUUUUCUUUUCCAAAUUUUGCAACUCUCACUUUCCCUUCCCCUCUCGUAAGCCUAACCGCUCCUUCUUUUAUUUAGUUUCUACUCUAAUCUACAGUAGCCAUCACAUCAACUUCCAUUUUCCCAAAUUUUGCAAUCCAAUUCGACGGCAAUUCUCACUUUGCCUUUCCCUCUCAAAACCGUAACCCCUCCCCUCUUGCUCGCUGGACGCCUCGCCCCCAACGCCUCACCUCACGCCUCACUCGUGCUGAUGCUCGGCUCUCUUCCUCCGAGUGCCUCGUCGCAACGUCUCGCCUCACACCUUGCUCCCUCGGACGCUCAGCUCUCUUCCUCCUCCGAGUGCCUCGCCGCAACGUCUCGCCUCACACCUCGCUCCCUCGAAUGCUUGGCUCUCUCCCUCCUCCAAGCGCAUUGCCCCGAUGCCUCGCUUCACUCCUCGCUCGCUCUGACGCUCGGCUCUCUUCCUCCUCCGAGCGCCUCUCCACGAGGUCUCGCCUCAUACCACGCUUGAUAUAGGUGUGGCGGUCUCAUUGGAGUUUGCUUGCUUGUUUAGUCUCUAAAUGGGUCUGCUGAUAGGUCAUGCGAAGCAUGUAGCAGUAAGUCGCAGCCUCCCGUAGUCGUAGCCUCGCCUCAUGCCUAGCUUCGAUCAAGUUGCUUAAGCCUUGACGUCGACACCUUCCCCUCUCACAACCUUGGCUUCGGCCUUGCUCAACACUCAAAUGCCUCUCCAUCAUCAAAAUUGGUACAUUUUCUCUUUCUCCACAAGUUGUGAAAAUUUUAAUUGCCAAUUGAUUCAUUGAUUCGGGGGCAAUCCUUUGAGGUUUAUGAAAUGAAACAAGUGAUGGUUCAUUGGAACCGGACCGGACCGGACCAGACCGGUUGGUCGGUCCGGUUCUCAGUUCCAAGAUCAGCCGGUUCGGUCCACGGUCCAGAAAAGUGGGAACCGGUCCUCCUGGUCCGGUUCCCGGUUCUUGAGUGGAACCGGACUGAACCGGGAACCGAUCACCCCUACCCUUAACAGCCUCACCUAAUAGAUUAGUUAACUCGUGAGGAGCUAACUUAGAGAAAAAUGACUAUAGGUGCAUCAACGAAACAACCAUUUCAUGUGUUCAAGACGGGGUCGAAAUUCGGGAUGUCACACUACACCAUGCCAGUCCGACCUUGUUAAGGCAAUCACGAAGCAACAAAAUAUGAGGCUUAAGCAGGGCAAUAGAAACUUCGAAUAAAUCAACUAGAGAUCGUGACAAACAUCAUACCUCUAUGCUUUCUGGUCCGGAGUUGGAACCAUUGUUGCUUGGGCACUGUGAUAGUGAGCGCAUCUCCUCUCAUGGCAGCAGUAGAGUCGCUUGCCCUAACAUUCUUAGGAAGAACCAUCUGGAUCUUAUUGUUUGCCACUUCGCUUCUGUCGCAUGAGAUACAAAGCGACUCGCCAUCGAUGAUCUCAACCUUCAAUUCGUCCUUCCUCAGUUGUGGAAGCUGUAGGCGAAAGACAUAGUUGGUCGCAGUCUUUUGGCUCUCGACCAACUCAUCAGGAGAGAAUGGAUCAUUGUAAAAGAAAACUCCUGCUUCAUGGUCAUGCCAUUCCAUUCUUAUGAUACGAAUUAAUCUCUUUAAGAGCCGAAUCCGAAGUGGGCAAUCCAUCGGAAUGGGAUUCGCAGUUCUUCAAUAUGGAGUCAGUAGCUUUGCUAAGAAUACAUACAUAACUGCAGUCUAAGGCCCUUGCACUCUUUAAGGCAAGUUGGCAACCUUGUAGUUGAGUAUCUAAUUCCCACUAAAUUAAUGAAGAUUAAUACAAAGGACCAUAAAGAUUUUAGAGGACCAUGGCCACCUGUUCUGAAAUUUUAAGGUGUCAGAUGAAGGUGAGUGUUUAUAUCUUUAAGGAUUGGGAAAGAUUUGAAGUCAGAUUCGAAUGCUCUCAUACUGUCACGCCUCGGAAUUCCGAGCCCGCGCACAUCCCUCAGUGGUCAAUGAAAUUGCGACAUCUCAGGACGCUUCACCGACCCAUUCAUUUUAUUGCACAUGCGGAAGCGAAUAAACAAAUCCCCUGAUAGCUAAUAGCAUGAGAUAGAAAAGCAAGACAACAAAUUCAUAACCAAAACACGCUUUUAUACACAAACUAGGUUUAUAUACAAGACUAGUUUGUCUACCAAAAAGAUUAGCCCUCAAAAAGGAAAAUGUCCUACGACCCCCUAGUCGGACACGUUCACCGACCUUUCAGACUCCACAGGCUCGAGGGUCCCCCACAACACCAUUAGGAUGGUCAGCUGUACCAUUGCUAAAAGCGGCGUCGACGACCACAGCAGGGACCUCAAAACCCUGGAAGGGACCCACUCUGUAUCCAUUGAGCCCGCGGCAAAACCACGCCCUAAAUUAGGGAGACACCCUCUGAGGUAGGCCCUCAUCGACCCAAACCGUGGUCACUACGAGCUCAUAAACCUAGACCCCAUGGCCUCCGGGAAUAAGGUAGUCAAUAACCAGCUCAGUAACCCUCUGAGGCUGACCAUAACGAACUGGCGGGGCCGCCAUCUAAGGACCUAAAAAGAAUUGAGCCCACGACUGGGUGAGAUAAUGUCUCAGCAAGUUCACCCCCUAAACUCUGACUAAGAAGGAAAUACGCCUAGCCACACAAUCACACAACCACAGAGACUUACCUCAUCUCAGAUCCUCCCUGCAGGUCAGCAUAGUUUAAAUACACAACCAUAUGCAGUAAUCAACCCCAACCAAUUAAAAUGCCACCACUUUGAUCUCAAUAAACACAAAGGUUCCAAUUAUAAGGCCAAAUCGUUAAGACACGUCCCAUACCAUGCCACACAAUUUUGUCACAUAAUCAGGUGCGUCAAAUCAAUCGAUCAUGCAUCCUAAUUGAUUACAACCCAACGGUCAUGGCUGACUCAACAGUCAGCGGUCUUCCGGCAUAGCCGGGCGUCAUCUCAUAUCAUCGAGCACGGCAACAUCUAUAUCUAGAUGGCAUUCCACAUAAGCGCAUCGAUCCAGCCUCCACUGCGACCGGCAUUCGUUGACUUGAGGCAUUCCCGAAGGAGCAUCGUUUGGCCCCAAAGGCUUGUGACAGGUUCUCAUAUUAUUCAUGCAUCCAUCCAAUCCCGGCCAAGACAUCGUGCUUUGCACUCAAAUAUCCCAAUUAAAAUAAUGUACUUGGCCCAUUUUCUUCAUAUUAAAAACACACGGUAAAAUAAUUAUGUGUGGGUACACGGUCAAUUUAAACCAGAAAAAUUGAUACCAUUCUUUUGAAAAUCCCACUAUUUGAUAUAGUAUUUAAAACUAUUUUCGGUGUCAAAACACAACACUUGGGAUUUUUUAAUUAAAUAUCAAAAUCUCUUAAUUUUGGAAUAAAUAACCAAAUUUCCAAUCACCACUCAAUUUGCACAAAUUAACACUCAAUUGUAUAAACUAAGCACACCAUUGCAAUCGGCAUGAAAUUCUGGUCACCGGCUAUCCCGGUUUUAUUUCCGAAAAAUAUUAAAUAAUUAAAUAAAUACCAAAAUUAAUUAAAUAAUGUAAAUUAAAUACCAUAAAUACUCACUUAGGCCGGAAACACUAAUCUAACCACCUAAACGGGCCUAGAAAUUUCUGAACCUAUUUAGAUAAAUAGCAUGACCUUUUUAGGUCCUAAUCAAUCCGUUCUAACCACCUAACAUGCACAAUUGAAUAAUUAAAUCACUAAUCUACACUAACUAACCACAUUAUCCCUAAUUAGCCUAAACUAAUUAUCCAUUCAACGUUAUUAACUCCUUAAUCAGAGUUUAGCAAGUAAACUCACCGGUUUAGCAGGCCGCUGAGUCGACGUCAGCAACAUAGAGGUGAACGACACUCGAGCCUACGGCGACACAAACGGAGGUCCGGACGGGCCUUAAAACAGGCCUAGAAGCUUCAUGGCUGGGCUGAAUUCGGCCUCUGUCCAAGGGCCAAAGAGGCUGGGCUGAGCAGCUGGUUGGCAUGGAAAUGGAAAGGUGGUGGACUAGGCGGCUAUAGCGGGCGACGGCGAUGCUCAACGGUGGCUAGACGGUGACGUAUGGUGGCCAAGGCCAUCUCGACGGUAAGCAGGAUGGCUCAGGAUGGCAACUAGACGCAAGCAAGUGGUGGGACGGCAGGGGCUCGGUGACGGGCCCGCGGGCGAGCGACUGGCACGUGACAGGCGGACAAGUAGCGAGGGAGCUCGGACAGCUGCUAUUGGCUCUUGGUUGGCUUUCUCUACAACUUUGAACUUUCAAAACACUCAACAAUGGAGAAAGUAGUCCAAGGGAGAAGAAGAAGCCACCUGCUAAAGAGAGGGGGACCACCAAGCCUUCUAGACAACACAAAUAUCCCAAUUCGCUCAUUGCAAAGGCCCCCACCACUCAGCCUUCAUCCUCAGCCAUUUGACACCUAAGCCUUCCCGUAGAAGCUUCCCCAAAUGGUCCAAAUGUUGCUACCCCUUGGUCCUACGAAUUUUGGACCAAUUCCCUCCAAAUCCACUUCAAUUCUUCUCCAAUUGAGUUCAAAUUGGAGUCCAUAAAUCCAGCCAAGGCGCCAUCGUCCAUCUCAUAAUUUUUCCUCGUCAAUUGAACCAACUUGAAGGACAAAAAUGCGACCAAAAAUGGCCCAUCGAAUUUUUCGGUCCAAAAUAACCCAACUUUGAUUUUUCGCCGAAAUCUCGGGUUUGCAAAAAAAAUUUCGGAGGAUGAUUCGACGUUCCUAAAAUGAAUUGUGACAUGAUAGAACUUUCAAUUUCUAAAAUUGGAUUUAAAUUCAUGGUUAAUUUCAACCGGGCACGAUUUUAGCGUGACCUAACCUACCUGGUAGCUUUUAGGAAUUUUUAGUGCAAUUGACCCGUAAUUGAUUAUUUUCAAACCACAUUGUACAUCUUUGACACAUUGGUGACUCUCGGUUGUCGUGAAAAUCUCGAGAUUUCAAAUACGGACACAGGGUACAGAAAUGAUAGAAAAAUCGGUCUAGUGUCGUUUGACAGAAAUUUUGCAAUCAGGUGGAAUCACCCACACACUAAUCACAUACAUCUGUCGAAUCGACCUAUCUCCGACCUCUGAUCAAUUUCGGCGAUGCUGUAAUGACCCUUGCAGAUUAGCACGGUCGAGCAGUCGAUUUCUGGUCGAAUUCUCAAGUCUAUUGCGUUAAAAUCCCUUAAUGGCUUCACCAUAUAGACUAGUUAUCUCGUGAGUGAUCAGCUCAGAGAAUAGAACUAUAGGCGUGUUGAUGAAAAGCUCAACUUAUUCAAUUGAAAACAAAACCUGAAAAUCAGGAUGUCACACAUACCUUGUAAAGAUCGUUUAGCACCAUUAUCUACAUUUUUAAUAGUUAUAUAGUCAGAGAAAAACAUGGUUUAAUAUUUAUGUAUACUACCAAGGACUAGGCCAACUUAUGAUCUAGUAAUCUACGCAUGAUCUUGCUUUGGAGGAAAGCUCGCUUUAAUUUCUCAUUCUAAGAGAUGAACGCAUAGAUCAAUUUAUCUAUUAAAUUAGGCCCACCCUAUUUCCACCCCCUUAUUAGCUCCUGACACUUCCUAUAAUUGACUACAUUAAUCAUUGCGGGUCCCGCUCUUGAUUAAAUAUUAUUACUUGUCUUUUUCACCCUUUAUUAUUGGCUCUUGACACCCGCUAUCACAUUAAAUUAACAACAUUAUCCCUUUAUUUCUUUAUUUUUUUCAAUUUUAUUAAAAGAAAAACUCACCCACAUCACUUUCAAACUAUUUUUUUUCACCCUAGCCAAUUCAAUCCACACCUGCUACAUUUCAACGUUUCCUUCAUGUUUCUCUUCUUAAGGCUCACAGCGAUAUUGAGCAUCAAUCCCAAUCUAUAACAACCUCCAUAAUUCACAAAGCCAAACAAAAAUAUAUAUCAUAAAUCGGUUUCACAAAUCAAAACACAUAGUCUUUUUGCAACUCGGCUCAUUCACCACAAAUACUUUUUGUAAAGCAUUUCUCAUGUCAUUUCAAAACUCGUUUCUUAAACUGAAAUAAAUUUCAUAUACAUUUUCACAACACAUUUCAUAAACCAAGUUCACAAAUCAACAUAUAUAUAUACAUAUAACCUUUCGCAAUAACUUUCCAAAAAAAUUUGGCAAAUCAUUCACAAGUACCAAAUCAUAGUAAAUGCUCGAUCAAGAUUUUUUGCAACAAAACAUGCUUUCAAUUACUUAUAAUACAUCAAAUCUCCAUAACUUUCAAGACAUGAGUUUUCAAACUCAUAGAAGAAAUAGCAUCACUCAUAUGAGAAAGCCAAAAAUCAACCACAGCGAUCACUCGAGUUGACACACUAAAAUUCCUAACAAAUAACCAAAAAACAAUAUCAAACGACUAAGUAACACGAUAUUCUAAUGAACGAAUCAACUAUACUAUGCCUAUUUGUCAAUAAAACGAUACCUAUAUGCUAACGAAAAGCUUGCCCCUAGCGGAAACCUAUUGUUGUUUGCAAGCCGCGUUAAAUUUCAUCACGCCAUAACUUCCUCCAUAGAAUUCUGUUUCAAGCCAACUUAUAAUCCUUAUUUUGACAUACUAUUAGAACCCCAACUUAGCUGCCCCAAGACCUUGCUGGAAAUGACUGAAAUUUGGCUCAAAAUUUACUAUUUGAAACUCUGUCCAAAAUGAACGCUGAACUUGAAAAUUCCGUUCUAGGCAAAUCACAAGCUCAAAUUGAGAUCCAUAAAAUGCUAUAGUUUCACAAUAUCCUAAACUAUCAUUUCUAUAAAAACACACCACCCGAAAACUCUCCAGUCAAAUGCAACAAGUCAUAAUCGACCUAAAACCGAAUUUCCAACCCUAAUUUUGACAAUUCCUUUGAAUAGACGAUUAGGGGCCUUGAUCACUUACCAACCUUGCAAAAUAGAUUAAGUCAGCUUAGCGAUUCAUAGAAUCAUAAGCACACGAAAAUUUUCCCCUUCCUUCUUCCUUCUUUUUUCUUUCUCCUUUUUCUUCUUCCUCAAUGAGCCCCUUUUCUUUCCCCUAUUUCUACUUCGACUUUUAAUAAUAUUUAAAAAAUAUUUUGAAUUAUAUCGGUUUCUUUUUUCUUUUCUUUUCAAUAUGUUUCUUUUGGGGGGGAGGCGUACUUAGGGCCAUAAGAGUCUUUAGCCAAUUCUCACUGACCACAAGGGUGAGGACUGCACACCCUCACUUUGGCCGAUGAGGACGUCUCAGCCCUUGCCUAGCCCUCACCUACCACAAUGAGGGCCCAUGAGCGCUCACAUAGUGGCCACUGAGGACGUGGUGGCCCUUACCCAGAGCAGAUAAGCACUGCAACACCCUCACCUAAUGCCAACAAGGGUUGUCGGCCCUCAAUCAAAAAAGAAAAAGAAAGGUAAAGUAAAAUAAUAAUAAUAACCCAUAAAAACUAUAAAAAAAAUAAAAAACAUAUGAAAAUAUUAUUUAAAAAAGUUUAGGUCUGUGCCGACCGUGCUAUAUAAGAUGACUGGUGUCCAUGUCAGUAAUUCCCUAUCAAAAUUGUCUGGAUGAACUUAACUAACAAAACUUGAAAAUAUUUAUAACUUAAUUAGUAUAAUUGAAGGUUUAUGAUUGAAUUGACACAAACGUAAUAGAUUUAUAACAAUUUUUUUUUAUAAUUGUCCCAUAUAAAAACAGUCACAUUUAAAACACAUUAAGUGCUAUUGCACGAAUUGCAGUGUUGCUUCUCUCAUGAUUUCUCGAAUAGUGACUAAGACCAAAAUCACAGGCAUGCUAUUUAGAUUUAAGAAAUCAAGGCAUAUUUGGAAAUGGAUUGGGUUAACAAGCCCGAAAGGCGCUUGCUAAAAACCAAAAGAUGUAGAAAGAGCAACUGUCGAUGCACAUUAGAAAAUAAAAUCGAUACUUCUUUUUAGUUUUUGCCGAACCAAGAGGACAAUGAGGGGCGAGUAGUGGUGACUAUAACCUCUCGAUGUUACUUUAAGAAAGUAUCGCACCCAUCACAAAAUGUUCAAUUUAGGUGAGGACGAGCCUCUGCUACUCAACACUAUAAAGGUAGGCGACCCAAGACCAGGACACCGCCGUAGUACUAGAAGUCCACAGCCCAUUCCCAAGCCAAGUCAGAAGACUAAUCGACAUGAGCAAGGUCACUAGAUAUGGGAAUACAAGCACGAGACCAACUUGAAUACGUCCGAUGGGAUAAUUAAUACUUCUUAUCAUACAAGGUUAAUCUUUCAGUUUCCACAUAAACAGAGUAGGUGAUGAACAAACUUCGCAAAUCAUGUGAGCGCCGUACACAAGUUAUGGCACUGAUAGUGUACUUCUCGCACACUAAUGUCAUACGUGGACCUAGAAAUGAUAGAUUAAAUAUGAAAAAUGUCAGAUAUUCUAAGACAUCUUAUUAAAACUUACUUAUCAAGUGAUGUAGCAAGUAUUAAUUAGAUAAUAAGGAAUAUGAUUAUAUUAUAUUACAUUAUUAGUUUCUUUCAAUACACAAUUGAUAAUUGUCAAAUCACUCACUAAAAAGUAAGUUCAGUGUUUGGUACAUUUACUUUGCUUAAUAAAUAAUGUAGUUUAUUUCAAGUGUGUCUCGGUCAAUCUAGAUAGACACAUUUAAAAAAAAAAAUGAUAACCUUAAAGCUCUUUUUCAUUCAUUGAACCCCCAUCAACCGAAAUUUAAAGUUUACUUCUCUGGCAAAAAUUGGUAGAAAGAGUAAAGACAAGAAAAAGAAUAAAGAGAAGCACACUAUAUUAUUUAAUGAUAACUAUUAUAUUAAUAUUUUGAAUUUGAGCCAUGUAUGAGACCCCAUCCAAUUAGAGGAUAUAGACCCCUCUGUAUUAGAUGAGGUGUAAGAGAAAGGGUCCUAAUUGGACUUUGAUUUUUCUUGCCUUUCUUUCAAAAGAUAAUCUUGAAUUUACUUGGGCUGUGGAUUCAAAUAAAGAAGAGAACUUAAACAAGAAAAGUUGUUGGCGACUUAUUACUCAAGGGUUUGACCGAUCAAGGCUUGAAAUUUUUCAUACAGUAAAAGAGAGAGAGAGAGAGAGAGAGAGAGAGAGAGAGAGAGAGAGAGAGAGUACUGGGUUAGAGGGUUUCUUGACGUAAGAGGAUUUUUUUUUUUUUUAGAGAACGUGAGUUUUGCUUUAAUUGUCUCCGCCGACCAUAGCCACACAAUACGGUAGGGGAUUUCUUUCUUUUUUUUUUUGGUAAAAGUAAGCAAUAUAUUGGGGAAAAUGCCAAAUUGUACAGACGCACACGGCUUAAAAAAACUUGCACUCUAGAUGAACGGGUCAUUAAGAGUGGAAGGAAGCCGGGAGGAAAAGCUAAUAGGCCAAAACAAGAAAACCCGUAAAACAAGAAAACACAAGAACGGCAUGAACAACCGCCAACUAGAAACAACCAACACAAAAGCAAAACAGAAGAGGCAAGAAUCAUCCACCUCCCACCGCAAGAUGCAGCAACCUCAGAGUGAGGUACAGGAAAAGCAUGAGCCAAUGGUCACCAGGUAGAUUAGAGUGACGGAUCUAUAGAUGCGAAAAUGAGCUAGUCAAUGUCCCAGCUGCGCUCUAACCUUCUAUUCCUAGCAGUGUCCUCAACAUUUCUGAAGGCAAGAGCCUUAUCUUUUACAACUUUAAGAAGAUGCUUCUUCAUGGCCGAGACGAUGAGCGGCUCCUCUCUGAAGAGUAUAUUGUUUAUGUUCUUCCAAAUAAUAUGGCAAAGUGCACCAAAUGAAAACCAAGCAAUGCACUUAUAAAAAUCUUUGCCCGACAGCAAGGUUAUGGCCCAACGUAGAUUCUCACUCCAAGAUCUGUUUCACCAAGAAAGAUUGCAUUUGGCAGCUCAAAAGAAAGCAAUGUUAGCCGUAAUGCAACACUCAAAAAACAGAUGAUCAAUAGAGUCAGGCAAAUCAUUGCAAAAAGGGCAAGAACCAGUAUCUGUCCUACCAUAAGAUAGAAGAAGAGCUUGGGUGGGAAGCCUACGCUUAGUGAUGAGCCAAAGGUGAAAUUGGUACCGAGGCAUGAUGGUGUUGUUCUAAACAAACGGAUGCCAAAAAACCCGGGACAUCUUCCGCCUAAUGGCCUCCCAAGUCGUCGCAACCGUGAACUUGCCCGUUGAGUUCUCCCUUCAAUAAAAACAAUCUUGGUUCGGAGAUAGGGAGGGAGGGGGGGUGCUCCCACAACUUCAACACUGCCUUGAUAGCCUGGCCUUCAUUCGAAAAGAGGUUUGCCACCGUAGCCUGCCUAGAAAGACCGGAACUAUAGAUGAGCAAAUCUAAGAAAAAUAAAUUCAACGGGCUUUUAGGGUACCGAUUAUCAAACCAAAGUGACAUAGAUAGGCCAUCCCCUAUUCUCCAACAUAAGCUAUGUUGGAUUUCCACCCUGAGUUGUAGUAUCUUCUUCCACACCCAAGAACAGCAAGUUGGCUUCUUCACGACCUAGAAAUUUCUCCUUUUUAAGAAGGUCGAGUGGAUCCACUUGCACCACAGUGACUCCUUGCCUGAAAACAAGAUUCAGAUAUGCUUCAACAUAACAGCCUUGUUACAAUCACGGAGUCUCCAGAUACCAAGGCCUCCCUCCUCUUUUGGGAGGCAAACAUCAUCCCAAGCCACCUUGGCGCCCCCUCUGCCCAACUCCGGGUCUUUCCAAAGGAAUUGUUUAAGGAUACGCUCAAUCUAGUCCAACACAGUUGCAGGAAGAAAAAAAGCACUUGCCUAAUAAGCCUGGAUAGCAUGAAGCACUGACAUGAUCAACUGAAGACGGCCAGCAAAGGAAAGAAAACGAUGCAUCCAAGAUUGAUGUGACUAACGAGAGCCGCACAAUCCACCUUCCCUAGCCUUGACAUAAUGAUAGGCACCCCCAAGUAACGGACUGGGAGGUUCCCUUCCACGAAGCCUAGGCCAACCAGGAUUUGAUUCCUUAAGGAUGGCGAGCCCCCAAACAAGAACACCUUGCUUAUCCUCAUAUUUUGGUGUAAACCACUCCAAGCUGAGAUCAUAUGAAGGCCUUCUUUGAGGAGCGUCACAGAAGGCAAGUCUGCUUCACAAAAUAGGAAUCCAUCAUCCGCAAAGAACAAAUGCGAGAGGUUGGUGGCCCUACAUCUCCAAAAGAACCUAAGCUCCGGCUACAAGGAGCACUUUACUAGGAUCCCGGAGAGCACCUCCAUAACCAAUGUAAAUAAGUAGGGAGACAUGGGAUCCCCCUGUUGAAGGCCUCGCCCACUAGGAAAGAAGCCAUGUAGCUCUCCAUUCAAAGCGAUGGAAAACCUUGGCGUCCUCACACAGGUCAUAAUGAGCUGCUCCAAGUGAUCAGGAAAUUGAAAAGCAAGGAUAACACUCUCAAGAAAGUGCCAAUCGAUUGUGUCAUAGGCUUUCCUGAAGUCGACCUUGAUUGCACACUUACAUGAAUAAGGCUCCAAGUGGAAGCUAAAGAGGAGUUCCUAAGCCAAAAGGAUAUUGUCCUUUAUUCGCCUCCCUUUAACAAACGUUGUUUGAGAAGAGCUCACUAGAUCUUUUAGUACCACGGCAACCUAAUUUGCUAAGACUUUGGUAAUUAGCUUGUAAAUGGUAUUACAACAGGCUAUAUGCCUAUAAUCAUCGACAUAAGUCGCAUUGGGAACCUCUGGCACCAAAACCAAAAUGGUAUUGUUGAUCUCCCUCAAGAAUAUCCCCGUGGUGAAGAAAUCUCUCGCGGCUACCAUGACAAGCUGUCCAACCAUCCCCCAAUCCCCCAGUUCUCCUUGAAGAAUUCAACCGUGAAACUAUUUGGUCCCGGGGCCUUACCCCGAGCUAAAGAAAAGAGAGUGUCCCAAAUCUCUAGAUCAUAGACAGGCUACGCAAGAGAGGUGAUAUGGUCUUCAUUUAACAUAGAUAGUAUAACCUCUCGGAUCUCCCCAACUGAAGGCGUUCCCUGCACCACCUGAGGCAUGAGGAGGUUCUGGAAAUACUCGACAAAACGCUGCUGGACCAACUGAGGAUUAGAGAUUUAAUUGCCCAAGGUAUCCACAACAGAGAGGAUUCUGUUUCUCAUCUGUCUCUUCUUGACAUAAUGGUGGAAGAACUUUGUAUUACGAUCCCCUUCCUUAAGCCAUCUGAUUCUAGCUUUCUGUCUAAAAAACAACUCCUCUUUAGAGCGAAGGUCCAAGAAGGUUUGGUGCCGAAUCUUCUCCACCUCAGCAAGCUCAACAUUGGUAGGAUCCUGCUGGAGACCAACCUGAGUCAUCUUUAAAGCUUCUCUCGCUUCUGAAGUCCUGGCAAAGAUGUUGGAGAAGGACUCCCUAUUCAACUGCUUGAGCCGACUUUUAAGGAAUUUAAGUUUGCAAACAAGCUUGUACAUGGGCACGCCUUCCCACGGAUCUUCCCAAAUUUGAUUAACAAUUGCCUCAAAGUCCGGAUGCUUCAUCCAAAACUCAAAAAAUUUAAAAGGCUUCCUCCUAGGCACCGGGUUCACCACCUUAACCAUCAUAGGUGAGUGAUCCAAAAUCCCAGGCGUUAGGAAGGACACUUCCGAGAAGGAAAAAGUUUGGCUCCAACAAAAAUUUACCAACCCCUAUCAAUCUUACUUGCCUUACAAGAAGUUCUAGAAGAUGUAGACCAGGUGUACCUAAAGCCCACAUACCUGAGGUCCUUCAGCUCCGAGUGAUCUAAGCAAUGGCCAAAAUCGUCAAAGCACAGCAACCAAUUGUCAGAACUACCUAACAUGUCCAAGGGGUCCUUUAUAGCAUUGAAACCCCCCAUAACACGCCAAGGCACAUUCUGUAAAAAAGAACUCCUAAGCAUAAAGUCCUCCCAAAGAGGUCUCCGGGAAGUGAAAGUGUACUCAGCAUAAACAAUAGUGACACAGCAAACAACCCCCGAAACUAAACACUUAAGAUUCUCAUGAACCGCCUGGUCCGUCAUAGAGAAAGCUUCGAACAACUAAAGGAUCCCAACCAACCAAAAUCCUUCCCCUAUGAGAGUAGUCAUAGUUUGCCAACCAGCACCAGUUCCCCAACAGACUGCUAGAGAUAGAAUUGAAAAGAUUCUACGAGACAUUCGUCUCCACAAGACCAACCAAAACCAAUGAUUGGACAAAACAAACUUUUGAACCUCAACUUGCCUAAUGGGGUUAACAAGGCACCUAAUGUUCCAGCACCCUAUGUACAUAAAUAAAUAAAUAUAAGCAAAAAGAGGUGAAGAAGAUGGGGUUACCUCCUUUUAGAGGAACUACGCCAUGUAGGGGGCGGAGCAGCAUAGGCCGAAGUAGGGGGCAGGUCCAAAGCCGGAGUGAGCAACUUGUCUUGCAUUGUCUCUACCCUCCUACUAGCAACCGAAGCCUUUGGUGAAGGACACGAGGAUAGCAGGUCAUCAUCUGAUCUACACAGAUUAUCCAAGCCCUCUACCUCCUCACCAGGGCUAGGCAAACCAGGAACAAAAGGCUCCAUUGGGUCGGCCAUAUUCUCCGCGAAGAUAGGGAUAGUUUCAACCUACUUCGACAGGAUUUUGAGACCCCUCUGGGCCUUUCGAGUUGAGGUGGAGGGGAGUCCCUUCUCCACAAAACCAGCCUUUGGAAUCAGAGAUCGCCCCUCAUCACUGGAACUAACCUGGAUAGUCGAAUUUCCUUUCAUAGGAGGAGGCGGUUUCUUCUUCUUUCCCCUGACUUGCUUCCACGCCUGAUAUGAUUCUGCAGGGACUUGCAAAGCAGGGGCGGGGAGCUAAACAGGGAUUGACGGAGUGGGGGAAGCCUGGGUCUACUGAGCCGUCUUCUCCAAGUUGGUGGAGACUGGGGAAACGUCAUGCUUAUGGCCAAAAACGCCACACUUGAGGCAUUCAAUCGGCUUCCAUUCAUAUUCAAUAGCUAUAGCCCUCGCUACUCCAUUCACCACCACUUCAACCGACGAACACCUCGGUUGAUUUGCUUGGAUCUCUACACACACCCUCGCAAAAGAAAUCAUCCUCAUUUUCUCUGUGUGUUGGUCCACAUAGAGGGGUUUGCUAAUGGUACUAGUGAUGGCACUUAUGGUCAGCGCCAACCAUAGAUCAAAGAGGAGAUUCUUAAGUCUAAUCCAUACCAAGACAAAAGAUUGGUUGUCUUUCUUUAGCUCCAAAAGAGGCUUCCAUUGUUGUAAUGUGAGGGGGACCCUUGCCACCGUUAGAGGCCCCUCUUCCAAGAUCUUUCUAUGAAACAAGGGAUCCGAAACAUGAAAAUAGAAUAAACCUUGAUCAUCGGCCAAAACUUCCACAAGUUUUGGGCCCCAAGUGUGAAAGUGCUAGUAUGAGCACCUAGAGGGGGGUGAAUAGGUGCAAAAAUAAAUUUUACAAAAUAUAGUGUAAAACUUUACUUUUAACCUGAGUCUGGUUGACAAUAGACUUUGUAGAGGAAAUCAGACUUUAACAAUUAAAUAGAGUUACAAACAAAAUAAACGAGUUCAACGAAAAGAAUAAGAACACAAGGUUUAUAGUGGUUCGGCUUAAUCUAAGCCUACGUCCACUCUCCCGCACUAAAAACCCACUGGCUGGAUUUCACUAAGAAUCAAAAGAGUCGUUACAGUAUCACGUCCUUGAUUCCACAAUGUAGAGACUCUACUACACUUCCACAAGGCCUCACAAAUAUCUAAACUCUCUUUUGAGUACAAGUUUACGCUCAACAAUUGAAUCAAUAAAGAACAAGGAGUUUCAGACUUUGGAAUUUAUCUAUUGCGCACACACUCGAAUAACUAGAGCGUCUUCCUUAUAUACUCCUCCAUGCCUUCAUAACCAUUGGCACCUUCCAAAGGAGUUCUUCCAAUCUACCCGUUGGACAGAAUCAAUUAGGGAGAUCUCGAGUUACUUAAGGAAUGUGAUGAUAGCCCACCAAUCUUGAUCGCCCAUACAAUCAGGAUCUAGGUUUCCAUAAGUAGAACCUUCCAAGUAUACUUCACCAAUCAAUGGAUCCAAAUUACUCGUAUUGAUUUCAAAACACAUAAUAGAUCUUGAGAUGCUAUCUCCAGUCGUGAGAACUUCUUUAGCCGCUCGAAUCAAAACCUUAAAGUAAUACUCGAUUCUGGAUAAGUCUUCUCCGUCGGUCUAAAAACUGUCAAUGAGGGCAGACUUUAAAUCUUGAGUCUGGCGGUCUUCAGACUUUGACGAGAGAGUCUGCCAGUCUUCAGACUAAACUGAUGGAAACGUUUUGUCAGCUUCAAAACAAGUAAGGAAGUUUUCUCCAACAAUCUCUCCCUUUUUUAUGGUGACAAAACUUUCUUGCAGAUUUGGAUAUUUUUGACCUGCAAGACAAUACUCAAGCAAACAAGGAUAUCUCAUAAAAGAUAAAUGAGUUAGGAUAAAGAUAGUAUCGAAUCUGCAUCCACAGGAAAUGAGUUAGUCCUGUAAAAACAAUUAUCUUUGCCAAUAAUGCUUAAGAUACUGCAAGCAUUUAAACGAUCAAAACACAAUCUUAAAACACAAUUCAAAUCAAUCACAACCAGAUAAAAAUCAAAGUCAAAUCUAAAAAUCAAUUCAAAUAUGCACCAACUUCUCCCCCUUUUUGUCAGCAUUAAAAAGGUAAAGAUGAAAAAGAGAAUUGGAUAAAAUUAAGAUUGUUUUGGAAUGCGAACGAUCUGGAAAUCUCCCAUCAACUUGACAAUCUCCUCCAGCUUUCUCAGAUCCUCCUUCAGUUGCGCUACUUCCUCACCCUUGGCAGUUGCUUGAACUUGAACAUUAAGGGCCUGAACUUGAUUGUGCAAUGAAACUGAAGAGGCUUGAUUAGCAUUCUGCAUAUUUUGAAAUUCACAUCUCAAAGCAUAAAUCUGACCUCUCAUCUCCAUAAGAACAUCAAGCAACCUUCUAAGGUCUCCUGAGUUGUCAGUUUGAGUGUUUGCUUUAGCAUGAUCAGUUUGUGGAGUAUUGGCAGAUGAUGGCACUUCAGCAUGAGCACCCAGACUUGCAGAUGAAACCUCAUUACCUUCUUCAAAAUUGAGAGGCAUAUACAUCUUCUGGAUCGGCACGAGAACGACUGACAUCAUCACUAGUAAAAGCAAGUGAAUGAGUACCUCUUUUAUCAGCAGCUCCCCCUGUUUCAGUGCCUUCAGGUGGAGAGAAGUACUCUUCAUGCUAUGUCUCUUCUUCAAUGACACGAUGACCUUGUUCUCUGCUUUGCUCUUAUUCUGCAGUUCUUCCUUCCUCUGCUUCUUUCCUCAUCAAUUCCCUCUCUUCACUCCUCUACUCUGUUUCCUCUCUAUCUUGGUUCUCUCUAUCCUCUGUCUCUGGAACAAGACGCUGUAAGUUCCUUAAGGCAAAAGCGGAAAUGGUGAUGUCAUCCUCAUCUUCUUCAUCCUACAAGAUGAGUGCUCUCCUUCUUUUAGAUGGAGCUGUCAUGGGCUCCUUGCAUUGCAGCCACAGAGUCUUGACGAGUCUUGACAGGAGUCUUCUCCUUAAAUCUCUCUAAAGCCUUGUUUAGCUCCUUCAGACGUAUCUUUGAAACCAUCUUCAGUCCCACCACCAUUUGAUCACAGGUUCGAACACACAGAAUUUUGGGAGGCUGAAUUUUAAAAUGUCUGAAUAGCUGAGUAACAAGUGCUGAAUAAGGAAGUUGGCCCUUGUCCUUUACCAUUGAUCUAUACAUGUGAAACAUGAUAGUGUGUGGCAGAGAGAACUUUUGACCAGCAUUGAUAGCAUACAUCAGCUUUGCUUCUGAGUUAGAGACGUCAGUCUUUGAUGUGGAUUUAGGUCUAAGAUAAUUAAUCACAAUCUUAUGAAGCAAGACAUUUGAGGCACUCAUCCUCAAAUACGAAAUUCGUCCUUCUGCCUUUCCAUCUCGAACAAGUUCCACAGUCGCACGAUCAAUAGACACACUAAUUUAUUGGAACAUCCCUCUCUCUACUCCAAUCACAUCAGUCAGAGUGUCCAUAUCAACCACAUAAUCCUAGUUUCUAACACUGAAAAAAAAUCUAUUCGCAUCCAAAAAGCUUAGAUUGGAAUAAAAAUACGGAGUAAAUUCUGGAUGAGCUACUGUUGUCUCAAAGCAAAAUCAUUCAAGUUGAAGUAAAGUAAAUUUCUCCCGUAACUUCACGUUCAGAGAGUCGAGAAAAUCAAAAUCCACACUCCUUGGGUUCAUCACCCCUCACUUCAGCAACUUAAAGUAAGCUCACUUAUGUUCCUCAGAACGAAACAAAUCGGUUCUUCUUCCUCGAAUGUUCGCAGCAACACCCAUUCUAGGCUUAAAAUGAGUGAAUAUCUUUUCAUCGUCAUUUCCAUCAGGUUAACUAAAUCCUCCAACACGUGGAUCACUUGGGAAAUUCGCAAAAGCCCUUUCUGCCGAGCCAAUAGGAGCAAUCCCCAAACGUUCCAUCGUUUGUAAAAAAUAGGUUUCAUUUCGGUACCCCUUUUCUUUCAAAAAUUCAUCAAUAAAGGUCAUUGGAGAGCCUCCAUCCUUUAAGGUAAAGUAGAGCUUGAAAGUAAAAGUAUGCUUAAGAGUCCUUACAAGUUCGGCAUCCUCAAUAAUUUCUUCCUCCGCCUGUUGUUGCUGAACAUUCUAUGGUCUAGCCUGAGGAGAAUGGCGCGGUUGAGAAUGUUGUGGACUCUGUUGUUGCCUUGGAGAUUCUUCUUCCUUGGUCAGGUCAAAAUGCGUAGGACCCUCACACAUAUGCUGUGGUCCCCUGCUUGCAAUCCUUGAGGACUUUCUUUGGGAAGACAUUAUCACAGUCUUUGAGAGAAUUUCUGAACUCGAUUCGCGAGAAAAAUGAAAACUUUAAGGAUUAAACUAGAGAGAAAAAGUAAGAAGGUGAUGUUCUGUGCUUCUAGGGUUUGUGAGUAAAAAAGAAGAAGAAAAACAGUAUAUAAAGCAAUCGAAACGAGGUAUACAGAUCGUCAUAAAAAGAAGGAUAAAAAAUGCCUUUUAAAAAAUAACUGCAUUUUUGAAAAUAGAUAACUGUCAUCUCAAAAAGAUAACUUCCUUUUUGAAAAAGAAUAAUUGCUACAAUUUCAAAAACUUGGGAAGAUAACAUCAAUCAAUUGUAGAUAAAUAAGCAAUCGUACCUUUUCGAGAUUUUAUUCGAAAGAUAAAUUGCUAGAACUGAAAUGACUUAUAGUCGUGAUUCUUGAUCUUCUGAGUCUGAGCAUCUUUAGACUUUUUAUCCUUGAGUCCGAACUUCUUCAGACUUUAAGAUAUUAAGUCUGGAACGAAUAGACUCAAAUAUGCUUUUCUCCAAUGGCUUUGUAAAAAUGUUCGCCAGCUAAUUCUUUGAGUUAAUGAAUUGAAUCAAGACUUCUCCAUUUUGAACAUGGUCUCUAAUAAAAUAAUGUCGAAUCUCUAUAUGCUUUAAAUGAAGAAUUGGAUUCUUGGUGAGAUUAAUCGCGCUGGUGUUGUCACACUUGAUCUCAGUGCAUGAGUCUUCAAUUCCAAAGUCUCUUAGUUGUUGUUUUAUCCAUAGGAUUUGAGAACAACAACUUCCAAGAGUCACAUACUCUGCUUUUGCUAUUGAGAGAGCUACAAUACUUUGCUUCCUUGAAAACUAAGAUACCGUCAUAUUACCAAGCAAUUGACAAGUGCCCGAGGUGCUCUUUCUAUCAACUCUGCAUCCUGCUAGAUUUGCGUCUGAGUAUCCAAGAAGAGUAAAGUCUCCUUCUUUAGGAUACCAUAGACCUAACUUAGAGGUUGUUGCAACAUAUUUGAUGAUGCGUUUCACAGCACUUAGAUGAGAUUAUUUGGGAUCUGAUUAAAAUCUGGCACAAAUGCAAACACUAAACAAAAUGUCAGGUCUAGAGACAAUAAGAUAAAGAAGUGAACCAAUGAUACUCCUGUACAACUUCUAGUCAACUUUAUUUCCUCCUUCAUCUUUGUCCAGCUUUGAAGAACUUGACAUUGGUAUAUCAGUCUUUUUGCAGUUCUCCAAACCGAACUUUUUAACAAGUUCUUUAGCAUAUUUUUCUUGGUGAAUGAAAAUUCCGUCCUUCAAUUGUUUCACUUGUAGUCCGAGAAAGAAUGAUAGUUCACCCAUCAUGCUCAUCUCGAAUUCAUCCUGCAUAGACUUAGAGAAUUUAUUGCACGGAUUUUCGUUAGGUGAUCCAAAAAUAAUAUCAUCAACAUAGAUUUGAAUAAGUAAAAAGUUUUUACUUUCUCUUUUAAUAAACAGAGUAGUGUCCACUUGACCUUUAACAAAGCCAUUUUGGAUUAAAAACUUACUUAACAUGUCGUACCAAGCUCGAGGUACUUGCUUUAAACCAUAUAGCGCCUUUUUCAAUCUGAAUACAGAGUCUAGUUUCCUCGGGUCUUCAAAACCGGAAGGUUGUUCCACAUAGACUUCCUCUUGGAUAAAUCCAUUCAGGAAUACACUUUUGACGUCCAUUUGGAAUAACCUGAAAUUCUUAUAACAAGUAAAAGUAAGUAAUAAUCUAAUUGCUUCUAACCUUACUACUGGUGCGUAAGUUUCAUCAUAGUCUAUCCCUUUUUCUUGCGUAUAUCCUUUGGCCACGAGUUCAUAUCCCUUUGCUGCGAGGCGCACCACAUUGGCCCAAGAGUGGGCUUGGGGAGGCCUGGAGCUACUAGGCAGCUGGCCCAAGCCUUGAAAGUGUUUGGAAGGAGCGUGAGCACGACUUCAGUCUCGAGAGCACCCUUUGCACGCAGGCUUGGACCGCAGCCCUUGUUUGUUCUCAAUAGCGACAGUGUUGGGUGCCACUUCGGGAGAUAUGGCCUGAUUCAGAGCAGCAGAUCGCACUAACGCAUUGGAAGAGGAGGGGCUAAGACCCUUAACCUUACCAACAUUAGGCUAGGCCUCAUUUGAGAGGCCACCCCCAUCGGCGAAGUGGAUGCCAUAAAGCAAAAGAAACCUCCCACAGCCCAAAACGCCUCCUACAGUACAGACUUUGCAGCGAAAGAAGCCAUACCAAGGCAGAGGCUAUUACAGGAUGAGGACGGGUGCUUAGGAGUCAACACAACCACCGCUAAGUCUUCAGCACAGCACUGGCACCCCGCAUGAACAGAACCAAGGGAGAAAACCAGCAAUGGAACGGCCGAGAACUAGGGUGACUUCAAUCUCCUCUUUUGGGCAAAACAGAGCAAUCCACUCGGUGAGGUUCCAGAGGGAAGCCAGAAGGAGCCCUCCAAAAUUCGAGCCGAACCAACGGGAGCCCUCCAAAAUUCGAGCCGAACCAACGGCUACCAAAGCCAAGAUGAGCUGGAAACCAGACGGGAUGAACAGGGAGAAAAUCGCACCCUAGAGAGAAGAUGUGAAUAGUAUACCGAGAAUGCACAAAUGGCCAACCCCAAGUAGGGGACUUCUUUGAGCUGCUAUGGCGUUUUCUUUGUGAAAAUGUAAGUAUUUCGAGCAGUGAGAUAAUUCUAUGCGAGGCUAAGGAUUAUGGGUUUGGAUAUAAUGCGAGGCUAAGGAUUAUGGGUUUGGAUAUAAUAUAGAUAUAGGAAACACUCAAGUAAAGUGUGUGAGUAAUUGUAACUCUGUACUUGUCCGAUUGAUUCGUGGAUUAUUUACUGCUGACUCUCCCUGUGAAAUAGGUACCGACACUCGGAUUGAAUCAUGUAAAUCUCUCAAUUAGUGAUCUUCUUCCUCUCACCAUUUUACUUCAGGUUGCUCAACUUUUUUGCGAUUCAAUGGUCUUCUUCCUCCCAGGCUUUCUCAUUGUUCUUCUUUUAGAUUUUAAUUUUUUUUUAUUCAAGCCCUUAUCUUUUAUCAUAAAAAAGCACUUUUUCAAGAUUAUGUUGGCCAAAUAGGAUGUGACAUGGGAUGCUAGCAAGACACUUAACAGUAUUUUAACAGCAACGUUAGGAUAGGAUGAACUAGAAAUAAAAACAUAGUAUUUAGGGAUCUUAGUGCUCACAAAUUGUUAAAAGAUCUUAUUGAACAAUUUAAAACAUUUCAAAGGCCUCCGAUGCCUUUAUUCCUCUCUUUUAGUGGGGAAAUUUCCGUCGUUUAGUCAAAGAAAGAGAGGGGGGUUGAUUGGUUCUCCUCAGCUGAUCAGUUCUCAAGUUUAAUUUUGGGAGACUUUCGGGGUGUCGAAUCGCACGGGUUAUUAGAAAAUUGAUAGUGGUAGGGCUAAUUUUCUCUCUUUUUUCCCUUUCGAAAUGAUAGUGGCUUACUUUGUUAGAAUGAGACGACGGACUUUUGCGCAGCGGCAGUUGGUUUCUUUGUUCUGCCCGAAAUUAGUGGACUUUACACGCCGACCCCCAUGUACCAUCCGCGUGGUAUUGUCGUGAACAUUUUAUUUGCUUGAACCUUGUCCUCAGUUAACAUCGAAAGUGUUUUGUCGACUGGACUCUAAAUAGUUCGAGUACUGCUUGUUGCACAUAGAGUUGGAAAAACAUGACAUUUGCCGCAGCAUUACAUUUAAAUAGUUCAGGGUGCAGACACCUAAUUUUGUCACUUGAAUGUUUUUCACUAAUGCACGCCGAUUGACCAUGACCUCAAUUGGAGAUUCAUGAGAACGCUCCUAAAAAUCGUCCGAGUGGUCUAAUAGCUCAAGAUUAUCGCAAUUCUCUGGCGACAGAAAGAUUGCCGUGUCAAUUGCCGACAGCGUCAUCAGAUUGGAUCUUUGAUAUCACUGUUUCUUGUGCCAAACAAACUCAAAUCAAUCCCCUUCAGACUGAAACUGAAGUGAACUUAGCAUGGCCAGCUCGGCUUUAGUCCAGUUUAAGAUCAAAAUCGAUUCAGAAUUUUGUCUGGGUGGAGAGACCUGCCGUCUUUUGUCUCUAAUUUCUUCUUAUUGCCAAUUUUGACUCGUGAUAUCUUAUAUGUUUCAGAUCCAAUCGAGGUGAUUAUUGAUGAUAUAUAAAACUCGUAGCUCCUAGUCUCGACUAACGCCAUCUGAUUGAGAAAAUUACGUAACUCUUGAUAUCAUCAAUACUGGAUGGCCGAGAUUUGGUGGAAUGAGUUCUCGAGAUGCAAUCAUCACGUUUCAAUAAAUUGGUAUCAUCUGAAAGCUCUCCCCAUAUUGCAUCCUCUUAUAUCGUCCAUCAAAUUUUGGAACAAGUUAGGUCCCAGGUCAAUUUGGUCAAACCAUGAAAAUGUUAGGUGUAAAAUGAGAAUUUACAUGUUCUUCAAGUUAUGCAAUGAUACAUACAAGUGGGGUCUGAUGAUGCUCACUGUACGUAGCCCCUCCAAACCAACGAAAAUUAUCUAGGUCUUUGUGGGCGGCUGCAUCCAGGCUUUUCCCCCCUUUUACGCUAACUUCUUUGAUUGGUAGGGUCCUAAUACCUUUAAUUUAAAGCAAGGGAAAUAGAAUAUAUGGUGUGUGAAUUACCCUCUUGUUUAUAUUAUUACGUAGAUAUAUCCUAAACAAUAAUCAAAAGUCAAGCUUUGUUACUAUAUAUGCUUUGAAAGAAUGUAACAAAGUUGGAAAUACUUGAUAUAAUGUGAUUUGCAUAAACUGAUGUCACAAAUUGAUGAUUGAUGGUCCGGACAUGCAUUUUUCAACCCCUUCAUACGACCCAAAAGAAGAAAAAAAUCUUUCCAACUCUGAAAAAUAAAAGAAAGAGAACUUUGCCAGACUAACUAAAAAUCAAUAUAUUUGUUUAACUUUUUUUCUCCUUUUGAAAAUUAUAAAACGAAUGUUGUAGAAUUAUAUUUCGCAUUACAAACGCAUGACAUUGGACUACGAUUUAUGUCAUUUAUAGCUAGAUCAAACUUGCCAUUAUAGUGAAAUUGAAAUUGGAACUAUAGUUUCCUUAGCCCAAUUUAUUUGUAUUUUUCAAAGUUAUCUAAUAGAAUUAGAACAAAACAAGCGAGGGAAUUGCAAUGGAAUUGAUUACACAUAGUGCAAGUGGAGAGUUACUCUUUUUCUUUUAGUUAAUGGCACUGGUUGUGUGAGAAUAAGUGCAAUAAAAGCCCUAAUGUUUGGAUGGUUGAUUAAUUAAGUCCUAAAUACUUUGUUUUCAGUCGAUUGAGUUCUAAAUGUUUUGACAAAAAUACAAUUAAGUACUAAUAUCUUUGUCAAUGACCUUUAGUGACUGGACAGCUCUACUCUUAAAGAUUACUAUGAAAUGAAUCAUCAUUUUAACCACAUGAGAGAUAAAGCAUAUGAAUCUUAUUGAUCCAUGGUUAGAGAACUUUAUGUGAUUUAUUCUUGAUUAUUAUAAAAAAAACAAUUAAUUUUGUGAAAAACUAAAAUGACAUGAUUUUGCAAUGAGUUAAUUUAGCAGGGAAUUAGGACGGAAUUACAUCUUUUCCAAUAAGGCUUAGAGUUCAAUUAACUAAAUAGGAUGUUUAACACACGAUCAACAACCAACCCAAAAGGCUUAGGGCUCUAUUGAGUGCCGUAUAUAAGUUAUGGCACUCAAGUGGUCGAAAAAAUAUUUAUAGCACUUGUGAUGUUAUUUUCCCCUUUGUCAUUCCCAAUAUACUUACUUUACUGGCAUGGUUCAACCUUAGAAGAUUACAAGGCUACUAGGUUCAGGAGAGAGGACUAGACAUGGAUGGAAAAACCUAAGUACGUACUUGACUCAUCUUUAAAAAAGUGACAUAAAUGAUCCACGAACUUUUGUUUAAUGUACAAUGUCAUCCCUAAACUUUCAAUUUGUUUAAUGUACAAUGUCAUCCCUAAACUUUCAAUUUGUUUAAUAUACAAUGUCAUCCCUAAACUUUCAAUUUGUUUAAUGUGAUCUUUGAAUUUUAGUCCAAUGUGCAAUGUCGUCCCUAAAAUUUUAAUUUGUUCAAUAUAGUUCCUAAACCAUGUUCAUAUAGUCUAAGGACUAUAUUGAACAUUUGCCAAUAGCUUAGGAAUCACGUUGAAUAAUUAAAAGUUCAAGGACGACGUUACGAAUUAAGCCAAAGUUUAAAAGUUCAGGGAUUACAUUACACAUUAAAUCAAAGUUCAUUGACCAUUUGUGCUACUAUCCUACUCAUCUUCUCUUAUCCAUUUUAACAUGGAAGGGGGAGGUGAGGGGUUCGAAUCCCCACCUUCUCAAGGGAGGUUAGGGUGGGGACGAAUUAAUUUCAAGAGUGGGUUUCGACUCCCACGCUCUGCAAGAAGGGAGGGAAAAAGUUUGAGAGUGAGAGUUAGAAUAGGAGUAGAGUAAGACUGACCAAAAAAAAAAUCACGUUUUUGUUAUUUACCACAUAGCAUCACUGAAUGAAAAUAAUGCGACCUCGUUUAUCUGUUCAUUUCACAUAAUCGUCUUUCUAUUUAGCUUGCCAAGAUGUCAUUAUAUAUAUAUAUAUAUAGUUAAUUCCCCCCUUAACUCUUGUUUGUCGUAGUGGGUUUUCAUAUAUUUGCAACUACAUGUUCUUAAUCUAAGAAUUGUUUUUCAAGCCAAAAAGUCUUUUCUCUCUCCCUUUCUCCCUCUUUUCUCUUCAACAUCUACUUCAACCUUCAUCCAUAAGGAGUGUUUGAACUAAUCUCACCCUCCCUCCUCUUUUGUUGAUUUUCUUUGCAUUUUAUUGUUUUUUUCUUACUUUUUCUUCUCUCUGAAUUUAGAUUUGACAGUUAUCUUCUCCCAGUCUAAAUCUCAACUUGAGAGUUUGAACUCUUCCAAUCUAAUUUUAUAUACAGGUGCUAUCCUCCGCUGAUCUGAAUCUAAGAGUUUAAUAAAUAUACUUUUGCGGAUUCAAUACCCUCUAUUCUCUGUGUACGAGUUCUCUCUCUUCAACUUCAAUGAUGAUAGCAGAAACUUUUGUGUCUCAUUGAAUCACAAAGAUUGUUCCUCCAGAUGUUAAAUAUGUGUUUGUUCAACCUAUUUUGGUUGUCUCCAUACAACAAAGGUGUAGAGGAAGCCGAACCUAGGGACGCACCACCAACUAGUAACAUUGUAAUUAUUGGAGAAUGAAUUUUUGGCGUGUGCUCCUCACUAACAAAAACACAAGAUCCAAUUAUUGGCCACCGAUUAUUUUGCUUGACAAAUUCUUAUGGAAUAAGUAUGUGCUUAACUUUGCUGGUUUUCCAUUGAUCCUCCCUAUUUCUUGGAUUUGACUUUGCUUUUGAGUAUUCUUUCUCAUAUAUAUGCUUUUGAGUAAUGGAUACAAUUUUCUUUCGAUAAAAAAAAGGGACUUGUUUACUAAGCUUUGCUAAUCUGUUGGGACAAUUUUAAAGUGUCGCGCCUCAAAUCCUAUGGGGUGAAGGGGUAACACAACUGUCCUUUUGUAAAGGACGUAGUCUCAAAUUAUAUCCCAAAUAUCUAGCUCCCAAUAGUUCUCACGAUAAGGCUUAGUUUAUCGAUUACUAACUAAGGCACCUAAAAAACAUAUUAAGAAAAAAGAAUGAGCUACCACAGCUCAGUAAGUAAUAUAUUUCUUUUAAGCAAUCAAGCAAUCACUAUGCACAUUUAAAAUACAAAUAUAACACACUUUUACUAAAACCAUAAUUUAACAAACCUUCAAGAUGAAAAUAAUGUAAUAUUUCUUACUUUAUUAUAAUAUGUUCAAAGCAAAAAUAUUCAAGAUAAUAACAAACAUACACCAAUGAUCCAACCCAUUGGUCGAUCUCAUAAAAAUACAUGUCAAUAGUCUAUUCCAUUGACCAAUCUCAUAAAAACACACAUCAAUGAUCCAUUCCAUUGGUUAAUCUCAUGUUACACAUCAAUGGUCUAUCACAUUGGUCCAUCUAAUAUGAAACUACAUGUCGAUGGUCUAUACAUCAACCAAUCUUUUGUUCAAUAUCAAACCAUGGUCACUCAUAACGCCCGUGACAAGACAACUAAUAUUCCCCCCUUGGUUAUAUGACAUCCUGAAAUUCCAGUUUUGUUUUCAAUUAAAUGAAUUGGGCCUUUCAUCAACACGCCUAUAGUUCUAUUCUCUGAGCUGAUCACUCAAUAGAUAACUAGAUUAUCGGGUGAAGUCAUUAAGGGAUUUUAAUGCAAUAAACUUGAGAAUUUGACUAGGAAUCGACUGCUCAACUGUGCUCAUUUGCAGAGAUCAUUACGGCACAGUUAAAAAUCGAUCAUAGAUUAGAAAUAAGUCGAUUCGACUUAGAUAUAUGACUAAGUGUGGGUGAUUCCACCAAAUUGCAAAAUUUUCGUCAAUCGGUAAUAGACUGAUUUUUCUAUCGUUUUGGUACCCUGUGUCAGCAUUUGAAACCUCGAGAUUUUCACAACAACUGUGUCAAAGAUGUACGUUAUGGCUUGAAAAUAAUCAACCACGGGUCAAUUGUACUAAAAAUUUCUAGAAGCUACCCGAUAAGUUAGGUUAUGCUAAAAUCGUGCCAAAUUGAAAUUAACCGCGAAUUUGAACCCGAUUUCAGAAAUUGAAAGUUUUGUCAUAUCGCGAUUUAUUUUAGGACNNNNNNNNNNNNNNNNNNNNNNNNNNNNNNNNNNNNNNNNNNNNNNNNNNNNNNNNNNNNNNNNNNNNNNNNNNNNNNNNNNNNNNNNNNNNNNNNNNNNGGGGCCGUUUUUUUCCACAAAAUUCAAGGGACUAUUUUUUAUCAUGUUUUUGGAAUGCAAGUUGGUUCUCUUGGCAAGGAAAAAUGUCAAUUUAAUCAUGGACAACUUGGUGGGAUAUAUGAACUUCGAGUUGAAUUAAUUUGAAGGAGAAUUGGUAGGGAAUUGAAUCCAAUUUAGUGGAUGUUGACACCUAAAUUUUUGCAUAAUUUUUAGGGUUAAUUUUUACUAUAAAAAAAAAACACACACACACACACACACACACAUGGCAUAUAGUUUAGAAACAUUUUAUUUUUAUUUUGUUUUAUUUUAGGCCGCCGGUGAAACGAGGAUUUUCUACAUAUUCCGUUCAAAUUUUUCACAUAUUCAAGUAAUAUACACUGGGGGGUGUAUUUUGCCUGAAAAUGGAAUUAUUUUUGGAUGGAAUAUGCGGAAAAUGCAAAAGAGAAUAUUGCACGAGCAAAAUUGGAAACGAAAUAUGCAAUAAAGAUUCAAUUUUUUUUUACCCUAUAAAAGGUGUGAUGGGGUACAGAAAAAAGGGGGCCACAUAUAUUGAAUACACGGCCGCAAGGAAAAGAGAGAGCCUUUUGUUUCUUUCUUUCUUUCGUCAGGGUGGAGUCCAGAUCAGUCCGCAGCAAACCAACCGCCGACGAUUGCUUAGUAGCUCUCGUGAAGCCUUGUCGUCGCGCUCAACAGCUGUUCACGCUUCAGACCAGGCGAGUCUUCAAGCAAUUCCAAGAAGCACCGUCGCCUCGGCUACCAUCUGCCGAACCGCCGUCGUCCGGGUGCAGCUAGAAGUUUCCAGCCUCCCACCUCAUCAUCGACGAGUACACCUUCAAACAUCGAGAUUUGUUUUGGCUUUUGGUCAAAGCGGUGGAAGUUGUCUCAUAUUGCAUGGUGAAUUUUGGAGAAUUGCUCGUGAAUUCUUGAGGAAGAAAUAUAAGUGGGGUCAAGGGCAAGAGACGAUCGCGACUUCGGAGUUCUCAGUUGAGAUUACUUGGUCCAACAAAAACACCAAAAAUCGUUGGCGAUCGUCGAGGAGUCCGGGUGUUCAAUAAUUGUAACACCCUUCUGCGCCCGUUCGAAGCUGCUGCUGUCCAUAUCUGCUGCCCAACACGUGCCCGAUAGCCUUAACGUCCAGCAGCUCAUCCGGUGAUUGGCAAACAGAAACAACGGUGUCCAACGUGCCGUUGUCUCUGUGCAAGCGUUGGAGACCCAGUUUGCGACGUGACCCACCGUCCACGCCCUCUUGGCUUCUGUUUUGCAGGAUCUUUAACGGAUCUUCAGCUGAAACCCGUGACCUCUCACCGUCAAUCCCACCAAGACCGCCAUCGUUGGCUGCGGUUGUGAAUUCGGAACGAAAUCUGCAAACUAAUUUUCAGCCACGUGAAGUCUCUGCCGUAAGAGUGGGGAUCAGCCGUGCACUCCCGACGACCGUGCCCAUCAUCCUCACCGGAGCCCUUGGUUGACCUAACAUCGAGCCCUGUCCUUAGCCGUGUCGCGCCUACCGUUGGUCCAUUCUACCGAUUGGUUUCCUGGAAAAAUUCAAAUUAAGGUAUGGAUCUAUUAGGUACAUUUAGUAGAUUUAAUUUCUUAGGUAGAUUUGUUUAUCUUGUUUUAGUUUUUGAGUAUUUUAUCUCUUUGUUUGAAGUAUUUUCCAAUGCAUGAUUGAAAUUCUCUGAUGUAGCAUCCAAAUCGCAAUCGCACGAAUUUUUAUUCUAUUUAUAAGGCUUUAGAUGGAAUAAUUAUUCACGUGGGAGUAAAAUUGAUAUCUUGAUCUUUAAGGCUUAAGAUCAAUUUAUUGAUUUUAUUAGCGAGAUAGUCAAGUUUGAAUUUCAAAUUGAGUGAUGGACAAUAUUUUUGAUGAUCAUGGAUGGUUUGAUGUUUAUCUCAUAAUUGUUCUAUUUAUCCCGAAAAUACAAAAAAAAAUCGCAUUUGCAUGUAGAUUAGGGUUGUUUUCCUAGAUAAGGUUGUAAGAUAGAAUAGUUUUUUUUUUAAAAUGCAUGUUUAGAUGGUAUCUAGGUUAGAUAAUAUUUUUGGAUUGAAUUGUAUGACGAGAUAAUUUUCUAGAUUAAGAUAGGAUUCAUAUUAGUCCAUUUCCUAACUUAAGAUAGAUAAUAUCUCACUUUAGUUAGAUUUUGAAUUACGAAUUUUUUUUAUAAAAAACACAAAAAAAUGUCAUUGCAUGUCAUAUAGAAUUAGAUUUGAUAAUUGUUGCUAGGUCCAUUUAAUUAGAAAUUGCAUGACAUUAGAAUUAGGUCAUUUAGUUAAUAUUGCAUUGCAUAUUGCAUGAUUUUCAUUAAUUAAGUGAAAACAAAAAAAGAAAUUGCGUGUUAAUUAGAAACCAUAUCUAAGGUUGUUAAUGUGGAUUUUAAUUAAUAUUGCAGAUGCUCUCGUUGCUUUGAGGUAAGUUUUUACAAUUUAUUUAUUGCUUAUCUGCAUGUUAAAUUGGUGGAUUGCGCACCCGCAUGAUCACCUCACAUGUUAGGGAAAUAAAUUUAAAAUCAAUCCAAACUGCUUGCUAAACAUUUUUCAAAAUAAAAAGAAAUGUACCGAAAGGGCGUUAGAGAAAUCUAGCGUAAUCAAGUCCCCGAACUCAUAAAUCUCUGGUUCGUAGGAGUAAAGUAAAUCUCCCGUUACUUUACUUGGGUUUCUAAUCGACCCACCAAAAAAUAGAUUAGUGGCGACUCCUAAUUAAAAAUUUGCAUGUUAAGAACUUGAACCGAAAGUUGCAAAUUGGUAUGGGCAUGGGAGAGCCCGAGUUAAGUUUAGGCUUAACAAUCCAUUAGCCAAAUGUGGUUCACACCCGAAAAUUUGGUCGCGACAAUGGACAAUGCACAAAUUCGUAUCCCCCCAUGGUGUGCAACUUUUGUACCCUUAGGAAGCUUGACAAGGAAGCCUUGGUAGCUGCAAAUGGCUAAGGAAGCCAGCCUAUGUUGGUGGGACCUCUUCAAGGAGGACAAAGGGAUAGAAGUGAGACUUGAGGGACCCUCCAAGCUUGGUUGUCCCCUUUCUUCCUCCCUCAGCCCUACUUUCCCCAUUUUCAGACCCUUGGAAGCUUUGAAAGUGCAGAAGAACCGGCCAGCCCUUCCUUUGCUCUCGCCAGCCCUACCGGAUCGCCACUGCUAGCCGUCAAAGCUACUCGCUCAUGCGCCCAAGCUCGCGAGGCCCUGCUCGCGUCCACGCCCUGCUCAUCGUCGUCUAGUGCCGUACAACCGUCCAGUAGCUCGCCAGGCCAUCGUGCGUCGCCAUCGUAGUUGCCAAAGUCACCGUCAUCACUCGCUGCAGCCCGUCCACUCGCCUCUCACUAUUUCUGCACCAACCGGCCUUCAUUCGGCCCUCUUGGCCCAAGGAACAGAACCAAACCCCCUUAGCCCAACCAUGUACUGUUUGGCCCACUUUGGACCACUUCCAGACCUUGUAGUGCAUCGCUGCUUUGGAGUUUGUCGCCCGUCUCCGCCUUGCCGUCACCGUGAACUCAUCGGAUUUCAAAACCAAUGAGUUUACUCACUAAUCUCCGCUUAAUGAGUUAAUUAUGCUUAAGGGUUGAUUAGUUUAGGCUAAGUAUGGUUUAGGUGGUUAGUUAGAACGAAUUAGCAAUUUAAUUAUUCAUUUAUGCAUGUUAGGUGAUUAGAGUAGUGUAAUUAGAGACCAGAUAAGUUGUAGUAUUUAUCUAGAUUGGUUCGAAAAUUUUCUGGGCCUAUUUCGGUAUUUAAUUAGGCAUUUUCGGCCUAAGUUUGCAUUUAUGUCAUUUAAUUGUAUUUAUUUAAUUAAUUUUGGUAAUUAUUUAAUUAUUUAUUAUUUAUUGGAAAUUAUACCGGGAUAGUCGGUGACCAAAAUUUUGUGCUAAUUGCAAUGGUAUGAGUGGUUUAUUUAAUUGAGUGUUGAUUUGUGCAAAUUGAGUGAGAAUUAUAAUUUUGGGUAUUUAUUCUAAAAUUAAGUAAUUUUUGUAUUUAAUUAGAAAAUACCGAGCGGUUGGUUUACAACGCCAAAAAUGUAUUUAUGCACUAUAUUAAAUAGUGAGAUUUUCUAAAAGAAAGAUAUUGUGUUUUGGCUCAGGCCAACCGUGUACCCACGCACGAUUAUUUUCAAAGGGUAUAUUUUAACAUGAUGAAAUUGGGCCAAGUGUGUUAUUUAAUUGAGGAAUUGGUGUACAAGGCACAAAGUUCUUGGCCGGAAUUGGUUUAUCGUAGUUCAGCUUGUGUGAGCAUUGUGAUUUCAGCUUGUGAGAGCAGUAUAAUUUAUCAACUUGUGUGAGCAAUGAUCACUUAUCAGCUUGUGAGAGCAACAAUCCGUAUAUCAACUUGUGGGAGCUACUAUCUAUCUAUAUCAGCUUGUGCAAGCUACUAUCUAUCUAUAUUAGCUUGUGCAAGCUACUAUCUAUCAUCUUCAGCUUGUGUGAGCAUGGUCGGUGUUGAUGGUACCGGAUAGAUAGUAUUGAAUUGAUAGAUAGUAUUGCUUAGAUUGAUCGAUUGUUGGAUUGGACAAUCGUUGGUAUUGAAUGAUUGAUUGGUUGAGGUUUAUGAACUUUACUGACUUACAAGAAGGAACUAAGGCUAAGGUGAGUCACCUAUCUCUUGUGUGCAUAAGUAGCCUUUAGGUGUAUUUCCUUUCUAAUCGGAGUUUAGGGAGUGGACUUGCUGAGACGUUGUCUCACCCCGUCGUGGGCUAACAUUUACAGGUCUUUAGAUGGCUGUACCUCCUAAGCGUUUUGGCCAGCCGAAGAAGGUCACCAAGCAAAUCUCUCAAAUUCCUCAAAUUCCCCUCCCUAAGAGCCAAGGAGCCUGGGUCUACGAACUCAUGAGAUCCAUUGUCUGGGUUAGUGCGGGUCUAUCUUGGAAGGUACCCCAUCAAUUCAGAUCGUGGUAUCGUUACGGACGAGAUGGACCCAGAGAAGGCCCCUUUCUAGAGUUUGAGAUUCCUAGGUCGGUGCUGGAGAUCACUUUUGGCAAGGGUACGACUGACCCUCCUAGUGGCUUAGUGAUAGACCCAAGUUCCCCGGAGCCAAAGGCCCCAGAGUAUUUGGUUGAGAGUUCGAAUGCUUAGAGGAUCUGUAGCCCCUCUACCUUUUUGUAGACUUGUUUAUAUCGGCUAGUAUUGUAUAUGACUUAGUCUGAUAUGUAUAAAGGUGUGAUGUGGUUUUCCAAAACUGUGGCUCUACUUUUUCUAUCCCAUCUUUGUAUUGUUUGGGGAUUUAAUUAUUCACUUCGACAUGCGCAUUAAAAUGAAUGGGUCGGCCUGGAACGUCACAAUUUAAUCAACCACCGAGAGAUGGGCACGUGCUCGGAAGAUCGGGGCGUGAUAGGUUAGGUCUCCACCUGUUUUUAGUUGAUGGUGCAGCCCACAAAAAUAUCCUAGAGUAGUACGCGCAUACCCACAAGCCUCUUGCCAGGCUCAUAGCGAUCCUAAGCAUCAAUCCCGAUCCAUGACAGCCUCCACAAUUCACAAAGCCAAACCAAAGUAUAUAUCAUAAAUCAAUUUCACAAAUCAAAAUACAUAAUCUUUCUACAACCUGGCUCAUUCACUAUAAAUGCUUUUCAUAAAGCAUUUCUCAUGUCAUUUCAAAACUCGUUUCUUAAACCGAAAUAAAUUCCAUAUACAUUUUCACAACACAUUUCAUAAACCAAGUUCACAAAUCAACAUAUAUACAUAUAAUCUUUCGCAACAACUUUCCAAAAACAUUUAGCAAAUCAUUCACAAAUAUCAAAUCUUAGUAAAUGCUCAAUCCAAAUUCUAUGCAAUAAAACAUGCUUUCAAUUAUUUAUGAUGCAUCAAAUCUCCAUAACUUUCAAGACAUGAGUUUUCAAACUCAUAGAAGAAAUAGUAUCACUUAAUUGGGAUAGUCGAAAAUCAACCACAACGAUCACUCGAGUUGACAUACUCAAAUUCCUAACAAAUAACCGAAAAACAAUAUCAAAAGACCAAGUAACACGAUAUUCUAAUGAACGACUCAACUAUACUACGCAUAUUUGUCGAUAAAACGAUACCUACAUGCCAACGAAAAGCUUGCCUCUAGCAGAAUCCUAUUGUUGUCCAUGAGCCGCGUUCAAUUUCAUCACACCAUAACUUCCUCCAUAGAAUUCCGUUUCAAGCCGACUUAUAAUCCUUAGAAAGCCAUUUAGACAUACUAUAAGAACCCCAACUUAGCUGCCCCAAGCCCUUGCCAAAAAUGACUGAAAUUCGGCUCAAAAGUUACUAUUCGUAACUUUAUCAAAAAUGCACGCCAAACUUGAAAAUUCCGUUCCAGGCAAAUCAUAAGCUUAAAUUGAGAUCCGUAAAAUACUAUAGCUUCACAAUAUCCUAAACUAUCAAUUCUAUAAAAAUACACUGCCUGACAACUCCCUAAUCAAACGCAGCAAGUCAUAAUCAACCUAAAAUCGAAUUUCCAGCUCUAAUUUUGACAAUUCCUUCAAAUAGACGAUUAGGGGCCUCGAUCACUUACCAACAUUGCAAAAUGGAUAUAAGUCAGCUUAGCGAGUCAUAUGGAUCAUAAGCACAAGAAAAUUUUCGCCUUCCUUCUUUCUUCUUUCUUCUUUCUCAUUUUUCUCUUUCUCAGUGAGCUCCUCUUCUUUCCUUUGUUUUUUCUUCGACUUCUUCUCCUGUUGUGCUUCAUUGCACAAACUCAAAUGAGAAGAGAGAAAGAGAGUUGGGCUUGGCUUUUAAGAGACAGGGGUUGUUUGGGCUUUUAUUGGGCUUGUUAUUACAUAAAGUGAUUUGUAGAUCAUUUAGAGCUUAAAUGGGGAAAAAUCUAUUUUUAGGCUAAAAUUAUAUAGAAGUGAGCAAAAACCGUGAAUUGUCUUAAAUCUUUUGAAAAAUGUGUGGAGGGCAUUGCCGCAUCGCCUCUAGUAUGUUCAAUCUAAGUCCGCACCUACAGCUAGAUGUCCUCCAAAUACACAUUAUCAUAUUGGGAAAAAAUAUCAAAAAAUUCAUAAACUUAAUGCAAUUAUGUUAAGUUAAUAAUAUAUAUUUCAAUCGUGCCAAUUUAAUUCUAAAUCUUUUCACAUUUUAUCAAUUGAGUUUAUUUUGCCAAUUUUAACCGAGAAUCAUUAAUGUAGACAUCAGCCAUCGUUUGUGAUAUGAUUGUCAUUAAAAGGACAUUUUUAAUAAUAUUUUAAAAUAUUUUGAAUUAUAUCGGUUUCCUUUUUCUUUUCUUUUUUAUUUUAUUUUUUGGUGGGGGGGGGGGGGGGGAGGGGACUUAGGGCCACAAGAGUUUCUAGCCAAUUCUCGUUGACCACAACGGCAAGGACCGCACACCCUCACUUUGGCCGAUGAGGACAUCUCAACCCUUGCCUAGCCCUCACCUGCCAUGAUGAGGGCCCACAAGCCCUUGAGUAGUGGCUAAUGAGGGCAUGGCGGCCCUUGCCCAAAGUAGAUAAGCAUUGCAACACCCUCACCCAAUGCCAAUAAGGAUUGCUGGCCUUCAGUCAAAAAAGAAAAAGUAAAGUAAGGUAAAGUAAAUUUAAAAAAAAAAACAUAAAAACUAUUAAAAAUGAAAAUAUUAUUAAAAAAUAUUUAGGUCUGUACCGAUCAUGCUAUGUAGGAAGGCCGGUGUCCAUGUCAACAAUUCCCUAUCAAAAUUGAGUUAAUGAACUUAACUGACAAAACUUAAAAAUGUUAGAGCUAAAUUGGCACAAUUGAAGAUUUAUGAUUAAAUUGAUACAAACGUAAUAGAUUUAUAACAUUUUUUUUCAUAAUUGUCCCAUAUCGAAACGGUCACAAUUAGAACACAUUAAGUGCUAUUGCAAGAAUUGCAGUGUUGCUUCUCUCAUGAUUUCCUGAGUAGUGACUAAGACCAAAAUCACAGGCAUAUUGGAAACAGAUCGGGUUAACAAGCGCCGAAAGGCACUUGCUAAAAACCAAAAGAUGUAGAAAGAGCAACUGUUAAUGCACAUUAGAAAACUUAAUCGAUAUUUCUUUUUUGUUUUUGCCGAACCAAAAGGACAAGGAGGGGCAAGUAGCAGUGACUAUCCCCUCCCGAUGUUAUCUUAAGAAAGUAUUGCACCCAUCACAAAAUGUUCAAUUUAGGUGACGACGAGCCUCUGCUACUCAACACCAUAAAGGUAGGCGACCCAGGACCUGGACACCAUCGUAGUACUACAAGUCCACAACCAAUUCCCAAGCCAAGUCAUAAGACUAAUUAACUCGAGCAAGGUCACUAGAUAUGGGAAUACAAGCGCGAGACCAACUUGAAUACGUCUAAUGGUAUAACUAAUACUUCUUAUCAUACAACAUUGAUCUUUCAGUUUCCACAUAGACGAAGUAGGCGAUGAACAAACUUUGCAAAUCAUAUAGCAUAUGAAAUUAUCAGGGCAUGAAUUGUACUAAUGUAGCGCGUGGACCUAGAAAUAAUAGGUUAAAUAUGAAAAAUGUUGGAUAUUCUAAGACAUCUUAUUAAAACUUACUUAUCAAGUGAUGUGGCAAGUAUUAAUUAGAUAAUAAGAAAUGGGAUUAUAUUAUAUUAUAUUUCAUGAUUAGUUUCUUUCAAUACAAAAUUGAUAAUUGUCAAAUCACUCACUAAAAAGUAAUUUCAGUAUUUGGUACAUUUACUUUGCUUAAUAAAUAAUGUAGGGUGUCUCGGUCAAUCCAUACAUAUAAUAUAUAUAUAUAUAUAUAUAUAUAUAUAUAUAUAUGUAUAACCUUAAAGCUCGCUUUCAUUCAUUGAACCCCCAUCAACCGAAAUUUCAAGGUUACUUCUCUGGCAAAAAUUGGUAGAAAGAGUAAAGACAAGAAGAAGAAUAAAGGGAAGCACACUGAAUUAUUUAAUGAUAACUAUUAAAUUAAUAUCUUGAAUUUGAGCCAUGUAUGAGACCCCAUCCGAUUGGAGGAUGUAGACCGCUUUGUAUUAGAUGAGGUUUAAGAGAAAGAGUCCUAAUUGGACUUUGAUUGUUCUUGCCUUUCUUCCAAAAGAUAAUGUUGAAUUUACUUGGGCGUUGGAUUCAAAUAAAGAAGAAAACUUAAACAAGAAAAGUUGUUGGUGACUUAUUACCCAAGAGUUUGACCGAUCAAGGAUUGAAAUUUUUCAUACAGUAAAAGAGUAGAGAGAGAGAGAGAGAGUAGCGGGGUUAGAGGGUUUAUUGAGGUCGGAGGAUUUUUUUUUUUUUUUUAAGGGAAAGAAAAAUAGAAGGACGUGAGUUUUGCUUUUAUUGUCUCUGCUGGCCCUAGCCACUCAAUACGGUAGGGGAUUUCUUUGAGCUGCUCAUAAGGAAGUUUUGAAUGGUGAUUUGUGCAAAUGAUUCUACAUCUAAAUUAUGGCAUUUUCUUUAUGAAAACGUAAGUAUUUCGAGCAGUGAGAUAAUUCUAUGUGAGGCUAAAGACUAUGGGUUUGGGUAUAAUUUAGGUAUAGGAAACACUCAAGUGUGUGAGUAAUUGUAACUCUGUAAUUAUUCGAUUAAUUCAUGGAUUAUUUACUGCCAGCUCUUCCUGUGAAAUAAGUACUGACACUCGGAUUGAAUCACGUAAAUUUCUCAAUUAGUAGUCUUCUUCCUCCCACCAUUUUACUUUGGGUUCUUCAACAUUUUUGCGAUUCAAUGGUCUUCUUCCUCCCAGGCUUUCUCAUCAUUCUUCUUUUAGAUUUUCAUUCUUUUAUUCAAAACCUUAUCUUGUAUCAUAAAAAAGCACUUGUUUUGCUUUCCAAGAUUAUGUUGGCCAUAAAGGAUGUCACAUGGGAUGCUAGCAAGACAAUUAACAGUAUUUUAACAGCAACGUUAGGAUAGGAUGAACUAGAAAUAAAAACAUAAUAUUUAGGGAUCUUAGUGCUCACAAGAAAAGAUUAAAAGAUCUUGUUGAACAAUUUGAAACAAUUCAAGAACCUCCAAUGCCUUUAUUCCUCUCUUUUAACAUAAACAUAAUAUGAAUAUUUUUUUGAUUUUUUAAUGAUCAAAUCGAAUAAAUUUGAAAUUCAAGGUCAACAUUUAUAAAGUAGACAAAUUUUAGAUGUCAAAUUGCUUGUACAACAAAAAUUCAGUGUCCUCACAUGAAAGAAAGGAGUCAUCCUUGCCCCUAGUUGUCUUGUCACUAGUUAGAACAUACUUGGUCGACUGGGCUCCACAAUUAUAAGAAUCAGAUGCAUGGUCGCUACACAGUACACAUCUCAUCCCUUAUUUGAGUUAAAAAGCUUAGAGAUUCCUAACAUACGUCGGGACAAAGUAGCAAAAUAGAGGAAAGUAAAGUAUUACGCGCAGGUACAGUAACCACGUGGGCGGUCCGAGGUGAUUAUUUGGCUUCUAGUCGUUUUUGCUGUUUUCCUCCUGCCUCCAUUGGCAAUAGAGACUAUCUGCCUGUUCCGAGUACACGUGAGCCCAAUUCACACGCCGAAGACGGGUUCACAUGGACCCCACCUGAUCUACUGUGGGCCCGCGGUUGGCUCGCUGUGAGGACCCAUGCAAGGCGUCCCCACCAUCACAGCGGGGAGGCUGGAGGUUGACUUUCAGCUGGGACUCGGUGUUGGCCGAUCUUUCGAUCUUCUCCUCCCGUCUUCCUCUCAUCUCCUUGCUUUGGCUCGCACCUCCAGCUCUCGCUCUCGCUCUUUCUCCCAUGGCAAAGAAACUCGUUCACUACGUAGUGGUAUCGACAUAUCUCUCUCUCUCUCUCUCUCUCUCUCUCUCUCAUAUGGUUUCUGUAAGUCUAUAGUGAUGAACGUCGAUUGAACGUGAGGCUUACGGUUGUGGUCGUGAAGAUCAGCUCUUCCGGGAUUGAGGUGGCAUCGUUUACUCGUCCCUGGCUCAUCAUUGAUCCCUUUUGCAGGUCGACGCAUUCACUGAGACCGUGUUCAAGGGGAACCCCGCGGCGGUGUGCUUCCUGGAGGAGGAUGAAGAGAAGGACGUGGAGUGGCUACAGGCAGUGGCUAGGGAGUUCAACAUCUCCAUAACUUGCUUCCUGGCUCGAGUAGCUGCCUCGGGGACGGAGGACUCGAGCCCGAGGUUCCGCCUCAGAUGGUUCACUCCCAUCACUGAGGUGAGUUCCGAAUCUCUUUCGGCUUAUCGGCAUGAUGGACUUGCUCGGUACUUUUCUCAUCUUAUCUCAGAAUUGGCAUGAAUGGAAACGCCUGGAUGGUCCCUCCCUCAUUGCCCAAAAGCACAUGACUAUAUAUGUUUUUACUUGUUUAGCUUUCCAAAAAUUAUUGCCUGAAUAUAGUAUUGUUUUCCCCCCGUUGGAUUGGAAAUCUUUUUGGUAAAUUAAAAAAUAUGGCAAACGAAAAUUCAUAGCUCAAUACAAAAAUAUGUUAGAAGAAAACGAUUAAAUGUUGGUGAGUUACUCAUAUGAGAGUCAGCAUUUGAAUAUUAGUUGGUAAUUUUAUAUAACAAACGUUUUUUUUUUUUUUUUUGGUCAGAAUAAUUUGACAAAAGUUGCGAGAAGUUGGGAAGUCACUCUAACGAGGAUUGGCAAUUUUACACAAGAGUUAGUAAACCCAAACGAUUGGUAGCUUAUGUAAAUGAAAAUUAUAAAGUUUUACAAACUAUUAAAAAACUUUUAGUAAUUUCAUAAAAGUAUGUAGAUUACUUAUGUGGGAAAAAAAAUGUUUCUGGUCAUUUUUUGACUUAAAGUUUCUUGGCGCAUAUUGAGUAAUCAAUAUGGAAAAAAAUAUCCAUAUUUUCUGGCACACAAUAAAUUUAUGCUGCUUGGAAAGUCUUCUUUCCCUUUUUUUCAGUAAUUAAGCAACGGCGGCAAGAAGAUCGGCUAGCUCACAUGAGAUUAGGCUGUUUAAGUGUAUUGGUGUCACGCCCCGAUCCUCAGGCACGUGCACAUCCUUCUAUUUGGUCGAUUUUAUAAUGCGAUAUCCCAGGACUAGUAUCGCCGACCCUUUCUAUUAUUAAGCACAUGCGGAAGCAAUUAAAAUCCCCAGACAAUAAAACGAUGGGAUAGAAAAGCAGGGCCAUAUUUUUCAUAUUGAAAUUUAUAACCAAACUUUUAUACAAAACAAAAACCACUUCAAAACUAUUCACAUCAAAAAGAGAUCUCAAAAGAAGGUAGACUUUCAGCCCAACCAGGCCAUACUCAAGGCCCCUCUCAGGUUUAUCUUCUUCUUCCAAAAAUCCUUCUCUUUAAGUUUCACCUCCGAAUUCUCCUUCUCAGACUCCUCCUCAUCAGCUCCUCAUCGGGGUCCUGAAAUGUUUUUCCCCAAACUGGGAUGAGACUACGUCUCAGCGAGUUCUACCCCACUAAGCCCGAUUAGUAGAACCACUAUACUAUAGGCUGCCUAUACACGCACANNNNNNNNNNNNNNNNNNNNNNNNNNNNNNNNNNNNNNNNNNNNNNNNNNNNNNNNNNNNNNNNNNNNNNNNNNNNNNNNNNNNNNNNNNNNNNNNNNNNUCACGAUCACUAGCAUAAAUUUCCGGUCACGGGCCAUCCCAGUUGAAUUUUCCGAAAAUAAAUAAUUAAUUAAUUAAUUUCAAAAAUUAAAUAAUUAAUAUUAAAAAUUCAAUUUAGCACAAACUAAAACUCAAUUAAACAAACGGACUUCACCAUGGUCAUCAGCAUAAUUUUCCGGUUCCAGGCCAUCUCAGUUGAAUUUUCAGAAAAUAAAUAAUUAUUUAAUUUAAUUCCGAAAAUUAAUAUUUAAAUGCCCAAAAAUCUCACUUAGGCCCGAAUUGCCAAAUUGGAGCCCACUAAGGGUCGGGAAAAAUCCCGAGGCACUUCCAAUAAUUAGUAGACCACGUCUACUUGUUAAUUGCACAAUCAAUUUAUCUAAAUCACAACACAAUUGACUAAUAAUUGCUAAUUUAUUCUAAUCUAACAACCUAAACACAAUUAAUUAAAACUAAACCAACCUUAAGCAUAAUUAGCCAACUAAUCCAGGAUUAGUGAGAUUACUCACCAAAUCGCGCGCAAAUCGGAUCAAUCCGACGGCGGCGGCGCGAGGAACGAUUGUCCCCAAAGCACGGCUCGGGUUCGGGGCCGGGAAACGGCCCAAAACGGCCCACGAACAGCUGGAUACCCACUCCGUGGGUUUGCUGGUUCAGCCGCAAAACAGCAAGAAAGAGAGAGGGUUGGGGGCGGCAAGAGGUCGAGAGAGCGGGUGGUGGCUUGGCGAGGCCAAGCGGUGGUCCACGGUGGCCGGAGGUGGCCGGAUCGUGGCUGGUGCUGGCCAAGACGGAGCUGAACAGAGGCGGCACGGGAGCUGGACGACGCACGGCGGGGACGGCAAACGCGAAGGGGCGGUGGCGGAGCGCGCGGCGUGCGCGGGUGGUGCGGACGGCGGCCCGGCGGCGUGCGGCGAGCUGCGAGCGAGCGGCGACGGAGCUGCAGCUUCUGGUCUUCCUCCGCUUCUGGUUAGAAGGAGAAGAAGAGCUGGUUCAUUCGCUCGGGCGUGCAGAGGAAGAAAGAGAAGAAAGAGAGAGAGAGAGAGAUAAGCAUUGACUGGUCAAAGAAAAGAGAGGGAAGUGAGCGGUGGGGGAUUUUCGCACGAGGGGGAGGGGAGAGGAGAGAGAAAGAAAAGAGAGAAAAGAAAGAAAAGAAAAGAAAAGAGAGGGAGAGAGAGAAAAAGAAAAAAGAACAAUAAUAUUCUAAAUUUUCUUUUUCUCUUUCCAUUUCCCUUUUCUAAUGCCUUCCGGUCUUCGAUUUUUCCUCCGAUAAUUUCUUUAUUGAAAUUUCGGACCCGUCAAUAAAUUGACGAGCGAUGAGACAGGAUCCUAUUUAUUCAGACAAAUUAAACCCGAAAAUCUGGAUGUCACAACUCUUCCCCUCUUAUAAAAAUUUCGUCCUCGAAAUUUAAACCUUUAUCAAUCCAUAAACGAAAGGUGGGGAUAUUGCCGUCUCAUCGAGUCUCACUUCUCCACGCUGAUCAUUCGGUCUCGUGGCGUUGUUUGACCAUUUUGACCAAGGAGAUCAUCUUGGUACACAAACUCUCCUCUUUCUGAACCAACAACUGAACUGAGCUUCUCACAAGACACUCUGUCAUCCACAUCUGAUCUCUUUUUCUUUACUCCUUAAUAAACCUUUGAACCUCAACGGUUCAAAAUUUCUGACAGCUCUGAGUAGCCUUUAUUCUGACAUUGAUCUGACAACUGCAAAUACUGAUCACUGAGCUGACUCUGGACUUGCGAUUUUCUGAUUUCUGAUCUCGUCUCAACCGAUUGAAAUCCUGUACACUCUGCUUUGCACAGAUUAAAAAGAAACUAUCUGACUGAUCUGCUGAAACUGGGAAUCUCUGGUCAAGAUCUUAUAUAACUCUGGUACUGAUCUUGGCAACUGUAAUCACUGGCUACUGCAAUGACUUUGGCCUGAAAUCUUUAUUCACUUUCUUUUCCCCACUGAAAUUCUGUACCAUCUGCUAUACACUGCUUAAUAAAGAAUCCUCUGAAAACUCUGCCGAACUUAUAAUCUCUGAUUUAGAUUCGAAAUAUAAUUCAUCCUCGACACUCCAUGCCGGCGAAUUAUUUAAUGCACACACACUUNNNNNNNNNNNNNNNNNNNNNNNNNNNNNNNNNNNNNNNNNNNNNNNNNNNNNNNNNNNNNNNNNNNNNNNNNNNNNNNNNNNNNNNNNNNNNNNNNNNNNNNNNNNNNNNNNNNNNNNNNNNNNNNNNNNNNNNNNNNNNNNNNNNNNNNNNNNNNNNNNNNNNNNNNNNCACUCGACACAUUGGCGACCCUCGAUUAUCGUGAAAAUCUUAAAGGUUCAAAUAUGGACACAGGGUACCAAAACGAUAGAAACAUCAAAUUAGUACCGGUCGAUGAGAAUUUUCCAAUUUAGUGGAGUCACCCACGAUCGGUCAUUCAUCUCAGUCGAGCCGAUCUAUUUCUGAUUUCAAAUCGAUUUUAUACUGUGCCGCAAUGAUCUCUAAAGAUGAGCACGGUCGAGGAGUCGAUCCAUGGUCGAAUUCUCAAGUCUAUUUGCCUUAAGGUCCUUAAUAACUCACCCAGCUAGUCUAGUUAUCUCAUGAGUGGCCAACUCAGAGAAAAACACUGUAAUUGCAUCGAGGAAAUGCCCAAUUUAUCUAAUCGAAAUCAGAGGCCGAAAUCUGGAUCGCACACUCAAAACAAGAUAUAUUCAUACUGUACCAAAGUGGACCAACUCCAUCUAUCGAUCAACCACUAUUCUCAAAUGGUAUCAGUAAUCCCCUGAAUCUUUAGUAAGCCUAUCACAAUGUUCCAUUGUGAUAUAUUUCCAUUUUCACUUGGGACUCUCAAGUGAUGGUAAAAUCCUCCCGAUUCGCAUUCCACUUACUGACACUUUUGACGCUUUCAACCUGCUUAGCUGUAUUUAUCUUCAUAUCAGCUUACUAAUCUAGCUCAUGCCGAUUCUGAUUUACUUGCACCAUCUGGACAAAGCUGCAAUAUUAUAGCGAACUUCUGACAAAAUCUUUUCCCUGAGUGCUACACUGUCAAGUGCACUCAAUUUCCUCAUGGAACCCAAACGUUCCAUUCUCAGAAGUUUUAAAGUUAGAUUCUUUCUUGCCAAUAUCCUCUUAUAAGAUCUCCUGAACAUCUCUGUCUGUCAACUAGGUGCCAAUUCUAACUUGAACAUUUGGUUCAAUUUUGAGGGCGGCUAUAAAAUUUAAAAGGUAGCCUACCUCAAAUUUGAAAACCAAAUUUCGAACCCUUUUUAAGUAAAGUUUAUACUUUAGCCAGCCUAUGUAUAAUCAAAGACUCUGGGCUCAACACAUAAAUUACUUCUUUCAUUCUCCCAAGAUAAUACCAGAUAACAUCAUUAUAGUUCUGCCAAAAUUCUGAUUCACGACACUGUUUCAUGUUCAACUUGUUGGGUCUCAACUGGCGGGACGGUUAUACAACAAUCUUCUCAUGUUGUAUCAAUACAUACCCAAUCGUUGGCAAGACACAUCACUAAAGGUUUCAUGCUUUCCAGAGCCAAAUGAAAGUUUAGCAUAAGUGCGGUGGCCUGAUCUUACUGAAGCUCUGGAAACUAUCCUCGUACUUAUCUAUGCCAAUGAAUUUCUCUUCUUUCUCAAGAGGUCAAGCCCAUGAUGAUACUGAUGCUGAAAAUUCUUUCACAAACCUUCCGUAGUAAUCUGUCCAAUCCCCACAACUUCUGAUCUCUGACAUUGAUGUCGGUCUCGGUCCAUUAACAACUGAUUCGAUCUUGGUUGGUUCCAUGAAGAUUCCUUUACCUGUAACCACACGACCAUUCUUAGGGGCAUCUUGUGAUUCUCAACACUUAAUGAACACCCUAUAAUGUCGCUAUACCACACGAUCACCGUUGAUCUAGAUAUUCUUUGAACACUCGAUUUGUCAAAUCUAUGACAGCGGCUGGAGCGUUCGUCAAAUCAGAUGGCUUUACAUUAUUCUCACAAGGACAAAAUCAAGUGCGAAAUGCCAUCUUCAAUAUAACCUCCUUCCUGGUUCUCAACUGACAAUAACCUGUCCUCAAGUCAAUUCUUGAAGACAUCCACACUCUUUAUAACAAGUCGUCUAAUUCGUCGAUCUUUGACAAUGAACACUUAUCUUUGAUUGUCACUUGAUUGGGUCGAUUAUAGUUGAUGCAUAAUUGCAACGAACCAUCUUUCUUUCUCUUUUCACAAAACUGAUGAUCCCUAAAGUGAUGCACUGAUAUGCAUGAAUUCAUCAUUCAUCAAUCCCCACAUCUGAACCAUUAGUUCUAUCAAUUCAAACAACAACCACCGGUAAGGACUUUUAGAGAAUGGUUCUGUUCCAGAUGUUAACUCAAUCGUAAUUCUAUCUUUUUCUCUGGCAACGGUCUGACCACUUUUCUGGCAACACUUCCAAGAAUUCUUGGACUACUGAGGAGUUCUCAAUUUUUAAUUCUUCAAUCUGUCUUAUCUCAGAUCAUUGCUCACUAAUCUCGAUAACUUCUGUCUGACAAUCAGGUUACCUCAAGUGACGAAAUCAAAGAAGUCAAGAACCCUUCUCAAUUCUCAGUAAAACUCGGUACUUCUACAUGCUCCUGGAAUAAGCUGGGUUACUCUACCAUAACAAUUCAUCACCAUAAAAUGCUCAAGAACCAAUUCUUUCUACACUUGACGAAUAAGUUAUACACCAACAGCCAAUCAAGUAUAACUCUAGUCAAUGGUUCUUUUCCUACAGCCUUAACAAACAACUGAAAUUCCACACUUACAAUCCCAACAUUCUCUGGCACUAUUCUGAUAAAAUCACCACAAAAUAUUCUUUCAUUGAAUAAGGCAUAGUCGGUUCCGUUCCUGUUCCUUUUGCCAUAUUGCUGGUGUUCCAAUGGUAGUAAUAGUGUUGGUGUUCUUCUUAAACCCCAACCGAUAGUCCUUCACUUGAUGGCCGUGCUCACUACCAUCAAAGCAUGUUCUAGUCAUUCUCGAACACAGGAUUAAUCCAUGCAUUCCUUCCAUACUUUCGGCACUCAUCAGGUGAGUCUUCUAUCUCCUGCCCAGUGACAGCACACACUCUUUCUGGUUGUCCUAUCGGUCUGUUAGAACCGCUCUCGACUUCGAUCUUUUCCCUGACCGAUUUCCAUUUCUGCCUGAACUGGAUCUGUACCUUGACUUGGAAGCGAUGGCUCGAUCCCAAAUCAUAUCCCCACUCUGGAUCUCAACAGGUGUAGUAACAAAGGCGCUUGCAGUACUAACGGCAGUAGUGAUAGCGACAACGACAACAGCUUGAUCUUGAACUUACUGGCUCAUUCAAUUCCCAAGAAGUACUUGCAUCAGAACGAUCCUAUCGAACUUAGGAUCAUUCGACGCUGCUACACUAGUACCAACCUGCAGUGGUACUCUUACACUUGAGCUGGCCAGAGCCGACACUCUGCCACAACCACCUCGGGUACCGACCUUUGUCAGUGCAUUAUCCCGAGUCACAGAGGACAUUGUCCUCUUACUAGGAGUUCUCAGCUCCUGCUCGCUCAUGGUUCAGUCUUUACACUGAAACCCGACUUCCAAAUCCACACUGGAUUAGAAGGUGAGCGAUCCACACACCACAAACAAUUUUGGCAUUCAGCUAACAUAAACAUGCACCAGCAUGAAUUUAAAGGCCUUUCCUACUAACUAUCCCAUGGUCAACGCUCCUUAUCACUCCAAUCUUCAACUUAGCUCUGAUACCACUUAAACAGGUUGUCACGCCCCGAUCCUCAGGCACGUGCACAUCCUUCUAUUUGGUCGAUUUUAUAAUGCGAUAUCCCAGGACUAGUAUCGCCGACCCUUUCUAUUAUUAAGCACAUGCGGAAGCAAUUAAAAUCCCCAGACAAUAAAACGAUGGGAUAGAAAAGCAGGGCCAUAUUUUUCAUAUUGAAAUUUAUAACCAAACUUUUAUACAAAACAAAAACCACUUCAAAACUAUUCACAUCAAAAAGAGAUCUCAAAAGAAGGUAGACUUUCAGCCCAACCAGGCCAUACUCAAGGCCCCUCUCAGGUUUAUCUUCUUCUUCCAAAAAUCCUUCUCUUUAAGUUUCACCUCCGAAUUCUCCUUCUCAGACUCCUCCUCAUCAGCUCCUCAUCGGGGUCCUGAAAUGUUUUUCCCCAAACUGGGAUGAGACUACGUCUCAGCGAGUUCUACCCCACUAAGCCCGAUUAGUAAACCACUAUACUAUAGGCUGCCUAUACACGCACAGGGCAGAAGACGUACCUUGGCAUCAGAUCCCACCUGCAAGUCAGUACAAUUCAUAAUAGGCACUCAAGCAAUCGUAUCACCGAUCAAAGCAUCGAUCAAAUCGACCUAGUCGAUUACAAGCUGACAAGACCACUCACGGUCAUUCACAUUCAGUCAAUCAAUUCACAACAUCAAAUCAAACAAUGAUCAAUCGACCUUGUCGAUUACAUGUCAACCUGACCAUUUCCCGGUCAUUCAAGCUAUUGCUAUUCAGAGUCCCACUCAGCAACAUUCAAUAUUUCAUGGCUUUACGGUCCCACUCGACCACUUGCAAGAUUCAAUGGCUUUACGGUCCCACUCGACCACUUUCAAGAUUCAAUGGCUUUACGGUCCCACUCGACCGCUUGCAAGAUUUAAUGGCUUUACGGUCCCACUCGACCGCUUGCAAGAUUUAAUGGCUUUACGGUCCCACUCGACCCCUUGCAAGAUUUAAUGGCUUUACGGUCCCACUCGACCGCUUGCAAGAUUUAAUGGCUUUACGGUCCCACUCGACCGCUUGCAAGAUUUAAUGGCUUUACGGUCCCACUCGACCACUUUCAAGAUUCAAUGGCUUUACGGUCCCACUCGACCGCUUGCAAGAUUUAAUGGCUUUACGGUCCCACUCGACCGCUUGCAAGAUUCAAUGGCUUUACGGUCCCACUCGACCACUUUCAAGAUUCAAUGGCUUUACGGUCCCACUCGACCGCUUGCAAGAUUUAAUGGCUUUACGGUCCCACUCGACCGCUUGCAAGAUUUAAUGGCUUUACGGUCCCACUCGACCCCUUGCAAGAUUUAAUGGCUUUACGGUCCCACUCGACCCCUUGCAAGAUUUAAUGGCUUUACGGUCCCACUCGACCGCUUGCAAGAUUUAAUGGCUUUUCAAUGAAAUAGUUAACCACAACCAUUUAGGAAUAUAUCCUAAAUUCCACAUUCAAUUCAAUUUGGCACAAUUCAAAGCUCAAAUAAAUAAACAGACUGCACCACGACAAUCAGCACGAGAUUUCGGUCGUCGGCCUUCAAAAUCUUAAUUUCCGAAAAAUAAUUAAUUAUUAAUUAAUUUCGAAAAUUAAUUAUUAAACAUUAAAAAUUCCGUUUAGCUCAAAAUAAGGCCCAAUUAAAUAAACGGACUUCACCACGGUCAUCAGCAUAAUUUUCCGGUUCCAGGCCAUCUCAGUUGAAUUUUCGGAAAAUAAAUAAAUAAAUAAUUAAUUUCGAAUAUUAAAUAAUUAAUAUUAAAAAAUUCAAUUUAGCUCAAAAUAAAGCCCGAUUAAAUAAACGGACUUCACCACAGUCAUCCGCAUAAUAUUCCGGUCACAAACCAUCUCCCUUGAAUUUUCGGAAAAUAAAUAAUUAUUUAAUUUAAUUCCGAAAAUUAAUAUUUAAAUGCCCAAAAAUCUCACUUAGGCCCGAAUUGCCAAAUUGAAGCCCAAUUAGGGGUCGGAAAAUUCCCGAGAUACUUCCAAUAAAUAGUAGACCACGUCUACUUGUUAAUUGCACAAUCAAUUUAUCUAAAUCACAUCACAAUUGACUAAUAAUUGCUAAUUUAUUCUAAUCUAACAACCUAAACAUAAUUAAUUAAAACUAAACCAACCUAAAGCAUAAUUAGCCAACUAAUCAAAGAUUAGUGAGAUUACUCACCAAAUCGCGCGCAAAUCGGAUCAAUCCGACGGCGGCGACGCGAGGAACGAUACUUCCCAAAGCGGGCCUCGGGUUCGGGGCCGGGAAACGGCCCAAAACGGGCCCAAACCAGCUGGAAACCCAUUUCGUGGGUUUCUGUCCUUGGCUGGUUGGAGCAGAUCCGGCGGCCAAAACGGCGAGGGGAGGCCGGCGGAGGGCUAAGGGAUCGCGGGGGAGGUCCGGCGGGGCUAGGCGGUGGCCGAACGGAGCUGGGUGGCGGCCGGAGGUGGCCGAAUGGCGGCUGAACAGAGGCGAAUCGAGCUGAGCCGAGCGGGGGAAGAACGCCUGGGCGCACGCGAACGGCGGCUGGGCGCGCGGUGACGGGCGGGUGGCGGUGCGGCGGCGAGACGAGCGGCGAGCGGGCGGCUGCCGCUUCUGCUCCGGCUUGCUGGUUCGGGGGGCGGGGAGAGAAGAAGGAGAAGAAGAGCGGGGUGCAUUCGCUCGGGCGUGCAGAGGAAGAAAGAGAAGAAAGAGAGAGAGAGAGAGAUAAGCAUUGACUGGUCAAAGAAAAGAGAGGGAAGUGAGCGGUGGGGGAUUUUCGCACGAGGGGGGAGGGGAGAGGAGAGAGAAAGAAAGAGAGAAAAGAUAGAACAGAAAAGAAUUGAGAGGGAGAGAGAGAAAAAGAAAAAAGACAAUAAUAUUCUAAAUUUUCUUUUCUCUUUCCAUUUCCCUUUUCUAAUGCCUUCCGGUCUUCGAUUUUUCCUCCGAUAAUUUCUUUAUUGAAAUUUCGGACCCGUCAAUAAAUUGACGAGCGAUGAGACAGGAUCCUAUUUAUUCAGACAAAUUAAACCCGAAAAUCUGGAUGUCACAAUUGGUGCAUUCCAGCCUCUUUGAGCGCGGAAUAUACGCAUCAUUCUUCAAUUUUCUGAGUCGUUUAUCGAUUUGAUUGGGAUCGAAACAACUGGAUAGCUCCCUUUACUCGUCAAUAUUGAGUUGAAUUUUCGCAAUUUUCAUGCAAAUCAUUGGAUGGUGGCACGUGGAUACCAUAUAAAUACGAAUCUCCUUUCAGCUUAACCUCUGUGGUCAUGGAACACUAGCUGCUACACACGCCCUUAUUACCUCUGGGAAGGUGGAUUCAGAUACUAUCCAAUACGUCACCUCGUCAGGAACUCUAACCUCUAAAAGGGUGUCCGAAAUCGAGACAGGAUUCUUCAUCGAAUUGGUUUUUCCUGUUGCCCCGAUUUCAGAAUGCGACAGCGAGAGUGCGUCAUCCCUCUCCAGAGUAUUCGAUGGUGCUUCCAUAGUCGAAGUCAAGAAGACGGCAAAAGAUGACCUUCUUGUAAAUUCCUAACCAUGGUCGAAUCCUUCAACUUUUGUUUUGUUGCAGCUUACUGAAAACCUCGGUUUCUCUUCAUUAAAAUGAUGCUUUAGGGUUUUCAGAGUCCUAUUUUCCUUCUUGGGUUGAUGAAAGUUUUCGACCGUGACAUUGAGCUGAUUUGACUGGGAAUAGCCAGGUGAUUAAUUUUGCUUCUUUUUCUUGUCAACUUCGAUUGCUUUUCGAAGGUCGUUUUCUCAUCAGGAAAAGCAGUUGAAGACUUGCAGCCACAAUUCGAUGAGAUACGAAGUUGUGCAGGAAGGGGCAUUAUCAUAACAGGACUUGCUCAACCGGACUCGGGAUUUGAUUAUGUCAAUCGGUUCUUCAGUCCAAAACUUGGGGUGAACGAGGUAUUGACGUAUCUAAUUAAUCGGCUGUCAAGUGACCUGCAAGAAGGAAUUACCAGUUUCCUAGUUCUUGUUCACUCAUUGUUUUGUCCAUGAUUCGUUCAUGUAUUGACAAGACUGAGAUAGCUAUCCGGAUCAAAGUGCCAAGGCUAUCUCAUUUUGAUACACGCCCAUGAUGCAAAAUGCUAACUGACAAAUGAAUUUUCCAGGAUCACGUGUGCGGGAGUGCAAACUGUUUUCUGGCGCCUUAUUGGAGCAAAAAGCUCAGAAAAAAUGAUUUCGUUGUUUAUGCUGUAAUCUCUCUCUCUCCCUCUCUCUCUAUCUCUCUCUCCCUCUCCCUCUCUUCAUCCCCACGCCCAGGCGCUUAUUUGUGAGCAGUGCAUCUGUGGUUGCUCAACUUCUUAUUAGUCCAUUUCAAUAGAAUUUCACGCAUUUCCUUAAUCAGCUUUGUGCAUGUGUUGAGUAGGCAUCGCCUAGAGGAGGAGUCGUGAACGUGUGCCUGGACGAGCAAAACCAGAGAGUCACGCUGCGUGGGAAAGCUGUAACUGUAAUGACGGGUUCUAUUCUUGUUUAAAAAUACUUCGAGCAAGCAAGAUUCGUCUUGUAAACAAGGCACAGGGCGAGAUGGAAUAAGUAUUCUGAUGGCAUGAAUUGAGAUUGUCAGUUGUUUAAUGCUGCAGACCAUAGCUGAGAUUCUCAGUAUGCUUGGAGCUGUAGCCUAUGUAGCAUAAUCAAAGAGACGACUGAACAACCAUUUAUCUCGUUCUUGCUUUUAUGUAUUUGAGGGAUAGUGCAUCAACCACUUUGUCUCGUUUAUGUGCUAUCUCUGUAUUGCUGCUCAUACAGAUGAUAAUAUCCCUUGUUGUUGGUCAAGUUUCUCGGAGAAUGUGCACAGGUCAAGACUCGAGUUGAGGAGUCCCAUGUCGAAGAACACGAGAUGGUCGAGUUGCUUAUGAUCCUGGUUGACCAUUUGAAGGGGUCGAAUCUCAUUCCCAUUUAGGAACUCGCACGUCGGCUUCUGUAAGCUCUUACCAACUCUCAGCCACAGGAAAGAUGAUCACGUGAUCCUACGCGAAGAACCGGUUACUUGUAUCAGUUUCCUGUUGACCUUGCAUUAGGCCACUCGAAUUAUGUCAGAGACUUCUAAGAAAGCUCCUGAUCCAUCAUUUAUAACAGUCGCGGCUAGGACAAACAUUAAGCGGCAAACCAUAAUGGACAGUUUCCAAACAACACCGUUGUUCAGGUGCCGAGAAAGGAACAGGAACACGGGUUACAGGAUCGCUCGAUGGCUAAACUAUAGCUGGUCCACAACACUCGAUCCCAAAGUACAAUAGCAAGGGUUGAUGUCAUGGGAAAACAUAUAGACAAGUAACUAGACAAAAAAUUCGUUUGAAAGUAACGCAAUAUAUUUUCCACCUAUUGAAGGACGAAUCUAAAGGGAUUUUAGAGCACUUUAAUUGAGUACGAUAUGACAUUUCUUUUUCAUAUGAUUAGUCUUAUUGAAAAAGAACAAACACUUUUUCCAUAACUUCUAAACAUGUGUAAAAAACACAAGUGUCAAUAACAUCACUACUCGUAGAUACCAUCGAUAGGUAAGUCUAUUGGUAAAAGGGUCGCAUUCUUUUCCACAAGUUCUCAAUUCAUCAAUUCGAGGUAUCUCAUGAGCGAUUUUUUAUUACUAUCUCAUAAGGAAAUCUCUAAAUUUCCGGCACAUCAAUGAAAACUAAUACCAGCUAAUACAAUAACAAGUGAAUUGAAUAAUUAUAACUCUGGUGGAACAUUCAAUAAUGGACGUGGGACCAUCAUGACAUUGCAUAUUUUGUAUAAGUAGCACUAACACCAAUACACGACAUGAACAUGACACAAUACGAUAUGCCGACAUGUCAUUUCUAAGAAAAUAGAGAAUUCCGACACGUCGAGACAUAUUGUAUAUUAAAUAUAUAUAUAUAUAUAUAUAUAUAUAUAUAUAUAUACAUACACAAUAAAUUAUCAUUUUUAUGAUUUUUUAAUCAAAUUAAUUUAAUUCAAAUUCACAAAUAAAUAAAUAAUAAUAAAAGAGCUUAGAAUGAUAUUACACUAAAAACAUCAAUCCACAAUUUGUUAAUAUCAUUCAUUGUUUUAAUUUGACAAAUUUAACUCUAUUCCAAUAAUUUAUAAAACUUGAAGGAAAAAAAAAAUAAACAAUUCACAUUUUAGACUCGUAUGUCAAAGUAUGUUGGAAGAGAAAAGAAAAAAUAAACUUGGAGAGUAUUGCGUAUCACAAGAAAUAAGAGUUAGAAGAGAAAAGAAGACAGGUUUUUCUUCUUUCCCCCUUUAUUAUUUUUAUUAUUUUUAUUAUUUUUUAUAUAUUUAUAUUUUGACCCAUCUUUUAUUAAAAAUUUUAAAAAUUGACCCGAUGCAUGUUAGAAUUUUGAACUUGCAUGUCAAAAUUCCAAAAUCAAGUAUUAGAGAGUGUUGGAAGAGUUGAUCAAAUAUUGGAAUUACAUGUCGGAGUUCCGAACUCACACGUUAGAAUUUUGAACUCAAGUAUCGAAGAAUGCUGGGAAAGUUGAUCAGGUAUCAUAUUUUCUGACACGCAUUAACCAAGUGUAGAAAAGUGUCGGACAUGUGCUGUGUCCAGUGUCCGACAGAACACAAAAACUUCUUGAAAGUGUUAGUGCUUCGUAGCCUUUAGUAGAUGCGCUGGUUACUUUUGACUUGUCAAGAAAUAAACACAACUCUUAGAUGACGCAUAGAAUGAUGUAUGAAAGACAGGGAGGACCGGCAAAGUAGACUAAAAUAUGUUCCGUGCGGAUCGAGGGCAGACCUGCCCCGAACGAUUUACGAGGAACUGGACUAUCGCGUUCUUCUCCAAUAGACAUCGCCUGAUUUCAUUGCUUCUUCUCCAUUAGCCAUCUCUCUCUCUCUCUCUCUCUCUCACCCUCUCCGUCGCUCUCUAUGGAAAAGAAACUCGUGCAGUACUCGGUGGUAUCAAUACAGCCUCUUUCUCUUCCGUUUCAUUCCCCUACCAGAGAUGGAGAUCUCUUGCGAAAACUUCCUUGAACUCUUCUGCAUCGACCAUGACAUGGGCUUGUGCGUGGUGUUGUUUUUGUAGGUGGACGCAUUCACCGACACGGCCUUCAAGGGGAACCCGGCGGCGGUGUGUAUCUUGGAAGAAGAGAGGGACGAAGAGUGGCUGCAGGCGGUAGCCAGGGAGUUCAACUUCUCGCAGACCUGUUACCUGACCGGUGCCUCGAGCUCAGAACUCGCCGGCUCGGCCAACAGGGGAUCGAGCCCGAGGUUUCAGCUCAGGUGGUUCACUCCAGUUAAGGAGGUGAGUGAGUUUCGGAAUUCCAUGUUCCCAGCGUUGCUUGCUUUAAUUCGGCAAGUGCAGGAUAUGCAGAGCGUGUGGAUAAUAAAUGACUGAAAGCUCUUUCGUCCGCUCCCCACGCGAAUUGCUAAACUUUGCUUGCGUGCUUUUUGGUAACUUUCUUUCUUUAUCAUAGCCAACAGAAAUGGCAAUUUUCUGUCAGGGUUAACGUCCUGGUUUUGUUAUGAUUCUUUUAAUUUGUGAUAAUUCGCAUUUUCUGAGUUCGGCCGCAUAUAAUCAACCAUGGAUGGUUCGAUGAAAAAUUCAUCAAAAAUUCGAUUUCUAUUUGUCCUUCGCUGUCUGUUUCAUCUCAUUACUUUGGACUACCAGUUAAUUUGCUAAUUGUGCUUGUAUUAGAUGAAAUUCUAUGCAUUACCUGUGUAGGACUAUGAAUCAUGUUGAUGUUGUUCGAUUGAACUCCAAGUCCGACACCGAGUCUCUGAUGUACUUGAGAGAUGCCUGCUUUGUUGUCAUAAUAAUCCAUCUCCACCAGACUAAUCUAUGUGGUUGCUCUGGUGCCUGCUUUUCGAUAGUGGCAGUAAACAUCGAUGUUGAUGAUCAAUCAGUUUGAUGAAGUGUGUCACAUUUCAGUAUGGAAGAAAUGCCACGGGAAACUGGUUGUCAUAUUAUCUAAUCACAAACUUGACCUUUCAGGUUGACCUCUGCGGUCAUGCGACGCUAGCUGCUGCGCACACUCUCUUCACAUCUGGGAUGGUAGAUUCUGACACCAUCGAGUUUAUGACAUUAUCCGGAAUUCUGACUGCCAAAAGGGUUCCCGAAACGAAGUCAUCCCACAUUUUGAAGAUAAAAGAUGGUGAUGUGCCCGGGAUAUGGAUUGAAUUGGAUUUUCCAGUAGUCCCGAUCGCUGAAGAUGAUGCCGAGCGGAUUUCAUGUGUCUCCAAAGUUCUCAAUGGCACUUCAAUUGUUGAAAUCAAGAAGACAGCAAAGGGCGA